rnacentral:lncRNA from 1 species
UUCACCUUCAUUAUUAUAUGACAAUUACCAUCAUUCUAUUGCUAUUACUUAGCUUUGGAACCCGUUAUUCUCUGACUUAGCUUUGGAACCGAUGAUGCAAUUACUUAGCUUCGGAACCCAUUAUGCAAUUACUACAGGCCAGGCAUCCACGGAGCGGUCACACACCACAUCUUACAUUAGGGACAUAUAUCGAAGGUACCUUGCACAGUAGUCAAUACAGAAUGAAAGCGGAGGAAACCAGUAUGGAACACCGACACAAGCAUACCUACCCAUGGGAUAAACAUACCAUAGUACCCACCACAUACCCAAGGGAGAAACAAACACACAUGCGCUAUAGCUCCCAUGCAACCACAUACUCUUCAAGUAGCACUACAAUUUCUUCAUUUGGCAUAGCUCAUUCUUUCAUUUAAGUAAACAUAGCUCAGCCUACCUCAACUCAAGGUAACGUCAACAAGUCUUUCGCUUGUUGGUUCGAUGCCCAGUAAUAGCGGGUACCUCGUUAAUUCAUAGGUAGGUGGUUGGUGCACUCUCAAAUGCUUUUAGGGACCAUCAAUAGUUAAGUAGACACUGCUUUCGAGUUGGGCAAUGCAGACUUGAGGCAGGGAGUAAUAGAAUGAGACCCCUUAGAGGCAGUAAAACUAGGCAAGUAAGGAGUCAGGUUCAGUAACAAUAGUCCUAAAAGCAGUGGAGCAGGCCUAUAAUACAGUUUAGUCUGACUAGUAGCUGGGGUUGGUGAAGAAGUAAUGUUUAGGGUUGAUUGCCUCUAUGCGCUAUUGCCGGUAAGUCGGCGUAUUUUGUAUUAUAAGUUAGAUUAUGAGAAGCACUGGUUUGAUUAUGAGGGGAUCCCCUAGGAUUUUGUUCUUUAUUGACUACUUGGUAUGGUAGCGGCUCUCCGUGGGCUAAUAAAGAACCUAAGUGGUUGGAUGCCCUGCCCCCAGCUCAAGUCUUAUUGUUAGUGGUUCUCUUCCUGGUGCGCUAGUGAAGGUCCUGUCCAGUUUGCCUGGUUUCUAUCGUUUUAUGCCUUAGUUCCAUUCCAUUAAGUAAUAGCUCUAUUCUGGUUUUCCCGGGUGCAAUUCUUUGUAUUAGUUGCAGGGAUGCGCUAGAGCGUAGCCAUAUUCUGAUUCCUCCGUUCGAAAGUCAAUAAAAGCAAGUAAAGAAACCCCGAGUCAUAGUGUGUUUGAAAACGAGGAGCGGAAGCCUCUAACUAACACAUAGGCAUUUCUUUAUGUAUUUCAGUAGCAACUAUAGGAAUUGGAGCUAGGAGACAAAGGCUAAGAGCCUGUAAAGUCAGUCGAAAAGCAAGUGAAGUCAGACUUAAGGGGCUGUCGGAUAAGCCGGAGUUCCUAGUUAAAGCAGUCUUGUCAGCAGUAGUUGUUAUAGGCCCGACUACUGUAAGCUAAUCCCAUAGUGAGUAACUAGGCGGUGGAAGCAAAUCUGAUAGUUGGAGUUAGGCGGGGAAGUGGAAGAAAGGCCUUCCAGAUAGGAUUCUCAAAGAUAGGAACGAGCCUAUCUACUGGUUUCCUUGCACAUGAAAAGGAUGAUUGUACAUCUUCGAGACACAAGAUAUUGAAAGAUUCUCCAUUGUUCUUGAUUUAUGGAAAUAACAUAUCAUAGAUAGAUCUUGUUGAAUAUCAUAGAUGGAUCUUGUUUAUUGCUUGGUGGCUGAUCAUAUCAUAGAUGGAUCUUGUUUAUUGCUUGGUGGCUGAUCAAUGAAUGCGUCUGUCUUUCUCUCAUGAGGGACUUGAGCCCAAUAGUGCUGUUUCGACGGCUAAGUAUCUAUUUGUGGGAAGACCUUAUGUCUCAGGCGCUACGGUGCGAGACGUGUUAUCCGGCAAUGCGCGGUCAGAUCAUUUCUUGGAAGCAAGCAAGGAUCGAGAUAUUCCGCUUUGAUUAGCGAGGCAUCAGUCGGUUUCAUGGUUUCUAUCACUUCCGGAAGUUCAAGAAGAUCUAUCAUCUUUGAUUAUUGGAAUCCUCCUUGGCCAGGCCAGCAACUGAAAAUGCCUGCAACACACUGAUUCGAGUCCUCGAGUUAGCUCAUCUGCUAGUGAGCCUUCUUCUUCUGCAAUAGAUCAGGAACCCCGCCUUUCUUCAGCCCAUGAACUAAGCCGGCCAUUAACAUCGUCCUAAUUUCGUUUGAUCGGUAUUUUCGCUUGUUUUUCAUCGUGACUGGAACGACGAUACAACCUAAACCCUUCUCUGCUACCAAAUCAUAGAUCUUCCAGAGAAGACCAAACCGAAUGAGCUCGCUCGGUUCUCGUCUGAUACUAAAUUCCUUUCAUAGCUGCUAGAUCUCUGAUGAAAUUCCUUUCAUAGCUGCUAGAUCUCUGAUUCAACGGAAUAUACAUUGGACUUUGAUAUGCUCCACCAACUGUAGUAUAUCUUACAGCUCAAAGAAAAAGUGUUAUUAGGGGGGCUUAGGUCGAUCUCCAAAAUAACCUAACUCAACUCGUGGCUGGCUAUAGUAUCUCUUAACAAAGAGUCGAACGAACUUCCUUAUCAUACUCCUAUUUAGGUGCACAUAAGGACUAAGAUUGGUUUGCAGCUUCAAGCAUCAAAUGUAAUAAAGACAGAUAUACUAACACCCACCCCAAGGUACGACUCAUGAGAACAAUGGUCACAACUAAAUCCAAAUAAUUCCAUUCAGCUGUGGGCAAGGCUCUUUUGGGGGAAGGAUCGAAGAUCGGAUAUAUCGGCUCUAUUUUCCUAUCGGACCUGUGAAAAGUACCUGCCUAACUGUGAAAACUCUAAAGCCCUUAUGCAUUAUUGUACGCCAAUACCAUUUUUCGAAAAGAACUCCCGAAGAAGGUCCACAUCUGCCUUUCACCGGUGUGAUGCAAUUCUUUGAGCCUCCCAAGAGUUAUAUCGGUGGCACUCGGGAUCUACUCUAUUACUUAUUGGAUUUAGUUACGAUAGGACGACUCAUCCUAAUUCUCCUUCCCGAGAAAAGGAAGCUUCGCUACGUUCCAGAUAGUAUACUCAGUUAAUCAUAUAAAGCAUUGCUUUAGGAAGAGUUUCCCCGAUGGAGGCCUUUCUUUAUGGAAUCAUUUCGUGGAUGGUGAUGUCAAAGAAAUAAGAAGUUCCCCACUUGCUAUUGAAUCUGGAAUCCCUUCUUCUAGCAAUAUCAUAAGAGAAUCAAGAUCGUAGCGUAGACAAGAUCGUAGCGUAGAAAAGAAUAGGAGACUGGAAUUGUCGAUAUGGUUAUGGUUCAAAAAGGAUGACACUAAGAGAUCCUCACUGAAAAUAGUGCUAUUCCAAGUUAGGACUAAUUUGUAGGUUAAUUGAUUUGUGCUAGAUUCAUCUGUCAGAGCGUCGGCAAGCUUAGUGCUCUUAUUGUGUCACAAAGACUUGAAGAAGCGCUAGGCGUACUCGGCUUUGAAUUCACUCGUGGAUCCGAUCUCCCUUUUCUGGAAAUUGAGUCCUGUCCGGGUGCGAGAGACAAAAGAUGAUAUUACUGUUUUCCUCACCGCCUUAUUCAGUGCCCAGCAGCUACCUAAUACUUGGUUUUACCUUAUUGAACAGAGGCGACCAGAAGAUAAGUAGUGUAGGGGUUUACAACCUUUCAAGAAUCUAUGGGUUUCUACAGCCUUUCCAGAAUUGUAGUCCAAGUCAAAUCGUUAAUGUGCAAGCAUCAAAGUGAAGUCAGUAUCUUUUCAUUCAGCGGGACAUCAAUCUUGGUUUAACAGCCCCAAGCAAUACUUUUGUAAAGUGCCAAUCGCCCCUGCUUGUUCCUAAGGUUGUUCGGUGAACUCAAAGAAUAGAAUCCAUCGAGCAUACCAUCGAGCAUACCAUCGAGCAUACCAUCGAGCAUACCAUCGAGCAUACUAUCGAGCAUAUGAUAUAAAUAGAGGAUUUGACUAAACCCCUUAAGUCUUGUUCUCUACUUCAAAGACGGAACUUAGCGCUUCUGGAAUUCUACCACUUAUUCUCCAAGCUUCAAAACUCACUAUCCCAUCCCCGCCACUGGAAACACACACUUUUCCCGUCCCUAGCACGCCCUGAGUCUUGUGCCGAAUCAAGUCAAACAUUCAAAUCUCUCGAAUAAAGAUUCUUUCGAGCGAUCAGGUAAACUCGCUAACGCACUCUUGAAGCUGUGCGGUACCCUUAAGAUGUUCUAUGCACCUUAGAGAAUAUAUAAUUGAUGAAAAGCACUCUCGACGACAUUGACUACCCGGGAGAGCUCGAAGGCAUUCUAUUCUGUUUAGUAACGCUACCCGCCCAAUAUGGAAUUUCGAAAAUCGAACUUAUGCCAAAAACAAACAUUAGCACUCAGGCAAAGCCCUGCCCUUGGUUUUUAUCGUCACUUGAGGAAUAAGAAUGGAAAAGAAGAUUAGUUGCAUAUGAUAGAAGAUAGUAAACACCCUUGCUCUUGGUUUUUAUCGUCACUUGAGGAAUAAGAAUGGAAAAGAAGAUUAGUUGCAUAUGAUAGGGGAACGUAAACAUGCUGCCCUGUUACCUUCUUCAGAAUUGAAUAUCGGGUACCACCUUAUCCUCUACUAGCUUAUUGACCCGAACCACCCUAGACUCAAAUACUACAUUCUCUCUUUUCGUUGCUUGCGUAUUGUGAGGAUAGUUCCAAUCUAAUAGAAUGGAAUAAUAGCAUGACUUUUCAAUAGCAUGACUUUUCAAUAUACGAGAUGAGACUCCCUUCUUUCUACCUUAACCUGGCUACUCAACUUGAUACUGCUAUCGCAAAACCCCAUUAAGAAGUCUGGGCCAGCGCUCAGAGCUACCGAAUUCACAACGCUAUAGGCUUGUUCUCUAUGCUUUCCCUAACGAAACUGCUUCCUGCUUUCAGAGUCCCAUAUUCUUGUCCUUGCCAAUACGGAAUGGAAUUAACAACUGGUGGGUGCAUUCAACUAAAACCAUGACUCCUAAAAGAAUUGAUCUAUAUCAACUAGGAAAGCAACUGACACUAAUAAGAAUGGCUCUACUUACUCUAGGGCUUGCUCUACCGACUAUCAGGCCUUACUACUCUAUUCUUAACCUAGGGGAACCCACUCUAGCUUUACUGAUUAUGGGCCUGCCCCUAUGGUCUCUGAUUCCUACUAUACUAGCAGACCUUCUAUUCUUUAGCCGGUGCUCUUAAGCCUAAGUUCCUGUACCAGUAUUCGAGAACCACUGCUUAUGAUCCCUUUGCUUAAAAACUCAAACUACCGUUUCUCAUUCUCAUCACAGCAACUAUGAAGAACGGAGCUGACUUCCAUACUUUUGCUUAUUAGAAUUAGGAGUGACACCAAUACACACUGGAAUUGAACAUCCAACUAGUAAAUCCACAAAGAAGUCGUGGUCCCCAACUCGAACAGAAGAAGGAAUCUAGAAAGUCAGAACCGAGCUAUUAAGCCACAGAAUGCAAAUAGUCAGACCAAGCCGAAUUAUGCGCAUACAUCACAAAGCACUACCCAGGAGCUCCAUGCACCAAGUACUCAAUACAUUAAUACUUGAACCAGGAACCAAGCCUGCCACUACUGAUUUCAAUACUUUAUCCUUAAAUGGGGAAUCAUACCACUGCCAGCAAGAAGAGAGCUACUCUGGAAAGAAUCCAAAAAGAAGUCAGAACUGCUGUACUAAUAAAGAGAAAUGCACUCGGGAAUCGGCCUACCAAGGAGAAGAACCUCGAUAGGAACUCCGCCUUUGUUUACUAUAACGAAACCUCUAUCCCUCUAUUACUAUACUUAUUUGAAACUUCACACCCCUUACUUGCUUUCUUGCACUGUUGACCUCUAAUCUGACUUGUUGGGUAGUCAAUCUUACUCCCCGGUAGCGAAAAGCCUUACUUGCUCCACUCCCUUCUAGUUAUAUUAGAAUCAGCUACUCAAACUGUAAGUCCACACAUCCUGUCUUUGAUUCUUAUACUACUAACUAUGGGCCUGUUUCCUUUGACUUUCCACUCUGAAAAUACUAACUAUCGGAAUCAAAACACCACCUGAUAGAUGAAACAAAUAACUAAGACUUCUAUUGUAUUCACUAAUAUUCCCUAGGAACCGUACAAGCCUGCCCUACAGUGGACUAACUCUGACUGAACUUCCUUUGAGCCUACCGGGGCUUACUUUCUUUCUUGAGCUACUGAGCACGGCAGCCUCCCCUUUAGUUCUUGUUGUCUAUCUGUGUCUUGGUGAUUUGAAGCUAGUAAAGGCAGAUCCAUUCUUUUCAGUAGUAAUUCAAUGUGAGAUAUCCGUUUUGUUGUCAGUAGCUUGGUUCUAUUCCUGUAUGCACUGGAUCGAUCAUAACCAUACCCUUAACUCUAUUGACUCUAGCGAAUCUAUUCAUCCGCUUUAAGUUCAAAGAGCAACUAUCUCACAUUUGUUUGCCGACCGGUCUUUCAUCGGACGAUAAUCAAAGCUGGUGAAAGAAGGCGUCCGCAUCUGCUAGCCUAUACAAGGUGCUGCAAUGCCCUUACUAAGCGAUGGAUGCUAUAAACACUGGUAGCGCCUCGGAAGCCACACUGGGACUUACAGCUAUAGCCAGGCACCUAUGUCUUCCAGGGGGAUAUUUCAUCCACUUCUUCCUUGAUCUGGUCGAUGGAUCUUCUCAAUUGGAGGAUUCCAAAUAUGGAGAAUUUAUUACAUCGCUUUUUGAGGAAACAAUUGCAAAUAGUUCUGUAGCUCACCCGAGGUCCACUUCGUUCACUUCUUAUCAUCCUAGUAGGUUUCUGUGCCAUUGGGCCAGCGAAACUUCCUCAGAUCUAGUGUGCUAGCUGACGACGCGUGUAACGCAUGCUCCUGUUCAGUGGCGACGGGAACCUUCCGGAUGGUUAGCCACACCUACCUACGUUAUUUAUAUAGAAAUGACUCGGGAGCCUUGAUCUUAACCCUUCCCCACUAGUUCGAUUUUCAUCAGAGCUGUUAUUAUCCAACUGACAUCUCUACUUACCCUAGGCGCUUGUCUAGUAAACUCUUCUCUUUACGAUUCUCUCUACUUCACCAGGAAGAAGUACUCUCCAAAUCGCAUAGAGUAUGAGAAUGCCGAUUCUGUCGAACCUUAUUUCUAUGCUAAUAAACUUGCUUACCGUAAUUGCUUAAGCGGAAUCUUUCGUGCUUUCAUCUCUCUCAGUGAUGGGUUGAGGACAAGAUAUUGAUAUCUUAAAACAGCGUAAAUCGGCUCCUUUUUCUCCUCUCUCUUUGAGUCAUUCCCUGUAGGAACCGUGUUCGAAAUGCAAUGCAGCCCAUGAAUAGGGCGGAGCUAACUUGCCAUGUACAGGUCCUGCAAUUGCCUGGGUAAGCUAAGCCCAUAGGAAUCUCUUGUCGAUGGAAAAGAAGGGUGAUGAAAGAAAUGAUGACACAAAACCACUUUUUCAUUAAUAAACUAAUUAAUAGAACACGAACCAUCUUGUGCUUGCUUUAGGAUCAUCUAAUUGCGUAUAGAACGAACCAAGAUGCUUACUGUGUCAUACGAGAAUAGUGAAUCCAUCGACCAAGUAGUUAUAACCGAGUCCACCAAGCUACGUAGUUAGUUGCGCAGUAGCGAGCGAAAACUGGGCGGGAGCGAGUGGUUGAAUAUUCUAUCCCCUAGGGAAAGGAGAGUGUAGCCACUCAUUCGAUUAGGGCAAGCAUAAGGAAUGCUUCUAACCUAACCCUACUAGCAUAGCCGGUUUCAUUCAGGCCAAUAACUCUUUGCCCAAGAAGGGACUCCCAGCACUAGAAAGAGGAGCAUCCAAUGAAGACCAGAUGGCAAAGCCAUAAGGACCGGAAAAUAGGGUGAUGGCUAUCCUUCCAGCAAGUGGAUUUCGAGACUCGUCUAUCAAGGAUUCCCCAUCUCUGAAUCGUGGUGCCCGAAACUGUGUUGAGAUUGCCUUUAGUGCUUUGAUCAGGCAGGGAAGAUUGGCGUUUACGUCUUCCCAACUGACUUAGAAAAGAACCGAUCCGAGUAUCGAAAGCACAAUGAGCCGAAAAGCACAUCCAUUAUGGCCAUCUCGUGUCGCUAAAGUAAAGGAUUAUACAUUACUCAAUAACUACUUCAUCUACAUCUCGGCGAUAUCCCACCACUUAUACAUACUUAAGUUGAGUGCUAACUCCUUUUCUCAGUGGAAGUUGACGUGUAAAAACAAAGGCAGACUGAUUCCAAAGAAAGCAACUGUGCUUCGCACGCUUCACUCGCUCAUUGGAAAAAGCGGGCACGCGCCGACAAGGCUGACAAUCACUCACGGAUGUCUUAUAUGAAAGUAUUCUAUCUCUUUUCAUAGAAAAAUGGAUUUCUCUAACCCCUGCCUGCGAGCCUAGGAGCGCUUAGCUUUGACACUGAUGGUAGCGCGUAGGAGACACCGAGGUUAUGAAAGAACAAAUGACCCAAUGUUGAUUUUCUAAAGAAACCUUAGGGAUUUAUACCUUUCUAAAUGAAUUGUCGACAUCAAAGGAUAUACUCGCCCGGUCUAGUAAGGCAUUACUCCAUAUGAUAUUAAGUUAAGGCAUUACUCCAUAUGAUAUGCUCCUACUACAGUACCCUCAGGAGCGGUAGAUCGUCGGUUGCUCUCAAAGGGUAUUCCAUUCCUACAGCCCCAAUUGUCAAGUAGACGCUCCUUCAAUCACUCUUUCGCUUAACAGUGGAAUUAGACACUGAGCAGCCGGCAGCAAGAAUCUAUUGUAGGGAAACCUUCGGAAGAGAAAAUUCCUUAGAAAACGAUUUGAGGCUGAAGGUGUGGAUUACCUUAGAAGAGCUGCUAAGCGCAACUACUAAUGCCUCGGUCGUAUUCGGCUUAGACUGACACCAUAGGGGAGCUCUUUAUCCUAGGCUGCGAAGCGCCCGAAGAGCGGAGCUGCUCUAGAAAGAGCCAAGCCAACCCACUUCCUUUCUUCGGAACUGCUCCCUUCUUUUUAGAAGGGGAACUCGGCCCGGCCCCAUUACCCUUUGAGGUAGCUUCGGGUCGUAGAGUAUACUAGUUAGGUCUAUAGAAUUACGGUAGCUUAGAACUUAUGUUUCGGUCGGAAGUGAAAGGAAAUGGGGAGAAUGGAAUUACUACUGACCUUCGCAGCGACAAUUGAGGGAACCUUAUAGCCUCAUUCUAUAGAGUUUUGGAUAGUAAUCGUUUAGAUGUUAGUCUAUUCUUGCUUUUCUAAGGUAGCCCAAUCGAAGGUCAGGUAGCUUAAAUACCUAUAUAGACAGUUCAUAGAAAGAAGAAGGUAGAUCUUACAGUAGAUUCAAUAAAGGGGGAUGCCAGGCUCUCCUAUAGUAAGAAAUUGCCAUAGAAAAGAAAGUUUACCUACUCUAAGGUCAAUAGAGAAAUAUAGUAGACCCGCUUCAGAAGAAAGAGCUUUUAGCGAGCGCCCCUAUUUGAUUAGUGAAUUUGAUUUGAAUGCAGAGCACAGAUAAGAUCUAAUAAAAGUUUUCCAGAAGCGUUCGCGAAUGCAUACCUGAAAAUGCUACGAGGACAGCUUACUCUCACGAAAAGUCAGACUACGAGGCUUCUUAGCUCACAGCUGACUACUUAUUGAAAGAUUUAGGAUAUAUUCGAUUCCAGUUUUUGACUUUCUUUGAGAAUAUUUAUAGAUAGAGCGUUUUGGAUUCCUAUAGAGUAAGAGGAAAGUGUGUUUACUUUUUGACAAGAUGAAACCUUGUUUGCUGGGGGAAUAGAGCAUCCUUGAGCUUUCAAAGGGUACUAGGAAUGCCCCGUGAAAGAAAGGAUCUUAUCAGCUAGACACUACCUGGGCCCGUGUAUUCGGAAACCAUCGGUCGCUAACUUGCUCAACGAAGCAUUGCCGGUUUAGAAUAACUAGUUGUACCGAGACUUGGUAGGGGGCGGGCAGAUGCCUAAAUCCGCUUUUCAGACCCGGGCAGCUAAGAUAAGAAGAGGGGGGCGUCGGUAUGUGGUACCGUUGACCUUAAGUGCUUAGUAGAUGGGAUGAGAAUACAAAGGAAGAAAGAUCAAGCCCAAUUAAUUAACCCUAUGUAGUAAAAGACGUUUAGUAAGGAAAUUCUUGGUACGGACGCAUCCAAUGCCUGAUGGAUGAACUUCAAGGGAUGAACUUCCCUUUCCCAAGUGCGAAUCAUAUGCUUUAAUCUUAAUGAUCUUGUUUCGCCGCCGUUUCGUCGUUAUAACUCCAAUCCGUGUCCGGUCGGGUCAUUUUCUUAUUUAAUACCUAAGUAUCCUUAAGACUACUAUUUCUCUCCAAAUAAGGGGCCUACUGAACUAUGUAAACAAUUAUAUAAUUAAGCCGGCUCUUGAAAACAUCACUUAUUAUGGUGGAUGAUGUUUUUGUCUUUGUUCGCUUACCUCCGAAAAGGAGAGGUGAGAGGCGGAUUUACACCAGCUGUUGACCUAAGACUUGAAACUGACUUAUACUAGGGCUGCUCUCGUGGUGCCGGAAGGUCGUAUACUCGUAUUCCAUCCUAAUAUCCAUCCUAUCCUCUUAGAAGAAAAUUCCCUUGUAAGUGAGGAUUUGCAUUUGGAAUUCGAAUAUUCGUUUCAGCGAAAACAAUAGAUGCUUCUUAUCGAAGCGCGAACGAAGACUCAAAAUACUCAGAGGAGAUUCCAUGCGUGGUGGAUUCCAUUCCGGAAUUAGCCUUUAGGAGCAUCCGAAUGCCCGCCCGUCCAUGCGAAAUAGAUGCUUCCUGUCCUGUAUCUCUACCUAUCUCGAAUUGGAAUAAGGGGAUGCUACAUCUAUUAAUCUUUUGAAGAGUCCUCCCUUCCUAGCUGCCUUUUCUUGCUAAAUAAGUUGAUAUUAUAGGAUUUGUCUCAAAGAGGCUUUGCUUUCUGAGUUCAUUCUCUUUCAUGUCAUAAUAAAUAUGGACAUUCCAAAUAAAGGGAGUGUAAUGUAAGUGAUGGUGCGCUCCCCGGUUAGCCGGACUCAGUUCAAGGCACGCUUGCCUGCUCUCCUCAUUUGUGAACAGAUGGGACAGGACUCUUUCUUUCGUCAAGAAUAGAUGAGUUUUAUACCCGAGUGAAUUGAUGCAUGCCUUUAUGUGGGAAACGUGUCGAUCUCUAAAUCUUCUAUCUAUAGCGUGUAUGGAUAAGCCUUCCGGGGUGCAACUAAGUGGUCUAACUCGAAUCCCCUUCCUUGAAUGGUGGGAAAGCUUUCCUAUAAGGCCUUUCUUCGGACUCUUUGACUUGCUUUGGACUUACCUGUACAAUGGUGCAAUUCUUAUUAAUAGUGAUUGGAUUCCGUUUUUGGUAUUUCUUCUCAGAGCAAAGUAAAGCAAAGUGAACUCUGUUAGCGCAACAGAGCAAUAAGAAUAAGUGUAGAGAACAAACAGAGCAAGGGAGAAUCAAAAGCAUGGCUUGGGGUAAAGAACGGAAUUGGAAACCGUAAAAGAACCUGCUUUGCUUGCGGGACAAUCUGUAUACCUUGAUUAUGGCGCAAGUGUACGAUAACCAGGGAUCAAGGAAGUAAGCAGCAAUUAGGUAUAGCUAAAUCGGUCUGAUUCCACCAUCUCUAAUAGAUCCAAUGAAAUCAAUGGUUGGUUCAAGUGCUAUUAUCAGUUUUCAUUGAAUUAUCAUAAUCUUCUUUUUCAUGCGAGGGAAGGGAAUAACUUAAUUACUCAAUGGUCCACUUCUGAGGGAAAGAAGGGAGGUAAGCGAAGGAAGUGGGAAAGAAUUCCACAAAUGGACCUUCUUCAUACUCAACUCAGGCUCAUCUCACUCUGGCUACUAAUCCGAACGAACUCUAUCUGAAGGCCCGACUAGACCUAUAAUAAGUGCCCGAACCGAGCCUAGUAACAGACUUUGGGCUUCCUCCUAGACUACUAUACUACACCUCUCCUCUGUAAACUAAUACUUUUCUUGCUCUGGACUACGAAACUACUAGUGGAAGGGCAAAAACAGGUUCACUCAGGAUUCACAAACAAGAUAGGUGGCGAGUUAACCCUAGAGCUUAAAUAAGGGCAGGCCAUUUUCUUUCUUCUUCUCCUAAGUAUCUGCUUGUAGGCUAGGCUUGCUUCCUUUAGAACAGGAACUAGCCAUUCUGCUGCCCCAAGAGAUUCAUUCCUACCCGAGUGUUAAUCAGUUAUCCUUCGUAUCUAGUAUAAGGCAAGUAUCGGUAUUUAUUUGACUCCGCCACAACAAGGCAAGAAAUCAAUAAAUCCAGAAGGGUGCUUUCCCGAGCAGGAACAGGAAAAGGAGUUAGUUUACCAUUCUCAGAAGUAGGAAUUACUGAAUUGACCUAAGGAGUCAAAGAAUUAGAUAAAGUCUUGAGAGCCCUGUUAUGAUUGGUUCAAGUCGUCUUAUUUCUGCUUUUUAUCCUUAUUUGUAGUAGUGGGAUUGCUCGUUUCUUAUUGAAUUAUUAGAAGCAGCAGUAACAGGCACAUAGUAAGUAGAUAAAUACUUUGUAUUCGGUUUGUUAGCAUAGCAUUGAAGACAGUAGUAACAGAACGAUAGACAGUAAAGUAAGCCUCGGUAGCAGCGGCUCGAUUCCCAGUCUCUGUUUUAAUUAGAAUAAGUGGUAGUUUGAUUCACUGUUUGAGGUUUCUUCUUUCCAGUAGUUAUUUCAAGUUUCAUAGGUCUAAGUGUGAUUCCCUUUUUUCAGUAGAAAUAUGCUAAGUUAGAGAUGCAUUCUGUAUAGUAGUAGCCACAUUCCCAUACUAACCAGCUCAAUUCCGAGUUUUGAGUUAGGGUAUCGCUAGCCCUAGUAUCAGCCUCAUGUGACUAUUUGCAUUCUUUCCUGUAGUACCCAUUCUUAUAGCCUAUAGUAAGUGAAGUAGCCACACUCUUGAUACUGGUAGUUUGAUUCCCGUUAGUUGCCCCAAGUGAGUACCCAUUCUUAUAGCCUAUAGUAAGUGAAGUAGCCAAUCACAUUAAAAACAUCUACAGUUGGAUUCCCGCUUCAAAGCAAGUACCUGAUAUAGCUCCUGCUGAUUGAGUUUCUUCCGAUAUAGUAGAUGACACGGUUCUGGUCGGCAAGGGGACAAGCUUAGUAGUUAGUAUCGCUAAAGGGCCGCUCUUCAUGUAGGCAAGGGAAGCAGUGCGAGGAAAGUUUACUUAAGUGCGGUAGGGAGUGAAACGGCAGGGCCGCUCCUCAUCCCCAGUUCCAACUAGUAGAGAGUAUAGAGAGAGAUCUAAAGAAUCAGACAGGCCAGGCAGGCCCUAUCGUUAAGGUUAGUAAGCGGUCAGGGGAGUUCCGUAUUGCAAUAUGGUUCUUGAUCGCCCAGUUCUAGCUUAAAGUCUAUUUUGUCUUAGCAAGGUGAAAGUAUAGGUCGGUGCCGAGCAAAGUAAGGCUUGGCUACUGCCCCUCUUAUCGGGAUUUACACUUUGAUUCACUGAGUUUGAAGCCGGAAACUACUCACUAAAGUUCUGUAUUUGGAGCUGUUGUCUUAGACACUAGAUUGAGUGCCGGUGCUCACUAACCGAAGUAUGAUAAUGACCUAGACCAUACUACUACUUGUAUAUUAACAGGAUGCACUACAUACCCGCUCUUAUUAGUCUUCUGAUUCACCCGUGUAACUGGCAAUUCUUCUUUGGAUUAUCCCCAAUAACUACUGGAUGGACUUGGAAACCCACACUUGCUCCACGCCUCUAGCUUGUAUACAAAUUCGAGUAAUAUUACCUGAGUUUAUCUAUACUCAAUAAACAAACUUGCUUCUUUUCGCCUGGAACUAAACCUUUCGACUACUGAUUCAUUCUCAUCGCCAACGCCAAAACCUUGAGACUCACACUCGACCAGGGAAAGAACUCAACGAGGAAGACUUGACUUGCUCACAAAGAAAGAAAUCGAUUUAGUGUAGAACCAGGGAAAGAACUCAACGAGGAAGACUUGACUUGCUAUAAAAUUCCAAAAGAAAUAUAUUGAGUGUAGUUUUUAUAGCAGAUGCGUUUGGCAAUAAGAAGCCACACAUAAUGUAUUUAAUAUGAGUUAUUUCGCCUGAUGUCUUCGGCGGUAGCGAGUUCACUCCGGCCUUUGACUCUUACUUCCUUUACUAGAAGUCUGUAUUUCCCCCGAGAUUCUUGCGCUUGUUACUGACCAUGUGCCUAUGAGUCUUACUUUACUUGGAUUCCGUCUUUCCUUACUCGAUCUCAGGCUGACUUUUCACUCUAUGACUUAUUACUUAGGGGAUCCAACUCGGAACUGGGCUUUAACUACUAUCUAUUUCAUUAUACUAUCCAUUAGAAUUGAGCCGAUACUGAUGAGAAUGAACCCGGGAACAGGGAAUGCGACUAGCGCUUCUAAUAAGGUAACUCAAAGCUGGUAAUCCAAUCUAUUAAGUCAGAAAUCAACAACUGCUAACAAGAAUGGAACAGUUCACGCAACUCUAAGAAAACGGAAAAAGGGGAAUGGAGCGACUCUAGCUAGAGGCCUGCCACUACUACUUCCAUUACUUUAACUAGAAACUCCGGCUUUACCUCCUGCCUAUCAGUAUGACUUGACUUUCUCUUAAACUCAGCUACUCCCGAUAAAGACCUUAGCUCUAAACUCAGGCUUACCCUGCUGUUUAUAAUACCUUAGCUCGGAACUCAUACUUAUACUGGUGCCUCUGAUAAUCCAACUACUAAUAGAAGGGAUGAACCAAAGGCAUACAAUAAUUCCAUUGGGUAUACUCGAUUUUCACUAGUGGGCAAACAGACAAAAAACAGUGCUUCCCAUCAUGAAACUCGGAACUAGGGCUUGCUCUACUUGCUGUAAACUAAACGACUUAUUUGCAACCUGACACUGCUUUAUUGCAGUAUACCAUCCCUUUCUUUAAGCCUAAGUUUCCUGUCUCCCGUUCUCUAACAUUACCCUGCUCCACGGAAACCCAACCUUAUAAAAACAAUAGCAGUUUUCCAACCCCAAGAAGGUAGUGGCAUAGAAACAGUGCUAAAGUCAGCAUCAAACGGUUAUGCAAGUAGAGAGUAAGCAGAUGCAUUAUUAGAAGCCUAAGAUGAAUUUGGUGAGUCAGCUGUUAUAUAAUUUAGUAAAGAAGAAUCAAGAUCAGAAGAAUAAGUGAUUGUUUUGUCCUAGUCUUAGAUAGAGGAAUCAAUGCCUUUGCCAGACGAAGCCAUUCAAAAGUCUGCAGCUGAAUGACUAGUUCCAGGUUAGUUUGGAGUUGCAGUUGGAAUUGCCUCCUUUCCUUUACUUACCGCAGUACCACAGAGGUUAAACAACGAGAAUUGUCUUAUUUACUACGAUGUAGAGAAUUGUCUUAUUUACGAUGUAGAGUAGUGGUUGCAGGCGCUUUCGCUCAAAGUCAGAAAGUAGUAUAAGUAUGCAGGACGUAGUAGCUUGGCCGGUUUACAGGAAAGUAGACUGCGUAAGGCGCUCUCAAUGUGGCCUGGAAAAGCAGGGUGAAGGUUCCUAAACCGAGACGGGUGUUAGCGAGUUUACAGUUGACUUUAUCUGCGCGUAAAGGAAUCAAUUGAUGUUUCACUUCGAGAUGGAGAGACUAAGCAAUCAGAUCUUAAUUCCAGAAAUUCUGUUACGCUAAGGCUUCAAUGAAAUCCCAUUCUGCAACGGAAGUUCGGGGUUGUCGAUUAAGAAAUCUCUUUUCUCAAUGAAAGUGUAGUUCCAGAUUCAAGAUCAGCAGCGGAAGGAUCCACGUAAGCCGAUACGAAAUAAGGACUUGCGCGUAAGCAAGAAGAGUAGCCAGGCGUUACUCCUUCAGGUGAAACUGGAAUCUGUGUUUGCAACGAGAUCCGUAGAUGAAGAGAGUCGACGAGAGAAGAAAGGCCACUACAAGGUUAGGCAAAAGAUAAGUAAGGGUUAAGAGCGGAAUAAAGUACUAUUUCUGGCAGUAGUGGAAUUCCAGUUUUCUCAGUUAUCGAGUUGGAAGCUAAAGCGUUAAGUAUUGCCAGGCCCAGAAACAGUUGAAGUUAUAGUUCACACAGAAGAAGGAAUUGUGGUUCCAGUGGAAUCUCGAGCUGAAGCAGUUUUGUUUCAAGAGAUUUAUUGUUAACUGCUGUAGUAGCUUGUCGUGUUUUUACUUUAGCUAAUGGAGUGGAGUUAAACAGUGUCAGUGAGUAUGCUUUGGCGCAAAGAAAGAAACAAAGAAAGAAACUAAGGAUGCUUGGGGCGAGAUCCUGGUCUUUACUGCUCUGUGGGCGGAGUUGAACAUGGGUAUUACGACGAGUAAGGCAUUAUUGACAGCUCUUUCACCGAGUAGAUAAGAUGGCAUUCAAGCGAGAUCUGGAUCCGUUCUAAAGUCAGCAAUAAGGUAUAGAACAACUCUUAUUAAUAUUACCCCAAAUCUAUAUGAUAAAGAAAGAGAAAAUGGGGUAUUUGGCCUCUAAAUCCGGUGGAACAGGAGAACAAUAAUUAGCUGUUUCCAGUAGAAAGAGAAUCCGCUAGAGAAGAUACUCGAUUUGAAGCAUAAGAUGCUGCAGGGGCUAAAGGAAAGUAGCAAACUACAAGAUCAGAAGCCUCAGACGAAUCUCCUUCUUAUAGAAUACUAGUAACCGGUCACCCUAAAAUCCGGGACCCUAUACCUUUUGGAUUGGAGAGUUCGGUGCUCUAGUUUCAUCGCUAGUUCCCAUCCUCUCUUAAUAGAAUGGAAGACAGAAUGCUUAGGCGCAGGUCAGGUUAGCUAGCGGAACCUAAAGUGGAGUUUCAUCGUAUGUAGAAAGAAGCUCUGCUGAGGUGCUCUAGCUCUAAGUAAGAAAGUCUAGUUCGCCGUUUGACAAGGCGCUCGAUAAUCAAUUCCUGUUUUUAUAGUGUUGGUUUGAGUUGAGUUCCCGUUUGAGUAUCCGCUAAAGUGUAAGUUCAAUCUCAUUCUUCGCAUAAAGGAACUCUGUGCUCGAAAGAUGAAAUGAAUUAGGAAGACAGGCCAGUCCCUAUAAGACUAAGUAGAUAGAAUAGAAGAAAUAAGGAAUCGUAAUAACUUCAUGAAGCGGAAGCCAUAGUAGGAGUAGUAACAAGAUCUGUUGCAAGCACAAAGUUCCCUGAGAGUAUUGUUCCAGAUGAAACAUAAGCUGGAGAAUCCGCAGUCCGCCUGUCAGCACCAACCGCUCCCGUCCUGGAAUCCGUUUCUGUUUGAGACGCAUGUUAGUAUGUAAUUCCAUUCUUCCAUUUUGUCCUAUGAUUCCUCUUAUUGCUAUGAUUCCUUAACUGUAAACUAUCAACUGUAAACCUAAACUUUCCCUGACCCCUACUCAUACUAACGCUACACAUUAUACGUGGGCUGGCUGCCGCGCAACUAACUACAAAGCUUGGCGGUCAUUAUCCUAAGCUUGUCUACUUUUUGAGUCCACCAAGAAUUCUUGACUUCAAAGUGGUUAAGCUACUAUAUAUCCUGUAUACGCUCUUUCGAUUCCCCGAAGAUUCUAAGAUAAGGCAUUUCAGGUCUAAGAAAAGAAACAGCAAGCUAAUUAGAGUUUCUCAUUUAUGUUUAUAUAGUAGGGUUCUCUCAAGGACACUGAUCUCUGGACAAUUCUAAUACGGAGGGCAGUUGGCUAUACCACACAAGAUGACAGGCAGUUAAUAUCCUAGAGUGCCUCUUCCGCUAACUCUCAAUAGACUUGAAUUUCCGUAAGAAUGCAGGGUUUAACCCUUCUACGAUUCGUGACUUUCUUUUGAUCACAUUGAGCCAGGCUGAGAGACGAGGAGUAGCUCCGAAAGAAAGAAUAGCCAGACUUUCGUGUACUUGGUGGUGUCCUUCUAUUUGCGUUUCGUGUCUAAAUCUAAGUAGAAGCAUGAGUAAGGUGCUAAGAGCCUUUGAAUCUUGGUGUGAAAAAGAAGGGUGCCCCCCUGCAUACGUAUAUGAUUGAUUGAUCUCCUCCCCGGCCCGUAGAUGUCAAAUACAAAAAGGGGGAUUUUCAGUGAAUAUAUAAGCAAAGAGGACAAGAGCCCGAUUGUUUGGGGCGACUACACGGCGGAGCGGAUUCUUUAAAUAUCGGCUGCUAGUCCAAAUCAAUAGCAGAGCACAAGCCUACCAUCAGACUAGAUUAUAUCCAAACCCCAGGGUUGUUCGGACUGGUACGAUCAAGACUUCGACUCCGACCUCCGAAGUAAGGUCUUACACUCCUAGAAUCAAUAAUCUAUAUUAGGUCUUCUAGGAUCCGCAGGUCGUGAAGGAGAUAAGCAGGACUCUUGGUGAAAGGAUUUUCGCUGACUCUUUUACCUUGAAAGUCAAAACUAUCCGGAAGAGUAUUCUUUUGAAUGCCUUGAGCCUUGAGGUAAGCAUUACUUACCACCAUCACAACUCAUGAUUCAUGUCUUUCGAAGAUAGGGGAACAUUGUGUUUUGUCUUUCCAUGAUUGAUUUAAGCGCUUUACAGAAUGGAUAAGGUUUGGAACUAGACAGAUUGGCAGUAAUGCGAAAACAUAAUCCCAAAGAGAAUAAAGAAUAGGGAGAAUUCAGAUUUGGUGGUACCUUCAUUGAUACUCAUCAUGCGAAUUGGAGAGCAUGCCCCUAUGUAUCUGUUCUUUAUGAGAAGUUCCUUCUAAAGAUGUCAACAUCUAUUUUGGAUUCAACAGCGGAAAAACAUCAAACAAUUCAUGCUUACUAUAGGUUCUAUUUGGCUUGUCGAAAUACCGUCAUCAUAAAUGAUGCCUUGCCUCGAUGGUAUACCUAUCGCAAUGCCUUCAUCCAAAUUGGAUAUGACCGGAGAAAAGGGAAUCUGCCAAUCGGUUAAAGCAAAGAUUCUGUUGGUGUUCCAUAAGCCCUAUUCCGUCCUAUUUUCUUAACGUUAUUAGUAGCGGCUCUUAAGAAGUACGCCCAAAAACAACAGGCGGCAACCNNNNNNNNNNNNNNNNNNNNNNNNNNNNNNNNNNNNNNNNNNNNNNNNNNNNNNNNNNNNNNNNNNNNNNNNNNNNNNNNNNNNNNNNNNNNNNNNNNNNNNNNNNNNNNNNNNNNNNNNNNNNNNNNNNNNNNNNNNNNNNNNNNNNNNNNNNNNNNNNNNNNNNNNNNNNNNNNNNNNNNNNNNNNNNNNNNNNNNNNNNNNNNNNNNNNNNNNNNNNNNNNNNNNNNNNNNNNNNNNNNNNNNNNNNNNNNNNNNNNNNNNNNNNNNNNNNNNNNNNNNNNNNNNNNNNNNNNNNNNNNNNNNNNNNNNNNNNNNNNNNNNNNNNNNNNNNNNNNNNNNNNNNNNNNNNNNNNNNNNNNNNNNNNNNNNNNNNNNNNNNNNNNNNNNNNNNNNNNNNNNNNNNNNNNNNNNNNNNNNNNNNNNNNNNNNNNNNNNNNNNNNNNNNNNNNNNNNNNNNNNNNNNNNNNNNNNNNNNNNNNNNNNNNNNNNNNNNNNNNNNNNNNNNNNNNNNNNNNNNNNNNNNNNNNNNNNNNNNNNNNNNNNNNNNNNNNNNNNNNNNNNNNNNNNNNNNNNNNNNNNNNNNNNNNNNNNNNNNNNNNNNNNNNNNNNNNNNNNNNNNNNNNNNNNNNNNNNNNNNNNNNNNNNNNNNNNNNNNNNNNNNNNNNNNNNNNNNNNNNNNNNNNNNNNNNNNNNNNNNNNNNNNNNNNNNNNNNNNNNNNNNNNNNNNNNNNNNNNNNNNNNNNNNNNNNNNNNNNNNNNNNNNNNNNNNNNNNNNNNNNNNNNNNNNNNNNNNNNNNNNNNNNNNNNNNNNNNNNNNNNNNNNNNNNNNNNNNNNNNNNNNNNNNNNNNNNNNNNNNNNNNNNNNNNNNNNNNNNNNNNNNNNNNNNNNNNNNNNNNNNNNNNNNNNNNNNNNNNNNNNNNNNNNNNNNNNNNNNNNNNNNNNNNNNNNNNNNNNNNNNNNNNNNNNNNNNNNNNNNNNNNNNNNNNNNNNNNNNNNNNNNNNNNNNNNNNNNNNNNNNNNNNNNNNNNNNNNNNNNNNNNNNNNNNNNNNNNNNNNNNNNNNNNNNNNNNNNNNNNNNNNNNNNNNNNNNNNNNNNNNNNNNNNNNNNNNNNNNNNNNNNNNNNNNNNNNNNNNNNNNNNNNNNNNNNNNNNNNNNNNNNNNNNNNNNNNNNNNNNNNNNNNNNNNNNNNNNNNNNNNNNNNNNNNNNNNNNNNNNNNNNNNNNNNNNNNNNNNNNNNNNNNNNNNNNNNNNNNNNNNNNNNNNNNNNNNNNNNNNNNNNNNNNNNNNNNNNNNNNNNNNNNNNNNNNNNNNNNNNNNNNNNNNNNNNNNNNNNNNNNNNNNNNNNNNNNNNNNNNNNNNNNNNNNNNNNNNNNNNNNNNNNNNNNNNNNNNNNNNNNNNNNNNNNNNNNNNNNNNNNNNNNNNNNNNNNNNNNNNNNNNNNNNNNNNNNNNNNNNNNNNNNNNNNNNNNNNNNNNNNNNNNNNNNNNNNNNNNNNNNNNNNNNNNNNNNNNNNNNNNNNNNNNNNNNNNNNNNNNNNNNNNNNNNNNNNNNNNNNNNNNNNNNNNNNNNNNNNNGAAGCUCUAUAACAACUGCGGAGAAGCUCUAUAACAACCAAAUAGGAAAGAUCUUGAAGGAAAGAAAGAAAGGAGAACUUUGGAUAGGAAAGGAAAGAUCUUGAAAAAAAGGAGAACUUUGGAUUAUUCCAUAUCAAAGGGCUGAUUCCACUUCCAACUUACAAGGACUGAUUCCACUUCCAACUUACGGAGGAUGAUAUCUUCGUAGACAAUAAGAGAUAGAUCUAGGGGUCAGGAGAUGAUCUUUGUAGACAAUAAGAGAUAGAUCUAUGGGUAAAGAGAUGAGAUUCUUUCUUAUUAGUGGAAAAUUGCCCUAGCUAGAUUCACUCCCUUAUUAUAGCAGCGCAGCCCCUUGGCUUUGUCCCAUAACAGCUGAUAGCAAGCAUUCCUGACUUUGGCUUUGUCCCUUACCAGCUGACAGCAAGCAUUCCUUACCUUGGCUUUGUCCCUUACCAGCUGACAGCAAGCAUUCCUGAAUGGAUCUAGACUCUUUGGCUACCGGCACCUCAACAAAGUCACUUUCCUUCCUUCCACUCUAAUAGUUCUAGCUUUCUUUAGGGGCCAUAAGAAGAAAGUGGAAUGUGCUAUUCUCAGUCAUCCCAUUCCCUUCCAGUUGGAACUAGUAAUGCCGCAUCAGGCUCUUCCUUCUUAUUGAGAGCAAAGGGGUAUACCUUCUGCGUGCUUAACCCAGCAAGAUCCGAGAUCUGAUCUACGUCCUGCUUACCCGCAUACCCUUGAAAAGACACUUUAUGCCCCAGGUGUGAAGGAACUUCUUGCACAUGGGGAAGGAAUUCGGAGGGAAUAAGGCAUCAAAGAUCUAUGGCAUCAGUCGAAGACUAGGUUGCAUCAUAGAAUAUAUAGGUUGCCAAUAAGAUGAAGGCAAUUCUCUUAAAUAGGGAAGGGGAGCUAUGUCUUUACUCAUAGGGAAGGGGAGCUAUGUCUUUACUCCACUAUAUACUUGGUGCUCGAAAACAAACAAACAUCACUUAUUUCAUUGAAAAAAGCAAAUAGAAUAGUUAAGGGAAUGGAAUCAAAAACAGAUAAUAGAGAAUACGAUAUGGAACAAUAAACAAGUACUGUAGCGCCUAGAAGCAUAAGCCACAUAUCUUGGAGUUCCGAGUUCACCCAGAACCAUAUCAGAAGCGGGAGACAGAGAAUCACUUCAGGGUUAAGAAAGGAGAGUUCGAGUAUAGGAUCUUAUCUCUAUCGGUAAAGUCGAAAGGAACCGACCCAUAGCAAGCGGAAAGUGGAGUUUCAGAAUCAUUAAUACAUCCUGUCUGGGGUAGGAACUUUAUAAGUUGUUGUAUCCGGAAUAAGGAGAUACUGAAUCUACUGGAUCUAUAGAAUCAUAUAGAUCAGGGAGCAAUAGUAAUAUGUCCAGAGUCGGUGUAAGGAGAAGAAGUUCAGCAGCUAGACAGAAUACAAAUAUCAGAAGAGAAAUAGGGCUAUAUUUAGGUAAGAAGAAUAGGAAUAGGAUUUCGCUAGGUAUUAUAGAAAAGGGUAAGUCACAAACCAUGCGCUCUCUACUUAUUGAAUCGAAUCGGCUGACUUUUGAACUUCUGAAGAUCCUAAUUCCAAUCCAACUCUUUCUGUAUCUGUAGUCCUGUUUUCUGGGGCCCCCGUGUGUCUUUCUCUAUGACGAGUAGUUAACAGGCGUUAAACGACAAGCUUCUAAAUUCAUGCUCUUGCUUCAAUGGAAUCUCUUUCUGGGGAAUUUGGAGUGGGCAUUAUUGCCCCAUGUCGGUUCCGCUCUUAAUCGUUCCCUGCCUCUGUUCAUCACGCUGGUUCAGUAGUUUCGAUCAACGAUGUCUCUUUCGUCGUCGUUAAUACGUGGAAUAGAGAGUGACUCGGCAGUGGUCUCGUCUGGUGCUUUCCCAUCGCAGCACUUCCUUGUUAGUCGAUUCAUGUGGAUGGUGAUCCAUUGGUCUUUCAAUCGACUGGAUCAAUCUUCUCAGGAUUCUUAUACCGACGAUGGCCUUUUUUCAGUACACCUUAUUGACUUCAGUAAUGGAAUCUAUCUCACCCGCCUCUCAUUUAGGAAUAGAAACUACCUUUCCUGUUAGCGCAGAGGAAAACAACACUCUAAAUUGAACUGAUGUGUAUUGCAGACAUGAAUUUAUUGAAUCCUAUAAUCUAAGGAAUUUCUCUAAGACACCUUGGGCUACGGGCAAUCACAGGACAUUAAGCUGCUGACUCCCAGUUUACUGCUGGCUCUCUCUCUUGGGGUGCUAACGGGUGAAGCCCUGUAACUCGCUUGUUUGUUUGUUCUCCUGACUGCAAUUACAAAUUGAGGGUUAUAUGAAGACAACUCUGGUUUUCACCCGAUACUUGAAAGUUCAAGAACUCCUGCCGCGGAAGGAGCCCCGGUGCUAGAGUCUGAGUUGUUGUAGAAAGAACAGCUCUUGGUCUUGCUUGGGAGGGAAGGAAGGCUUUUUUGGUUUUGGGCUAUUACUAGUAGAUCCCUUUCUCUUUGCACGAACAGGGAAAAGAUCAAAGCAAGGUAUUCCUUUUGAGAAUCUAGUUGAUGCGAGCCUAAUUCAUUAUGCCAUAUCCACUCGACUCGGGUAAGCCAAAAAAGAGGUGUCUCAAUAGCCCUUGGGUGAAUAAUAGAAUACGGGAAUGAUUCAUUGAACGGAACCUACCAGUUAGGCUUGGAGAACAGAGCUAGUCAACAGAUCUAGACGUGCGAUAUGGGACACGAACGCCAGGCCCUGUUGCCUGAAGGGAGGGACGAGGUCUUUCUUUUCGGUCUUUCUUUUAGAGACAAAGGGUUAGGCGGCUGAUUCAGAGGAGUAGGCUAUUGGCAUUCCAUUCCGGACAAGGCAGUUAGCGGACUUCAGGCUAUCACUCUCUUCCGGGCAUUAGCAAGCAAUCCAGACAUAAAUAUCUGCCGAGCCAGCCGGCAAUCCAGACAUAAAUAAGGAGAAUUGAUAUCUGCCGAGCCAGCCGGUAAGAAAGCUAACCGAAAUAAGGUAACAGAAGGAUUCUGCUAGUCUAUGAAUAGAGAAACAAUCAGUCUGUGAUAAGCAUAGCAUCAGAUAGCUGAAAGAAGUUGCUAGUUCUGUAAGCCUAUUACGAUCAGCAGUAGCCGAACGAACUGGAUGCUAAUCAGUCAGAUCAGAUAGGAAAAGCCUUUGGCAUCUAAGCUGGCUCACGGUGGAUAGCUAGGCAUGUAAGGUAUAUUCUUCUCUUGACUAUGCCAAUCCUAUCCUUUACCAACAAGCAGGCUACCGAUAUAGCUGUGGAUUGAUAUAGAGAGUAUACUGUGCCAAGCCUAGAAAGUCAUAAUUUCUGAAUGGGAACUUACAUACAAAAAGAAUGGAACAGUAGACAACCUUGGUGUAAAAGUGGAACAUGCGAGAAAUGACGUACCCCACUUAAGCUUGAAGAUCCUAAUCCUACUGCUCGAACAGUAACUCCACGAAACGACUUUCCAAGAACUGCUUCCACAGCGUAUUCUUUUGGGCUUCAGAUCUUGAGACUUCCAAAAUACAGAUAAAGAUUCAUAAUUAAUGGAAUAUUGGACUUGGGCGUGUUAGGAAGUUAAGCAAGAACAAGUAAUGGCGUUCCAUACACGUAAGCACCCGAACAAGCUUAUUUCUACGAACAAGAGCUACGGUCGACCACUACAAGGGGCUUCAGAGCAUAAGGGCACAUAAAGUAUACCUUUUAGCAUCGCGGGGAAACUCCUCUCUAUCAUGUGGGAAUCCUCAUUGAAACUUGGAAACGGUACUUCUGAUGCAUUUCACCCUAACAUAUGACCUGUUCCCUUGCGCAACGGGUAGAUCCUCGUGUAAUGAGUGGGCAGUAGAGAAAAUACAUCCCACAAUAUAUUCUGACUUAAUAAGAGCACUUGGGAUAAAGUGACGUAAAUCCACUAUUCCCUUUGCUUUUGACGAACUCUACUUAGAGCUAGAGCACCGAACCUCUCUCGUAGACAUCAAGCCAAUAACCGUACAAAACGGAACUUCCCGAUCCAGAUCCUAAUUAUGCUUCAAAGCCCGGAUGAAGAAGGGACGUUGCUUGGUGGACUUGCUUAUUACUGUUAUUAACUCCUAAUGUUAUUGUCCCCUUUCUCUUCUGACCCGUGCCCCGACCUCCACUUUCCGUUUAGAAAUGUCCACUCUUGCGCCAACAGCUUUCCCUCCACUUUCCGUUUAGAAACGUCCACUCUUGCGCCAACAGCUUUCCUUCCAGUUUCAGAUCAGUCUUCUUGAGCACCAGGUCCGGUAUGGAAAUAAGUCAAGUAUCGAACAGUCCAUUCCCUUUUUCAACAACAUUAUUUCCUUGCCUUGCCGGAAACUCCAAAUCGAAGUGUCCCGAGUAGUAGGUCCAGUCAAAACAUUAACAUUAAGGGUCUUGAAUUGCACUUUCGCCAACAAAGGCGGAUACAGAUUCAAUAAGGGAUGAAACGAAAACUCCACUUGAUGAUUCUUCACCGACAACAAAGGGAAAGCCCAGAACUGCACCAGAAGCUUACGUAGUUAUGUACUCGAAAGUGGAAGAAUGAUUUGUUGCUUCAGCGAUAAGGGACUGAGUGAGAAUACUAGUAAGUCCCCUGGGGUGCCUCUAACUCUACUCUUGGAAAGUAUUCAACUCUAUUCUGAAACUCUUACUUGCGAGUGGAAUUCUUUACUCCGAUAGUUUCAUUGUUUAUUUCGAGUGGAAUUCUCACUUUUCUAUAAGAGCACUAGGGGAGUCGUUCAAUUCUCACCUUAGAGUGGAGAGCACAUGGUUUGUUAUACCCAUCUCUAUUAUCCCUAGGCGGGGAACAAGGAAGUUAUUACAAUCUCUUUGACUUAUUAUUCUUAUUCUCUAUACGGGCGCAAAGGGAGCUUCCUUGCCUAUAAGAUAUUCUGUUCUUCACCCCUAGCUAUAGCUUCUUAUCUUUCAAGAGCUUCUUAAUACGGUUUAUUACUUACUUCUUUUCUUCUUAACACCGCUGAUCCAUUCUCGUAAACUACACUCGCUCGCACUGCUUAUUCUUAUGCUUGAGAUCUUUAUUACCUUGCUGGUUAUUUAGCCGAUUCCCUAGCUUCUGGUGUUGGCGAAAGUCCUGUUUGGGGGUUAUAAAAGUAGAGUUAAGGUCGGAUUAAAGUACUGGUUCUUAUGCUUGUGUUUAAGGCUGUAACUCCUUUCCUUGGACUUAAGUGGAUAAAGCUGUUCCUGUGAAAGUGGAAUCCGCCUCUGUUGCUUGUGUUACUAAGUAUUCAAUAGAAGAAGUGUAAGUAGGUUAAAGUGUUGCAGUAGAAGGAGCUCGAUUGGCACUCUCAUCUUAAGAUUCAAUAAAUGAUUUAUUUGACUUCAGACUCAACACCAACUCUCUUGACUGUGCCGGUUAGAAAUAGAUUUCCAUUGAAGCGGUUCAAUUCAAUGAUUAACUGAAACAAACUAGAGUGAAGCGAAGGAAAGAGGACAAGACAAGUCACUACUUUAAGCGGUAGGAGCGGAUGAGUUUAGCUAAAGGGAGCUUGGAGACAAGCACUUAUUAACGCAGCUUCGCGAGUGGAAUCCGUUUGUCCACUUUCAUCCUAUAUCAAUGGAAUUUCUAAGGCUAUUUCGGGAGCUGCACCAGCCAUUACUUGUUUUGUUCUGGCGCUGUUCAACAGUUGGGCGAGUAAGGCCAGUCAAUCCUGAAUUUAUGAAUCUCACUGACUUAAUGAAGUAAACAAACAGAGCAUUGCUUCCAAACUACUCCUAACAUGAAGGGGCUAACUCACUUAAGAAAAGGGCUUGUUCACGAAUAGCUUGUUCUCGAACGGGGCACUUUAUAGGUAGGGGGGAAGUCUGGAAUAUAAGACCCCCAGCCAGAUCUGCCUUAUCGAACAUCUAAUACUUACGCCAAAUAUUCUAUUGCAUGUGAGGGCUUGUUUUCAAUUGAAUAAGAAUCUCCUUUUGAGGAAGAGAAGGAGGGCUGGUAUUUCAUUAUCAGAGGACUAGUCGUUAGAGCUAGUAAUGAAGAUGGCAUGAAGAUCGGCAUAUUACUAUUACUCUUAUAGACGAGAGCAUCUAGAGCAAUGGAUCGAGUAACUCCGCUCCGGAUCAACUGCCUAACGCGCAUAAACGAAGCUCGCCCCCUGUACUGUAUGUAUUUCUGUUAGUCACUCCCUCCCGCUAAAGCUAAAGCAGAAGAUGCGGCUUAGCCAGCAGCACUCUUUGAUCGAACCUUCUGUUGUAAGAAGAAGGCCUUUGCCUGGUCAAGAGAAAGAAGCUAUAAGUGACUUAGAGGCCUCAGGUAAUAAUAGAGUCCAGUCCGUAGGAAGGUAAUGCAGCUAAGCCGAGACUAGCUUGCUUCUGAGGCAUUGCAUACUUUUCAAACCAUUAUUAUAUGCUAUUAUAUGACGAUAUGAUCUUUUCUCUUGUUCAGAAGUGACGUUUGCUGCUAUCUACGACAAGAGUUAAGGAAUUGAUAGGGAAUCCGGUCUUAGUUUGAAAGAAGAAAGAACAGCAGCUCCAUUUUAGAUUCAAUCUGGCAAUAACUCUAGGUUCUUCACCAGUUUGGAUUGAGCUUUCACUCUUUCAAGGUAGAGCGAGAGAGAAGGAUGACUUCGACGAGCGAGAGAGAAGGAUGACUUCGACCGGGCCUGCCACUCACUCCACCGGAACCAGUAUGCUUCAUAAUACUGACCCAAUCUCGAUUUGGAAGUCGAGACAUCACAACUCCUGUGGCCUGCGAACUCUCUUGCAAUCCUACUUUUACUCUACGGCUGAUAUGGUAGGGUAGAAAUGGUUUGACAUCAAAGUCUGGAUGUAGUUUGGUGAAACCCGGCAGAUGAAGAAGCCCUAACGAAAGCAGGGAUCAUCUUUGAGAAGUAAGCUAUCUCUUGCCCUCUUUACCGAUUUGCAUCCUUACCUUACGAAAAAUGGAUGACUUAUAUGGAGCGAUGGAAGAGUAGAGGACCUCCUUGAGAUGGGGAGAUGCUUUUACCAAUGAAAGGAAUUAGCUCCUGGAAGGCCAUAGCAAGAGAGAUAGCGUUGGUUUCCGACUUAGUGAGAGAAGUAGGUAGUAUCAAGCAACAGGCAACCGAGGGUUGUUGAAGAACCCGAGUGUAUCAAUGGAAUGAUUGAGCGUUACGGGUACUCGGGAGUUAAGGACAGGCUUGACUAAAGUCCCCUCACUGGUAAAGAUAUUAGUAAGUGCCUUUCUACCAACCCUUUGGAAAAAGAAGCAAGCCCUCAUUCAAUUGAAAGACUUCCACCCUGAACAAAGAAAGACAUAAAGAGCAGAGCUCUCAGGACGCAAGGCUUUGUAGGUAAGGCGAUCCCCUCAAGUAUAACAGAGCACCUGCGAGCUACUGGACAGGAGCGAUCCAUAAGAAUAGCCUCGAAUAGCCCUAACCUCAUCUCGCCUUCCACCGCACCAGCAAGAGGAAACCGAAUGAGAGCAGACAGAAGACUAAUGCCAUCCGAGCAGAACCAGAAACUUGGACGCCGCCCAACAAGCACACCGGUUACUGAUGAAAGACCGUCUUAAAAGACUAGGAGCUGAUUCUAACAAAGAGAAAGACAAAAGUAGCUUGGCCCCCUUUUAGAUUCUUCACCGACGAAACUGUCAACCGAACUCAAACUUUCCUUUAGCGUAGUGCAAUCCAUUCCUCAUAUUAAUUGGACUCUCUAACAGAGCAUCUAAAUAGAAGUUCUUCUUAUUACCAGAGUAUCUAUAUCCACAACAUCCUUAUCUUAUAUUAUUGCUGACAUUGCUUACUGCUGGAACAACACUUUCUGAAUCGCUCGUUGCCAACACACAGAUGAAACUCUCCUUGAUGGCCCGAUAAGUCCCCGAUACUGAAGCAUCAAAAAGAAAGGUGCUGAAAGCCUUCUUAGAUUUGGAGAAGUGCCGAUUUUCAAGAACGUGAAUCUUAUGAUAUGUAUGGGGAAUCUCUUAUGAUAAUCAUCCACGCCUUCCACUUAUUUUGAUGCCGGAAAGUUGGAUAGGUUGGCCCCUACGUAAGGACUACUAUAUUACUCCCCCUAUUUCUCUAUGAAAUACAAGAUUGGAUUGGAUUUGUACAGUGUGUAGGAGGUACAUUCUUUCUAUUGCUAUCCUUUCACUCCUCUCGACUCUACUUGAGAAGUGUUUUUCACUUAUAUGUUCUGUAUGAAUUAUAGAUAUCUUACAUAAGAGACGGAUUCUUCUUUUUGACUAAAGCACAGUAAGAAGAAACAUGAAAGAAAAAGAGAGAGACGGGAGCAUAAUAGAACUUUGUUCUUGCUUGACCAUUACCUUCCAUACAUAUAUUUUGACCAAUAAAUAGGAGGAGGUGUAUAUAGUUAGACAGAUAGAUGAGUAAAUACGUAUGAAUACUCAAAAUACUAUUAACGCCCGGCCUGAUCCAUCUCGAUUCAUUUGUAUGAUCAUAUCUAUCCGAUACAUUAUUUACGUAUCAGGAACAUGAUUGGGACUGGUAACACGAGAUGAGAGAAGUAUUUUCCUCCGAUCUACCAACUGAGCCGACCAUUUACCGUGCAUAAUCCUAGUAUAGUACUCUAAUCUAUGUCAAUUAAUGGGACUAAACAAACAAAGUAGUAAAAGGGACUAAACAAACAAAGUAGUAAUAAAUGACACUAGUAAGUGUAAGGAUAAUGAUAUGGACUGUGAAUGAUUCAAUAAUAGAGAUUCUUUGCCCAUAUAUGUUCAUUUGUACAGGUUCUAUCCAAAUUGGGAUAAGAUCAUGAUUGAAGUUCGGAUCCUUUUGUGAAAGAGUAGAGUGAAUGAGAAAGAUAGUGCAGUUUGAACUAAACCACUGAUGCAAAAUAUGGAGUAUAAUAACUUUGGAAGUCAGCUUUAUUGGGAAUAGAGUAGGCUUUAUUGGGAAUAGAGUGACUUGAAACCCUAACAUUUUGAAAGUCGAUGACAGACUAACUGCUGGAAGGAAAGGGUAGUUUCAUUUAGAUUCACUAUUUAUUUGAUAAGAGAAUGGCUUCCAAUUCGGAACUGAAACUGGAGUUCUUGUGCGAGUGUUGUCAAGCGACGACUCCUCUUUUCUUGGUUGCCAUAACAAUAGAGUAUUUUCAAACAAGGGAAGAAAUAGAAUCAGCAGCACCGAGAUCAGAUGCAGUUUCCAGGGGUAAAGUUCCUGCUCUCCGUCUCUGCUUGAGUUUCCGAACACAGGACUUGUUUCUAACUAGAGAAGAAAGGAACGAAAACAGGCGAACGAACAAAGAAGGCUUUCCCCUAGGUCGUUAUGUCUAUUCUAUGGAACGGAGCUACUCGUAGGAAAGAAAGACGUAGAGAGCCUAUGAGUAUAUGAAUGGAUUAGGAGGAUUGGGAUAUCUAAGAAAUGCGGAAAUCAAUCCUGAAGAGUCAAUAUCUGUUUCACGCAAACACCGAACUCCGACUCUUUAGAAGAAUUGUUGAGGCAUGCCAUAUACCAGCUGCAUUGCAUUAUGGACCGGCAUCCAGUCCAGUACCUGACCUUAAUCAUCUACAUAAGAGCAUAUCGGCGCCUAAACCCUAAACUAUACCAAUCGGACCCAACAUCCAUCAUAUUCGAUCCCUGCACCAAACAAACCAUAUCUUAUUGACUUUGCAAUCGUCCCCAACACAUUUCUACUUAUAUCUACCACCUAUCUAUCUAUAUAUCUAAUAGAGAAACAGGUACUACCUACCUAUAUAUCUAAUAGAGAAACAGGUCUCAACCUUCUUGUUUACUCGAUCGACUAACUGGUCUCAUCUCAACCUUCUUGUUUACUCGAUCGACCUAUAGCCAUAGGCACCUUAAAUGGAAAAUGGCAUUAUGGGACCUUAACAUAGAAAAUAGCAUUAUUUACCCAAACCCUAUACUAUCAAAAGGGGGAGGCACCCCAAGAGACUUGCUUAUUCCAUUCCAUUCCCUUACCUGCCAAGUCUGAUUGUCAAGAGUCGUACGAGUGUCUGAGGGCAAGGAAUAGUAUUCAAAAAGGAAAAGAAUGUACCCAUUGGCAUGAUAACCAAUCGCAUACCCAGAAGUCUGAUGAUGCCCGGACCCUUGCAAGAGAGAUUGAUGCGAAUGAGAUUGAAAACCUGAUUGGGCGAUAUCCUCUAAGAAAGAAUCAUUGCGACUCAUUUAUAGUGUUGUUUACAAAGAAGAUUGAAACUAUAAGAGAUACAACGGGAAGCAGCUAAAACCUUAAGGAUCCUGAUAGUUGUAAUAUUAAAGCAGUAUAGUUGUGUGUAUAAAGCUGNNNNNNNNNNNNNNNNNNNNNNNNNNNNNNNNNNNNNNNNNNNNNNNNNNNNNNNNNNNNNNNNNNNNNNNNNNNNNNNNNNNNNNNNNNNNNNNNNNNNNNNNNNNNNNNNNNNNNNNNNNNNNNNNNNNNNNNNNNNNNNNNNNNNNNNNNNNNNNNNNNNNNNNNNNNNNNNNNNNNNNNNNNNNNNNNNNNNNNNNNNNNNNNNNNNNNNNNNNNNNNNNNNNNNNNNNNNNNNNNNNNNNNNNNNNNNNNNNNNNNNNNCGAGAAAGAGAUAUCCAUAAUGGAAGCCCCAGAUAACAUAUGUGAAGACCCAGAGUGCAUCAAACAAAGAAAGGAAUAGGCGAACUUGGUUUGCGGCUUGCUUGGCAAAAAUAUAUAUAGUAGAGGGGUGAAGGAGCUCGGCGGGAAUAAGCUUAGUGCCGGUAGUGCAAUACUACUUUCAAUUACAGAAUCUGAUGAUGAAGAAUAAAAGACUCUAAAAGAAACUGACUCAUAUAGAAUGCAUGUAAGCAAACUGCUUCCUAAAAGCGACUUACUUAUAUAGAAAUGAGGUAACCAAAGAGCUUAUUAAAAGCAAUGCUGUGUUGGCGCAAUAUUGCAUAUGUUAUUUAGAAAAGCAUAGAGAACUGUGAGUUACUGUAGUGAGGUUACAGUUACUAUUGCGCAAGUAUAGUGCUUUUGGUGCCUCGUGCCUCUGUCCUUAGAUUCUAUGGUGAGGGCAGCCUCAAUUCGUUCUUCUUGUUCUUUCGCUCUCUUAUGAAUUAUAUACUAGUGGUUCUUAAUACUCCUAUCAACAAGCAAGGUAAGCGCGUGAGCUUAUUGUUGUUUAGAGUUAGGUUUACUCAGUUCCAUAAGAAGUAGCACUCAAUUAGAUUCUUAUUCCAGUGUUGGGUUGGUGACUUCUUUCUAUACUGUGACAGUGCUAGCUAAAUUCAAAGCAAUGGAACAAGCAAACAAGCAUCGUUCCUAAGUGCUAACGCUUAUCUCUGGGGGUCGGGAUAGCUUCACACUGGCCCAACUGUCCCUAUAGCUAGGUUAAUGCUUGACUUUGUAGCCUGUUUUUCGACCCCUAGAAACCCCUAACGAUAGAAGACUGGAAUUCACAUUACUUGUUCAACCCACUAACGGCACUUUGGGCGAGAUCCACUAGACAAGACAGCGCUACCAACCCAACCUGACUUGAUACUUAAGCGAGCAGAGCUUCUGGAUACGAGAUUAUUACUACAGCAAACUUUCCACUCCACUACUUUGAGCUACACCCUCACAGAAUAAGUAAUAAGUGACACCUCAUAAGUAAUAAGUGCAAGAUUCCAUGAGUAUAUUGAAACUACUUCUCUUAUUUGACUUGAAUCACUCACUUUCCCCUCAUCUCCUUGCUUUCUCUCAAGAAUAGAAUCCGAACCCCCGAUUCGAUUGCUUGUUUGAGUUCUACCACAAUAGCUGCUUUCAAGGAAUGCAAUCCUUAGAUGGUAUGGCAUAGCGAAAAGUUUACACCUUCAUUAUUCUAGGUAAGAAAAUCCCCUUUAGCCUACUCUACUUUUACAUAGCAAACUAGUUGGUGUACUCCCCCUCGACGCGCUGACCCGAUGUAAGUCAAUCCUUUUGUCUCACAGAUCCAUCUUCUUUCUUUCUUAGAGCAUUAUUGAAACCAUUUGAACCUAGUCGCGUGGAAGGAGCCAGAUUACAGAUACUUUCUAUUCUCUCGACGUCUUGACCCAUACAUAGUCUGCUAAUCGAUCAACGUCUUUGAUCCUUACAAGCUUGGAUAGGACAAUAUCUCUCUGUUGUUUGUUACAUAACACUGAAUUUGUUCGUUCUUAUUACUAUGAUUCUUUCUAUUCUUAUUUCUUACUCAUUUUGCUUUAUUAUUUAUGCUGGUUUAACCUCUUCUUAUUAAUUUGUAUAUGAAUACUAGAUGAAUACUAGAUGAAUACACUGUGCCCCCGACUCUGAAAUAAGCCCUCGAGGCAAGGCGCAAAGGAAGAGAUGCUCUUCUUUGGUCUUGAACUAGCUCUCCCCGCUCGAGAGUUCAUGUUGGCGAUUCACUUAAUGAAUAGGUCCUUUGACGAUUCCCUAGCAGUGCCUGUUUGGUACCGAGCUCUUUUACGUCUUUAUUCCUUCACGCGCUAAAAUCCAAUGGGCACGAUCUGCUAAAAAGCCUUGUUUAGUUGGGUCUACAGUUUCAGUGGGUACUCACCUGCAACAUAAGUUGGGCAAAACAAACCUAGGUUCAUUCCACUUUCCACUGGACGAAGGAAAGAAAGAGAUAGAAUACAACGGGUUUUCAGACGUAUAGAGAAUUACACGAGAAUCUAGCCUUGGUCCUCUCUUUCUUUGAUAGGGCACAUAAACCAAUAUCUAAUGUGAAAAGGUUAUUGCUUAUCCCGGAAUAAAUGACAUUGAGACAGAUCCAAGUUACUGCUCAAAAGAAAAAGCGGUAGUAGCCGGGCACCGGUAGCCCCAGCCCGUAUAUAACAGUAUCAGAAAGCUAGCACUCUUUGAUUGCGGGGAAUUUCCUCGAGUCGGGUUCGAUGCCACAAUUAUCAGAUGUGUUCAAUAGUGGUUUUUCAAUUCUUAUAAUUCACUUAGAUAGUGCUUUUGACAUUAUUCUAAUUCACUCUUUCAAAGGUAAUGAAAAGGUGUGUUUCGAAAUUCUUAUAAUUCCAUCUUUCAAAGGUAAUGAAAAGGUGUGUUUCGAAAUUCUUAUAAUUCCAUCUUUCAAAGGUAAGGUAAGAAAAUCCAAUGGUUUUGAUUCAGUAUAUUGAAAUGUUACCCACGCCCGGUUAUCCACUUUCAUUAAAACCAACAUGCCAAGCUUCCUUCUUCGCUCAAGUCUCAGUGCCAAAGUAAGGAAAAGCAAAGACGCCAAGGCUCAAGACCAAAUAAGCCCUACUUUUUCCUAACCUUCGGAGAGAAAGAAAGUAUUCGUUAUCACGCCUUUUCGUAGUAAGCCAAGAGUGAGUAAGUGCUUCAGCAGACUUGUCUUGGAAAGUACCAGGAACAAGUGCUUUAUAGAGUCAAUAAGGAUGUUCUAUAAUUCUUUCGCAAUGAAGCAGCGCCUCUUCAUUGUCUCUCGUUACAGGGUUGGAUGCAUAUUUGACUCUAUGGUUAGGUUCCUUGGUCUAGCCCGCAGAUCGCUUGUCGGGCGCUUUCGGGGGCUACAUCUUCACUUGCGAUCUUCCUUUUUCUCUUUUCCAAGUUCAAAAGAACAAGUAUCUUGUGUUAUAGCCAACGAUUUACCCCCUAUAGAGAGGUUAUACUUCCUAUUUCUCUAUUAGGCUGCUACUCUUAAAUGCAUGUCAAGGAAUGAAACUGUAUGAUAUACGAUCGCAGAGCUCCUUGAGUCGACUAUAAGACUGUAGCAGAGCCUCCUUGAGUCAACUAUAAGACUGUAGCAGAGCCUCCUUGAGUCAACUGUCCGUUUGAUAUACGAUCGCGGAGCUCCUUUAGUCUUAGCUGCCUCUUUUACUGCGAUUUGAAUACUUACUAAUUAGAACAUAGCUUUUGCAUGAAGUAGCUCUCACUCGAUGAAACAUAAAGGGCAGCGGAACAGUGAAAGAACUAUAGGGUUCUAUGGCUUUCUAUCCUGGAUCCGGGGAGCGACUCCCAUAUGUAUGUUCCUUUCGACCUUAAAGCCGAUUGGGACAUGGCUCCUUGCUCGCAUUUCUUUUCUAGUCGGGGUCUUUGUUCGACCUGCACGCCCGCUUUCCUAAAUAGCAUGAAAGGUUCUUCAAUGGUUUGGUCAAGAGGGGGAAUUUCCCAAGGAGAAAGGGUCCUUAUCUCAGGAGACUGAUCGGCGGAGUAAUUUGAUCAUCUCUGUACCGACUUCUACAUCACAAUGACUUUCUAAAGCUUAUGCCCUCUAUUUUCUUGAUUCUUUUCUUUCUUAAACAGCCUUAUAUUCUUUUUCUAGAAGUAAAGCGGACUAGCCAAAGCUUCUGGAAUCACCAACUCUAGCUCGUCCUUUUGGUCCUUUUCUGAUCCUAAACAAGAACGGGCCUACUUUGAGCUCAGCUCCAGGCACCGAUGCCGAUACAAGACACAACCGCUGCAGUUCGACUAAGAGCAUGGUUCCUCCUCCUAACUAAAUAGAUUGGAAGUUAUUAGCUUCAUAUCCCGGUGUUACAAACUUCUUAUUAAUGUCUUUCACGCUCUAAUGGAAGUUUUGUUAGUUUGAGCCAUUGUUGCGAAUGAGAUAGCUUGAACCUAUGUCUCCUAGAUAAUUUACAAUUCUGAAGCUCGUGGAUCCCUCUUUCGUUAUUCCCCCUUGGAUUCUUAGAUUUCUCGUAUACCUUUUUCUCCCUCUGAAAUCUGCACAAUUUCCGCCUUUUGCAUUUCUGGAUGAGAAUCCCACAUCUUUGAAACUAGCCCCACCGUCCCAUCCCCUUGAAUCGGGCGUAAAAGAUUCUAUUGAUGGUGGAAUCGUUCACUCCUCGGUAGAGCCAAGCCUGAGAAAAUCGAAUUAAUAAAGAAGGCGUUAGAAAGGAAGGACGAGGACUCUUGCUUGUCCUGCCAUGCCAUUCAUUCCUACAUAGGGCCUUUGCUUUCAUUGAUUCCUUCUCCCAUCUAUGCGACCACUUCCUUCUCCCAUCUAUGCGACCACAAGUAUCAAUCCAUCUCCAAUUCACGGGAUACCUAUGAGCCGUAGAGCCUACUACCCCAACGCCUUUGCACUUGGAUUUGUAGCUCCGCACUGCAUUUAUCUAUGCAAUGCCACUUUCGCAUUACCUUUUUCCUACUGCUACUCUUCUUAUACCGGCGAAGUUCUUUUGAGCCCCUGGCGAUCGAUUCUAUGAUAUUCCCCCACUUAUGAACGACGCAAAACCAAACCCUUUUUGAUGCCGUAGCUGCAGCUGCCUGCCACCUGCCGAUACUCUUUUCUUGUGACUCGCCUGCCCUCUAUCUCUUUUCCAUGAAUGAAUGACAUUGGGACAGAUCCCUCAAAAGAAAGCUGUAAGGUUGGUUUAAGGAAUAGAACAUCAAAUUGCGGCGUUAAGUACAAUAGUAAGCUCAGCACUGAUACUUACUUACUUAUUAGUGUUAGUAGAGAGCCUUUCAUUAAAGUAUAAGGAGACACAAAGAGAGGUCUUUCAAGGCGGUAUAAUCAUUUUGAUAGGUCUUCAUCAAGUCGGUAGAAUCAUUUGAAUCGUUGUAAGGGAAUGCCUUAGUCAAUCAACUCACUGCCAUUGACCAGGGGAGGGGGUGGGUGGCGAACAAGACUUGCUCGGCAACAGCUGAAAUAGAGGAAUAAGCACAUAGGUCUUGAAGAAGCGGGUCUAUCGAUGAUAGCUUUUUCCAUGUAACGUUGACUUUACCCAGGAUGCGCUUAUCGCAGAACGCCCUAUUGCAGAGCCCAUUAACUUACUCAAAAGAUCAGUAUAGGAAGUUGUUUAGGAAUAUGUCAAAAGGGACGUAUAGGAAGCAGUUUAGUAAUAUAGGAAGCAGUUUAGUAAUAUUCAAUUGUCAAGACCGCUGAGCCCUCCACUGUUAAAGAAAUUCGAUUAGUGCAGUAGGUAACCCAGCCCCUAAGGGUAGUACGGGCCGGCCUUAUACCAAGCAUUUCACUUCACCUAUGCCUAAACAAUGCAAGUAAUCGAAAACAAUGCAAGUAAUCGAAGCGUACCAUGAAAAGCAGAUCGAGAUAGACGAUUCAUAUAAUUGCUUGAGUCACUGAUUCUCAUUGCUUGAGUCACUGAUUCUCUCAGUUUGAACUAAUUACUCAUCUCAAAAGUAAUGUAGAGUUACUCAUCCAAAAAGUAAUGUAGAGAUAUCAUAGGGUAAAAGCUGCACUGCCUUGCGGCCCGCUUUUCAACAAGAAAAAGAACAUUCGACUGAGCUAUCGAGUAAGUAAAGUCGCAGCCUUUAGAGCUGGGUGCCGGGGCUAAGAUGAACCUCCACUCAACCCUCAACCUAGACAUAUAAUUCCUAACUCUUUAGUGGAUGAUUUGAUUGGAAUUACUAGCUCCUUAAUGGAUUUCAUUGAUUCUUUUUUAAGAGCUACCGACCCCAAGAAAAGAGUAUGUUACAUUUCCAACUGGCGGUCUACGUGAUUGAAGAAAGAGCCAUUAGCCCUUGCCUUCAACCAAAGCGGAUUUUUCGAAUAAAGGAAACACAAUGAUAUAAGCCUGCCCUGCAUAAAUCGUCCUGGCACCAUAAACGUCCUUAGCGCUCGCCCUAACUCCAGCCCGUCUUCCAUUCCCCUCCUUUUUUCAGCCUCGCUUAUGUUUCGCUUCAUUGUAAUAAUGAGAAGUCCAUUGUUGGCUCCUGCGCCAUAGCACCACACGCAUAGACGCAUAAGGCCUUUUUUCAUUAUAGAUUCAAGCUGACAACGCUUUCUCUUACUUAGGGAAGCAGAAGCUGCGGGUCGUCGUGUUCGUAAACGCAUCCAAAAUGGUGAAAGUUUCAUCCGAGGCAGAAGCUAACGAAAGACAGCGAGCGAAACGAGGGCGGGUGAAGGAACCGGGGAGAGUCAAUGAAUCCUACCUAUAACUUAAGAGCGGCAAAGAACACUUUGAUUCUAUAUGCCAUUAGUUGAAGCUGUCGUAUACAGUAAAAAGAGAAAAACCUUGCGCCAGCCUUAAGUAUGUAAUUAUGUAAUGCUAAUGAUUCGUAUACUAGGCGUGGUCUGAGUAUAUUCUAUCGACGGAAAGCGUCUAUCGCAGUGCAAAUCAUGUGAGUACCUUACCACCAACCAGAAAAAGUUCCUGCUCGUAAGGCUGGAUUCAAGCCAUGAUUCCAAAUCCGGGGUAGUGGGUCUCCGCCCGUGUGGAGUGUUUGGGAUAGCUGGGUCUAUAUAUGGGUAGAUAUACUAAGAUCUAUAAAGAACAAAUGGGAAAUGAAAACCGACGAAAUACGAUUACGGGCUAAGGAUAGGACCAGUCCGCUGGUCGAUAGGCCAAUAGGAACAAAAUAGGUAUGGCGCCCUAUCUUUCAAGCUUUCAAGGAAGUCGUCUUAUCAAGUUACCCAAUAGAAGGAAGGCUGAAAAACCGGAUCUAUGACUUCACCCUCCCUUGAAGCGCUUCUGGGCUGUUCACUGGAAGCUAGACCUAACAACUAGACGACCACCUGAUCGUAGACCAUCCACCAAAGCCUUUGUUUUUGAUUCUAUUUCUUAUGCAGGGCGUGCUAGCGGGAAGUCCGGUUAUGAACACCCUCCAUCAACCAUCGUAUCCAUUUUCUAUUAGGUGGGUCGGGUCAUAUUAGAUUAUAGUAAGUACAUUUAUUUGCUCCUUGUUAAAACUCAUAAUCGAAUCUCCUUCUUCUAGGCAACCAGGCUUACUCGUAAGAAAGGUAGAGAAUAGAGUGGACUGGGCUUGUUAAAAGAAGUAUGAGUUUACAGUGAAAUCAGUAGUAGUUGCCCUUACAUUAAGUCGGCCUAGCCAGUAGUAUACGAGAGGGGAGCAUUAGAUAGUAGCAAGAGGGAGUUCAGUCUGCUACUGACACUCAACAGGGAGCUGGCUUUCAGCACCUCACUUUUUCACUGUAACUGGGCAUUCAUUCCACUUUAACUUGACCCGGACUAAGGGUUCAGGAAGGAUCUUAUUAGCAGAAUUCAAUGAAUUUCACCCUGCUUGCGUCAUCUGAAAGAAAAGAAGGGGUAUGGGUCUUUGAGGCUGAGGGCUGUCCAAUUAUAGAGUUUACUCAUAUUGGAAUUAGAGAGUUUACUCAUAUUGGGAAGCUAGGAAUAUAGGAAUAAGAUAUAGUAAUAAGGGAAGCUAGGAAUAUAGGAAUAAGGGAAGCUAUGAAAGGCAACUACUAGACUCGCUAACCACUUCUAUUUCCUCUCCUGGUAGUACUGUUAGAGUUAGAGUUUCAGACCAGUUAGUAGAUACCUUAUUCUUAUUCUAGGUAUUGUUGACAGAGCAAGAGGUGAAGUAGUCGUCAGCAGCAAACGAUAAGGGAGUUGUUGCCGGGUAGCAAGUAUACGAGUAGUUGGCUCUUUGAACACAAGUCCUGAAUUCACCUAUAUUAGAGAUGAGUGAAACUAGUAUAUGUACCUUCUUUGGCGCAAGUAGUAGAGUAGUUGGCUCUUUCCAAUUAAUUGAACCCUGCUGGCUCUGCUGGGCGAGUGGAAUCUUUUAUCCUUUCUAAAGAUAGAAGAAAUAAAGAAAGAAAUCCAGUGGUCAUGUUUUUCACUGUGAAACCAACCCUGGAGUAGUUGCUAAUGACAAAUUCUCCGAAGUAACAAUAUUAGAAACCAUUGCUUGUCUCCGGGUCUAAAGUCUCAGUAACACCUGAUUUAGAGUAUUAGGCUUUCCCCCCUGAACCAUCUUUUGAGUCCUUUCCUGGAGACUUAACUGCUGAUUCAGAACAAACACCUUACUGACGCAACUAAGUACUAAACUUCUUGGCCCUAUCCACUUUCCGGAUCCCAGUAUCUGUCUGAUAUUGUCGCCCUUUCUUUUCCACUGUUGAUUCUCUCGGCACCAACACACGAACCCGGCUCCUGCUGCCCUGGCUUUCUUUCUCACUUUCCAGAUAGCUCACCCCUUAUUCAGUGCUUUAAGGCAACAAGCAACUACUCAUGUUGCGCGUUAGCGAGUUAAGGGCUCACUACUUGGAGUCUGAGUCUACCUGGUGUCAUUCUGGUUAGCAGUGAUGGAAUUCUUAAAGUAAGUAUCAGCUCCCCGCUGGCGACUUUCAUUCUUUCACUCCUUAGUUUGAUUCUGAUCUAUUCUGAUCUAGUACCCAAUAGCCAGGGAAUCAGUGGUAUAGUUAACAGACUUCAGGGAAUCAGUGGGAGUGAUUUCAGCCUGUGACUACUUAGUUUGAUCCGUUCACCUAUAUAAAGAGAAUAUAGAAUUUAGUAAGGGCCAAGGCCAAGGCCAAGCAACGGCGCGCCAAGACACUACUAACGUGUCGCGGCAGCGAGUUGAAAGCUGCGCGGCAGCAGCAGCAUAGAUAUGUUAUAACCAAUUAUGACCAAGUCAUGUGUUCGCGUUACGCGGCAGGCGUUCUCCCCACAAUUCUCUCUUUUCUUCUAUGCUUAACACAAGCACCUGAACCGACCUAUAAUAAGUGUUCACCCCGACCCGACCUAUCUUUCCAUUGGCACAACUAAUGCUAUCAGCCAAGUCGCGUAUACAAAUAGAGAGAGGAGCCUCAUCUACUUAUUGCUCCUAUCUUAUUACUUCUAUGCUAUCUCUUAUGAAACAGGACUAGACUACUACUCCACUGGCAAAACAGGACCCCUACGCAGCUAGGCACAAGUUGAUCUAAAGUAAACAAAUCAUUCAUCUACUUCUCCUCUGGCAACUGACACUCGGUCUUCAACUAGCACCGAACCUAUCUCUACCCUUAACAUUAUUGUUUCUAGUUCCAACCAAGGCUAUGGAGGUUUCAACUUCCACUCGGUAUUCCACACUUCGAUUUUCAGAACUGUCAACACCUUACUUUAGAACUGAGCUUGAUUGUUCCCCUGUUGUUACUGUUGCUGAUGGGGAUCUGUCUUCUGUAGUUUGAUUUGAUGGGAAAUCCUUCAUUGGAAACUCAGAAACUUGCCAACGAAGUCAUUUCUGCCUACCAUCUUUAUGGUUCCUUCCCUGAACUAAUUGAACUAGUUGACUUCCCACUACUCUGGUAUUGUAUAAGAAUAGUGGCCCAGCGACUACUAGAUGCGGCAGAUGGGUCAUAUAACUACUGAGUGCAAUUCACCAAGCAACUACAACAAGGCCCGAGCUACUGCUUUUCUUUCCAUGACUACUUAUACGGAUGCUUAGAUUUAGUCUCUCGCUCUUGUCUGUGAGUCUUCCUUGCCUUGCCUAGAUCCCAAGCUAACUCUUAUGGUCUUAUAGCUCUGCCGGGUAUCCUGACUUUAUUAUCUCAUUCCCUGCGGUGUUUCUCCAAUUCCCAUGCACGCUCUAGCUUAAGACCCGGCAGUGACCAUUCCUAUAGGAGUCAUUUCAUUCUUUUACUAAUGAGUCAACUUCUGCAUUCUCAGUGCAAUUCCUUAUUCUUAGUUAUUCCUCUGAUAAGUAAUAGUUGUUUUGUCUUGCUAGGUGCCUAGCCUAGGGUAUAUGAGUGAGUAGAACAGAAUCAGUAUUAGUCCUUAGUUCAAUUCGUAUAAGUAGUAAGUGGGAUUCUUUAACAAACAAGUAAGGAUCAAAGAUGGGAAUAGCAGACCCAAACCUAACUCUCUAAAGGCGGAUUGGGAGUCGAACUACAAAGUUCUUUUUAUCGGACUCAACUCACACUCAAGGCAAUAAGGUUUUAGGCUGCUUAGUUCAUUUAUUCAAUGAAUGUCCUUUAUUCGUACUAUACUAUUUGUCUUAGAGCUUGUAUCCAAGGACAGGGAUCCUUACUUAACUAGAGACUAAUGGCCCAAUGAGAGCCCAGGUCACAGAAUUUCGUUUCUGAACAGAGGAACCUAGUGUUCGAUCGGUUACUACUCUACUACUACUCUCUUCGGGCUUACUACUCAAUAGUUGUAGGCUUACUUCUAACAUGGACUAAUAACUUAUAACUCAUAACUAGUAACAGACUGAAACAACUAUACCCUAGCCUCGCCUAACAAGUAAGUAAGUCAACCUGCCUAGUACAAGUAAGUAAACAAAGAACUUACUAUAAGGGCCUCUCAACUGGACCACUACUUGUCAACUUCAGACUCCCUCGGGAGCUCAACUAAGUAAGUAUAUAGUAGAAAAGGCGCACACAGGACAGAUAUAGUAGUUCCGCUAUUGCUCUUGAAACUAAAGUACUGCUUCCAAACCUGCUCUUCAAACAACUUCUUUAGCGGCAGUCCGGGUUGGGAGUAGCAACACCUACUUCUAUUGAACUAAAUGAAACAAGUGAGUUACAGCCUGUGUUGUGUUCGUAUGCCUCUGCCUCUGCUGCCUAUGCCUUUAGUUAGUAAUUUGUAUGGGGUUCGUCUGCCUCGCCUCUCAAUCUUAUCUAUCUUAUCUUGUUAAAACAAGGGAAAGGGUAAACGAGGUCAUUCAUAUGAGUCCCCUUCAGUUCGAGGUCUGUUAUGAAAGUCUAGUUAUUGCCCCUUUAAGUAGUGCUUCUUCACAAACUACCCGAGCCGCCAAGACACGGAUAGACAAGUUACUACUCAUAGCUUCCCUUUCAGACUACACUAGGGAUAGGGAAGAAACAGAAUCAGGCCAGGGCAGCUAGGGCCAAGUCACUCAGAUAUUAAUUCUCCGAUGUCAACAAAUACUUCCUCUCCUCAGCUACAAGGCCUUAGCAACCUAUCACUUAUUACAAAUAUUCUGCAUUACAAGUUAUUGGAAGGUUAUGACCAAUCCUAGGAAAGAAAUAAGUCACAAUUAUUCAAAAUAAGGGAGCUGACUGAUGGAGAGUCAAAUUGAUAUGAAUGAGUUGCUUUGAUGUUGACUACCAGAAAUUAGUAAAAUAGUUGCCCGAGGUAUUAUAGAAGAUAGUAGCCAAGAUAGUUGCCAGAGGUAGAGGUGUUGCGGGAAGGGGAGGCGUGUAAUAGAAAAAGUCACUAACCCCACAACCCAGUAGGGCUCUUUCUCGAUAGUAGGAAAACCCCGUAGGGCUCUUUCUCGAUAGUAGGAAUUUGCCUCUACAGUAGGAAAGUAACUUCACAGUGUGUUUAAAGCAAUAAAGUUCUAAUUUCACUUUCCGGUAAGAAACAUAAGAUUUAGCUAGGUCUGAUAGCUCAGCAGAUAUAUAACUGAUAGCUCAGCAGAUAUAUAAGUAUUCCGUCGACUAUUAGACUCUAUUCUAGUUCUCUCUCUCGCAUUACUUGAAACAAAGAAUUCCACUCCAAGGGAGGAAACGGAGCCAAGCUACUCAGAGACAAGACUCGGCAAUAAAUGUAUUAUUAAUGAAGUUAUGAGCAAGUCCUUUAUUCUAUUCUGGGCGGUAGGAGCCGAGUUCUGGCGGUAGUGAGUUCCAAGCGUCAGCUACGAAAUAACUUGUUUCAUCCGGUAUUAUCCUUAAGAAAGUUCUAUUGAUUUUCUUAUACAGGGUGUGUACAGUGUCAGUAUAGGAUCAAUUCCAGUCGUUUUUCUUUUGACUAUGGUGAUUCCAACAGUUUUAAGCCCACUCUACAACUCUCUUCUUUUCUUUAGUUCACUACCGGUCAACUCUCUUCUUUCUUAAAGGAAGGAAUGCUAGGUGGUUCGGCAAGAAAAAGCCCAGUGUUAUCUAGCUCUAUCAUACAAUACAUCGCUCUUUACCGCUCGAACAAGAACAGGGCAUUCUCAUUCUUCAGCUCGAACUAUACUAGCAAAACCGGGAAUCAUACUAACUAAUAUCAGAAUAAACCCACAGCCAAUAAGAGGAACGCGGCCUUUGAAUCACUGAUCGCCGGGGUUGCAACAAGCAAAUAGUACCUCCCUAAUAAGAAGGAUCCUGCUCUACUGCCUAACAGCCUUACUAUCUUCACUUUUCGCCUUACUUGAAAGCCUCUGAGCUUCUAUGCCUCUACUCCUUUCCUUAGUUGCAUCCUAUCUAUCCUAUCUAUCAGUCCGCCCCUUGACUCUUUAACCACUGAUUCGGAUCUUUAUUUGAGUGUUUCGAACCACAACAUCCCGGUUUGUUAGCCUGCAACUCAGCUCUCCUAUUCUUAUACCUUGGAGUUAGCUACUGAUCUAAGUCUCGCUUUUGCUAGUUUGUUUGUUAAUCUGCUUGUCGAGUUUCAUUCCUACUAAACAGCCAUAGUACAAGUCAUUCUCCACAGACCCAUAUGAUAGACAAAGACAUCCUCCGUAUCACCGACCCUACAAUGGAAAAACCCUUAUCUCGGUUACCCAAUUGCAUCCGUUAUUGCAGGAUGGAUUCUUUCAUUCCUUAUUCCGUUUCAGUGUCUCUAGUAUGAGAGUAUGGGGCGCACCUACUCGUUCUUGGGCUGCGGAGCUCGAUUCCUACUUCUUAAAACUCAUUCUUUAACAGCAGAGCUUAACUCUUACUUUGCAUCUCUUAAAACGGAAGCUGCUCUCUGCCAUUCUUACUUGCUAGUUUGUGAUUCCCUUGUGUACAUGCCGCUGUUCCUCAUACACCUAUAGCACAUGCGCUACUGCAUUUAAGGUAAGUAGCCUUAUGAUUCUUUAUCGAAAGGGAGAGGCAUAUCAGGACCUUAGUUCACCAAUAAUAAGAGGAAUUAUGUUAACUUCUAAUAAUGAUGUUUACUUGACACCGGCACUAACAAUGAGGAAUGCGCUACUACCCUAUUAGAUCGAGAAACACUACUGGAAGGGAUCUAUUGACAAACAGACUCGAACUACCGCUUUUAAGGCAGCCCUUCCCCCUAUUAGUCUGUAGAGCUCCUGCCCUUGAUUGUUUCCCUCUGGACACUGAUCCUUGAACUAAACCAGUGCUAACAGGGUUCUCACUGCUGUCUCUUAGCCUUGUUUUGAAACUAACUUCCCCCACGCACUCUGACUCUUUGCUUUGAUUCCAAUGCUCUUUGCUUUAAUGCUCGAACUACGGACCCGUAUUCCCUAUCUAAUGAUCCAGAUCUUUUAUCUUAUUAAUAAGUAAUUGGACUAAUAGUAGCAAGACGAUAACUCAAAACUAUGGCAGUGACUGCAGCUUAUAGGGCUGUUACUGCAUGGAAGUUGGUGGUCGUUAGUGAGCGGUAGCUCUAUUCUAGGGGAGUAGUUAAGUGAAGCCUGUUUGCCAUUACAUUAGUUCCAUCCUAAUAGUUAGUAACUCGAUUCUUGUUAUCGAAGAAAGCGGAAUGAAAAUAAGUGUAUUGAGAGUCAAAGAUGGGAAGAGCGGGCUAGUAGGAGGUAGUCACUACGGAAUGAAGUGCAAGAGGUUAGCGAUCAAUCUAGUAGUUAUUAGUUCCGUUCGGUAGCUCGUAGUUUAGUCGAUAGCUCGUAAUUGAGUUCUCAUAUUAUUAGUUAGUUAGGGCCUUGUUAUAUGCAAGUGAAGCCUGUAUUCAUUGUGGAAGAGCUUAGUUUCCCCGGUACCCCGACUGGGAAUGGGAAGCUUUUGAUUCUCACUUUGGAGUCGAAGUCCUAUCAGUGCAAUAUCUGUUCCCUUCUUAGAUACCUAUAAAUACGACAUUCUCCCAUUACUGGCACAGUUUCUUACUUGGUGGUUGACACCUUAACAAAACUAGUGCUCCCGAGACUUAACCUAUUGGCGAACAAUGGUUCCUUUCCUGCCUCCCGAGCCUGUCUUCUAUUCUUUACACGCUAGGUAUCAAACGGACAUUGUGCCCAAGGGCUUUAGGAUCCUCUGCCACAUGUAUCAGCCUACCGUUAUUAACUAGCAAACUUAUAUUACUGCCUUAGAGUCUUAUUACUCGCAACACAGGCUUAGGCGAGUGAGGCAAUCCAUAUUCUUGUAUUAGCUCUUAGGUGACUGUAGGACAUUCCGACUUCUUAGCCCAAUUCUCAGAAAUGAGUUUAUUUACUCAGGGGGCAUUAUUGGAAUCUGAUUUCUAUUACUUUUACUCUGAUUAGCAGUGGUGAAAUCCUUAUAUGAGUAAGUUCAAUCUAUGUGGGCAGUUACUGAUUCUUUCUAUUGGUCUUAUCGCUCUUGUAGCAGAGACCAGCAUCUUGUAGCGUAUGGUAUCUUGUAUUAUUGACUUGUAGUAUUAUUCUCGUUAGUUGAUUUCCUAGCUAUGAGGAACAGUAUUAGAGGUUGUAUUAUUUGUAGAAUGAGAUAGAGCAAAGUAAGAUCUAGGUUCAGUAAAGUGAGACUAACGGCCUAGGUAUAGAUAGUCGGGAAAGGCGGGACGGGGCUAGCUAGCUAACUAGUGGAAUGAAGAAUCAAAGGCAGUAGAUCCAGUUUUCAAGCAAGCAAACCCAAGGUCACAUACCUGUCGAAUCAAACUCAAAUGCAUAAUAAGUGGAAUAGUUUUCAUCUCCAAUAGGGGGGCAGGCAUUAAUAUUCAAAACUCUACAGCUGGGACAUCAUACACAGCUAGAUCCUAUUUGAGUUUAGGAGAUCGAAAGGGCAAAGAGAGCCAACCGGUCAUGGUCAUCAUGGAGAAAAAACCACUACUUUUUCGUUCAAUUGGCCUAUAACAAUCUUCUUAUCACUAAGGGCUCGAACCAUAAGAGACCACUCUGGGUUCAGUUAAAGUCUCUCUUUGGUCACAGCCUACUCGUUUUCGCAAGAUCCACAGGAGAAAGGGGGGUUUAGUUGAUUGGAUCUCGAUGACCUCUCCGAAAAAGGGCAGCUUAAGGAAGAGGCAAAAAGGAGGGCUUCUUCACAAGGCACCGGGACCUAAACUUUUCAAUUGAUGUGGCUGAGAUUAGCCUGAAACAACCUCCAGGUCCGCAAUCCUUUUUAUCUUAGGUUAGACUAAGGGAUGCUGAGGCUCAGGUAUCACAGGCCGUCAUCCAGAAAGUCAUUACUACCCUAAACCCCUUUUACCGUUCAAAAGAAACAGAGUGAGCAGAGAAGUGAUUGCUAAUCCACACAGAAAGGCUUGUUAUUACGAAUCAUGUGCCAAAUGCAAUCAGGCAUUCCAUGAGAAAGAACCAAUUCUCUGAGAAAAAGAACCUUGCUUGCCUUACUAGCUCUCUUGUUAUGAGCAUGUACCACAGGUGGAUUCAGUCCCUUCCUUAUAGCCUUGCAGUCCAAUCUUAUCUACAAUCCUUUUUCUUUAUUCUGGGCAUCAAUCCCAUGUGAGCAAAAAGGGCCAAGUCAUCACCAAAAAGGUAACGGAAACCCGACAAAUGAUAGUCAUGAGGGCCAAGCAACGGGCCAAGCUACUCAUACCGACAAGACUGACCCCGCUAAGUAGGAGUACAACUGCGACUUAUAGUACUGUUGCUACUGAUCCAGAUCCUUUACAAGUUUGGGCACUUUACCUAGUCAUACUUCUUUGGGCACUUUACCUAGUCAUACUUCUUUCUUUGGGCACCUUACCUAGUCAUAUUGGAAUUAAUGUUCUUAUUAUAUGUGAACAGAAUAAGGAAUUGAAGAGACAAGCUACGUAUAGACUCAAAACUCCGUAAUAGAAUCAUGGAUUCCACAAAAGGAAUAGAAGAAUUGGGGAAAAAGCGAACUAAGUAAGAUAAUAUGGGUUCAACCAAAGUAUGUUUCGGGGAACCUCGCAUCAAAGAAAGAAUGGAAUUGACAUGGAAUAAACUAUCUUAUAAGAGAAUAGAAUCGAAUUGGCACUGAGAAAACUAGCUUCUGUUCUUUUAAUGUAUUGAGACUAUCCAUGUUAUAUUGAUACAAGCGAGACCUAUGCUAUUUAGACUAAUAGUACUAGAAACAUAUACUACCAACCGACUCUAUCGGAAUCAAACUCAGAAGUAGGGAUCCUCUUACGCACCUUGUACUUGCCCCUUAUAUGAGAAAACGGAGACCCGCGCUACCUCACCCAUGUGCCUGCGCUACUUACACCUACUAAGCAAGGUACUCAUUCUUCAAGUAACAUCAUAUAUUCUGUGAGCGAUCAUUCAACCACUCAUUCUUCGGUCGACACAACGUUCAUUGGGACAGACAACGUUUAUGUGGUCCAUCACCCAUUAAUAGAGGUUACCUAGGUAAUGAAUUGGUCGGUUGAACCACCUUAGUCGACACCACAUUGAUUCUUCGGUCGACACAACGUUCAUUGGUCGGACUCCCCGGUCAAAUCACUCAGCCUUGUCGUAGCACCAUGAAUUCAGUGAGCUACCUUGCACCCACUCGUUCAGUAAGCGACCAGCAACUCCGUCAACGUGGGUCAUCGCGCCUAAGUCGACAUAACCAACGUGCAUUGGGACAGCGCAUUGGGACAACAUUCAUUGGUUGGUAAACUGAACCACACCGACAUAGAGAACGACAUAGAUAAUUAUAAGCUCUAUUAGGUUUAUUCAAGCUAUAAUAUAGAGAGAACCAUGACUCACUGUCAAUUAGCAUAUAAUAUAGAGAGAACCAUGACUCACUGUCAAUUAGUAGACCAAUCGUGAAAGAAUUGAAUAGCAUUGAGCGUGACACCUAAUAUAGACAGACGUUGCUUGUUCAAUAGUAAUAAAGACGUUUUUCAAUAGCAUUGAGCGUGACACCUAAUAUAUAACUAAGUCAGAAAUCCAACUCUAUUACUGGAAGAUACUCUGAAUAAUAACUUGCGGAUAAUGUGACUUUAAGAUACUCUACUCUGAAUAAUAACUUGCACAUAUAAUGACUGCUUGAGUAGAUGCUAUAUAGAACCAAGGCAAGGCCGGAGGGUGUAUUGAAUCAAAUCUGUUUCGUUGCUUGGUGGACUUGGGACAUAAGAAAGGUGAACUCUGGAACGGAUUCAAUGAAACUAACUCAUAACUCCUAACUCAGGUGCCGGUAUUGGUAUUUCACUCCUAACUAGUCAUUUAUGAUUCUCUCUCUUUCGUUGGUAACACUUCUGAUCCUGCUUAUUGAAUUGAAACACCUGUACUUGUGACUUUCGUAUGCGAGGUGGAUUCUUUGAUUUCGCUGUUGGUUGCCCGUUAGCUUAUUGUUGUGUUCGGGGCUUCUUGAAAAGAUUGUUGCCAUCUAUCAUAAAAGAAAGUAAACUAACUGCAAUUCUUCAGAAGCAGACUAAGGCACAUGAGAGAAUUAAGUGCAAACGAUGAAGAACUAACUUACAGAGCGAAAUCCUCUUAUUCUAUUACUAAGAACCUUGAAACUGCUGGUGCUACUGCUUAUGCUGACUGGCUCGAUACAGCUGCUUCGGAUCUUUAAAUGGCUUCUUCUAUUAGGCCUAAACCUGGCAAUACUUAACGCUUCAGUCAACAACUAAUUCAUUUCACAUUUCACUUCACUGAGGUUCUAUCUAUAUGAGAUUCUAUAUGAUGAUGAAGCCCCUGAACUUGACUUUCCAGAGAUUAGAGAUUGGCUUGUUGGGUAUGAAAGGGGAGCCUAUUGUAACUCCGAACCUAUCCUCUAUCCUUGGUUACUUCUUUCUAUCAUAUAGAGCGAAUUAUACUGCCUAUACUAAUAAGGAUCUUUCCACUCCAGAACUACUUGCUGCUGAAGCUAUUUCUUCUGCUUCAUCUGUUGCUCGUUAGCGCUAAAGAAGGACAUAAUUCAGGUUCCGGGCAAGGGCAAUCAGGCGUAUUUCCAAGUCAAGGCAAGAGGGCAGGGCGGAUUUAGCAUCGUGUUUCACCCACCAAGCCACUACAAAGUCUCCUGUGUUCGUCAACUUGAAGUCAAACAUUGUCAAUCAGCAGGAAAAGAUGUCCUGUUUUCGGGAGCCGAGUUCUAGCGGUAGCAGCGGAAUAACGGGCUUUGAAGCAAAUGAGGUCAAGAGUACCAGAAGCCGAAUGUUAAUCUCUACCUACUGCUGAAGCUAAUGGUGGUUCUAGUUUCAUCAUAUAUAGAAGCCGAAUGCUAAUCUCAUGCUGAGGUAAAGUAUCAAGUCAAGGGGUAGGGCGGACUCUCUAUAUUACAGUUUAAGCGCGUCGUCAAUAAGUUUCGACUUUCUCUUUUUCGUAUUAAUAAGUAGUUACGAUAAAAAGAAGCUAUCAGGAUCAUUAGCCAUAGAGGAAAGAGUUUUCAGAGCAGGUCAAGAAAAAGGCUAAGAAGCGAGAUCUUGCAGCCGGGAAAGUGUUUUCAACAAGAUCUGAAGCUUUAGUAUAGUUGCCUGCGUACUAAGCAAUGCUAGUUUAGAAAGCCUGAGUUCUUAACGGGUAGAUCGAAAGCCUUAGUUCUGAAUAGCAGCUGGGCGCCAGAGAGAAUAAAUGAUGGAGUCUGAUCUUAAGUCUUUUGACUUACUUCCUGCUACACCAUAAUAGCUAAAUGAUUAAAGCAACAGCGAAAGCUGCAAGGCAAGAAAGAGGGGUAUAAAGCAAGUAAGGUAAGAGCAGAGGUCAGCUGUCAAUUCCGUUUAGUUAGCCGUUAAGCUCGUUGUUGUCAAUGUUGCAGUGCUCUGAAAUUCGAUUCUCAAGGUUCACUCUACUUUCAAUUGAAGACCCAUGAGAAAUAGAUGCAAAGCUGUAUCUUUACUGGGAUCCAUACCAUGUGCUGUAAAGUCAUAAUGGAAUUGAACUGACAAAGAAACGAAAACAUACCUGACUGACGACGAUACUGCUUGAGCAUCAACCAAAAGGCUUGGGGCAGUGAGACUUACAAUACAUACAGCACUAGCCCCCGAUACUCACUUAAUGAAAUGGAAAAUCAUCUAACAAUCGGGAGCGGUAAAGUAUCAGUGUAAGCAGCAAGUGUGGGUGUUGAACAAAACAAGUAAGCUAAGGCGAGACAUAAAUCUGGGUUGAUAUCUUUAACUGACAAGUACUUGAAAGAUGGGUUUAUAGCCUACUAUCUUUAUCUUAAUGACUUUGAAGCAAGGUUAAGUAGAGAGAGAGUCGCUUCUUGCCCUUAAACGAACUACUCUUAUUACCUUGAUUCCCUUUCACCUGGUGUGAAAGCGCUCGAAAGAUGAAGUUUCAAGUUAGCGGGAAAGAAAUCAGUAUUAAGAAAACUCUUUAUAAGCGGGAAACACAAGCUUACGCACGCACCCCGUUUCCGUUACUUGGUCUUGCUUAGUGAGUGGUGCAUUAGCUAAUUCCAGAAGAGAAGUAAACAAAGUGAGCCGGGCAAGUCAAAUAAGUUGAGUAGCCAGUUGCUCCAGAAAAGAAGUAGAAAGUCCUGUUGAAGGUUAUAGGACAAUAGAAGUAGGCCUGUAUCUCGUCAUCAAGUUUCAAGUAAAGUAUCUGAAGUUUCAAGUAAAGUAUCUGGGCUGGUUUUUUCACCCUUAUUGUUAGUUGUAUUGUAGACCGCCUCUUCUACAAGUCCUUGAAGCACUAACACCAAUAACACAAUUCUACUUUCCGCAGGCAGCAGGAGAUAAUGCAGAAACUUGAGUUGGCGCGGGAUCAGAUGCUCUUACAGCCUUUGAAGCAGAAGCCAGAUCUGUUCAAGUUUCAUCGUUUUCAGAAGAAGAGGUUUGGUUAAGCCGUGAAAUGAUUCAAUUCAGGGAAGCAGUGUUUGUAUUUACUCGGUUCUAGACCAGAUGUUCGAGAGUCAAAUGAAAAUGAAUGAGUUGCACUCAGUCGUUAGCGCAACUGAACAAGUAGACAACACUAACACUUUCAAUCAUAUUCCGGAGGUACCAGCGAGCUACUGCGGGACGGCAAACUCACUAUCCUAGCGUAGUAGGGCAUUUCAAAAGAGAAUCAUCUUAUAUAGUCGACUUAACUCGAACGGAAUCUGCUCUCAUAGACCACUUUCCGCACCCGAGCAAAAGACUUGAGGAACCGCCCAGGCUCACCCCUCUCCUGUGACAAAGUUCUAUACAAUGCCAGUGAACGCUAGAUUAGAUUCCAUUCAGUUUGUUCAGUUAAAUGAGUAAGAACUAGCAAGGGAACUAGCACCCUCACUUCACUUUUGAAUAGAAACAUCAUUACAUCGCACAGCUGCAGAUCCAACUUAUUAUCUUGAAACUCAUCUGAAAACGAAAACUACAUUUGCUUUUCCAACAAGUGAAGAAGCAUAAGAUCCUUCGCCAGCGGAUUAUGAUUCUCCAGUUGAUGCUUUUGCCUCUUCUUCUAUUGUAGAUGACACUCGAACAGAAUAGAAUUGACGGGCCUUCUCAAGCAUACAAAGAGAUUCUUGGAGACAACACUCACACUCAACUCUACUUCAAUACAAGCACCAAAAGAGUAUACUCAGAUUCCUUACUUAUAGGCGCGGAAGAAGAAUUCUAGAAGCCACCAAGUCUAAGUGCAUUAGCCAGCGGGGGUGCUAAAGGAGUUUACAAAGGUUCGGAAAGCAAAAGGCAAUAAUGAAGUACUUGGCACCUUAGUGGAAGAGUUCGAUUACGAAAUUCUCAUAUAUGCGGCACUCCUCAUUCAAUAAUAAACGAGCAAGGGUGCAACUCCUCAUUCAAUAAUAAACGAGCAAGGGUGCAACUCCUCAUUCAAUAAUAAACGAGCAAGGGUGCAACUCCUCAUUCAAUAAUAAACGAGCAAGGGUGCAAAGGGAAAGCCAGGGUAAACUUCCAUUGUUGGAAGAAAUUCCCAAUCUUGCCUACCGACAAUGCUCUGAGAAUACUUGUAGGGGAAAGCCCAUCAUACAUCUAUACUGAAGUAGACCAAGUAAAGUCAACCCAGAUUUAGAGUCGUAUAAUCCAUCCUAUUCGUUGCGAGUAAACGUUAUCCCACAUUCCCAUAGAAAUGAAUUCUUCUCUUUCUUCCCCGAAACCUUGAACCUCAUCUCCCUCUUGACCAUGAGUUCUUCAUAUUGAAGUUCCGUUGGUUCCUUAGCUUGCUCGUAUUUAGAGUCAAUUAGUUUGUUUUGCGAAAUGUUACUUUGAGGCAUAGUGUACCUUUGAGGAUCGAGUGCCUUUUCUGGUUGCUCCGAGUUCGAUUCGAAAGUCAACUGCAAGCGGGAAGGAGACUAAUAUGAUGCUGCUGACCUGACAAGCGCCUUAACGGCAACAAACACCCCUGAUGAAAUAAUAACCCGCUUAUACUCUAUACUAAACUCUAUCUGCGCCCUUGCCCAAUACUGAAUAUCAAAGUAAGCAAUAACUUAAUCUCCAAGUAAGCAAUAAAAUAAUAAGUAGAAGCUCUGUGGCCUUGGAUGCGGUGCCUCAAUUCCCAUCUUUAUGCUGUACUGCAGAACGUAUCAACAAUCGAACAAGAAAGAAAGGCAAGCAAGGGCGGGGCAAGUAAGGCAAAGAACUAGCUUUCGCGCACCUGUACUGGAUUCUGCCCCAUGAACUAACUUUAAGUCAGAACCGAACCGCUUAACCGCUUUUCUCUGAUUACCAAGAUAAGAUCUAUACUAAACUAUCUUAUCUAAUUAUUAUUCUUAUCCGGAUUAUGAAAAUUGAUGCUUUCGUCGAGCGUAGGAGUUAAUGGUUGAAAGUCAGACAAGUAACUGCUUAGCAACUCGAUUUUCGGAUACCGGCUUGUUGGUGAUAUCGGCUUGGCUUCCCCUUUCUUUUGCUUAAAAACGAAAUACUUCCCUUUGGCCUAUCUAAGACAAACCCUCUGGAGCUUCUUCUCGGAUUGUUAACCCGAUUGAUAGAUCUAGAAUUACUAUUUCUAUAUGAGACCACUAUCACCCCUAUCUUUCUUUCGACUCUUCAAAAGUGAGAGUUGCCGGCAAGAGGCAAAAGAUAUUAGACAUCAAAUGCAUUUUCACUGCGGGUAUGGUCUAAAUAGGGAAUUCCACUAAAUAUGAGUUUCCCAUGGCUUAAACGGCGAAAAGAGGCCUUACUCGGCACAGUCUACUCGGCUUUGUAAGCUUCUUCUCCUUGUAAUUGAUUUCUGCCUUUCAUUAGAAGCUAGAAGACUCUGAGUUUCGGGUAUAUUAGGCAAGAUAUAGUUCUCGGCAGCAGCACGCACUUAUGGAAAUGCAGCUCUAACCUACUGGACUUUCUUUCGCAGGUCUUCCUUCUUAACAGGUUGGCUAACUUCCAUCUCAUCUUUUUAUGGAUACCAUUGCUCACGAUCUUUCCAAUUCUUUCUAUUCUAUUAGGUGGAAGCCAGUCAUAGCGAGACUCAUCUGGCACUGCGAUUGAGAACUUCUGCUCGUGACAUCUAAGUUAACCACUGAUUUGAUCUUUCGACAUCUAAGUUAACCACUGAUUUGAUCUUUCGACAUCUAAGUUAACCACUGAUUUGAUCUUUCCGGGAUAAUAAAGUAAGGACUUGAAGAGGAAGACAAAGGCUAGACCUGGAAAUAAGGAUUCCUUUUAGAAAGGGGACUACUUUUCACUGGGGAAUCCUUCUCUAUAUCAUACUGAACCUAUACUUCACUUUUGGGCGUCAGGAGCUUACACUAGAAUUGCCCCCAUCCAACCCAUCAUCUAAUCUCUAAGAAAGCAUCGUUUCCAUUCGAAUCCAGACCCCCUUCCUCCAAGUGAGUUCGACAGGCAAUAAGCGUUAAGGCGCACCUCUUCUAUCGCAUACUUGUUAUCUUGCCCCAAUCCCUUUAGCCAUCAAGUAAGCCACAAACCCUUUCUUUCCUCUUUAACUACAUAACUCUUGAACUCCUCUCUUACCGCACGCAUAUAGUAAACGAACAAGUAAGAAAGUCAGAAGUAAGCCCAAAACUCAGAAUUAUACAAGAAAGUUGGCAAGUAGGAAAGUGAGAAUUCCACUGCUAAGUAAGCAAAAGGGAAGCCCUAAGUGAGAAGUAAGCCCAAAACGAAAAACCUCAUGGAAAGGAUAAGGGAGCAACUGGUGCGUUGGGAACAGUUCCAUACCUUGGAGAAGCAGUAGAGACCAUUUACUCUAGGGGUGCAACAGCAGAAAGACUGUGAGAACACCCCAUCAAUGGGAACAUAUAGGAAAGGAUACAGCAGUAAAACAUAUAGGAAAGGAUACAGCAGUAAAUCAUAUGAAAAGGCUGCUGGACGAAGAGGUAACAUAUGAUGCCGCCUCGCCCCUUAAAGCUUCUAUUAGUAGCUUCAGGGUGGCUAACAGUAUAAGUCUAUCAUAUACGAAGGAGGGUGGGAGAUUGCAGCCCGCGGAUUGGCUAACCAAACCCGUAAGCGUGGAUUCCUCUGAGGUAGCAGCUACAAAAGUCAGUGAAGAUGUUAUCUUUAAGAGAAAUUGAGGCACUGUGAGCUCCAUGGUGCUUUACUUCUCUGGGAGUGAAAAGUGUAUACGUACCGAGGAAGUUUGGGCCAACGAGGAGCCCUAACAGUAUUAGUUGGAAGAGCCAGAGUGGAAUUAAGAUCUAGUUGCCAGCUGCUUGGCUGUUGUCAGUGGCCAUAGUUAUAGUAGCCUGAGUUAGAUGAGAUGGAAAGGUAGAACACUGGUUAGGAGUUUCAUUCAAUGGUCAGAAUAAGGGAGCUGUCACUAAUACUCAGACAACGAAUAAUAAUAACUAAUACUAAGCAUUGGUCUAAUACUAAUACUAAUAAGAAAAAACGAAUACUAAGCAAAGGUCUAUUGCUGCGUCAUAUGAUCUGGUUGACUUUCCUUGCACAAACAAGGACAUAUCCUUCUGAGGUGAAAGGCUAUUGAUUGGGAUUAGGAAAGCCUUGUUCAAAAGUCUGAGGAAAGAAAGUCCCACUGCAUCCGGUACAAAUAGGUUGCUAUUUAGCCAAACACGAAAUUAGGAUCAUAAAUCAUCAUAUAUCUAAUAAGGACACCCGCAAUCCAUUAAACAUUGAUGUUUCUGCCCCCCAUUGAUUUCUCAAUUAGCAUUGAUAAGGGCCCCGUAAUUGAUUUCUCUUUGAUAAGGGUUUUUCGAUUUCACAAGUGAGAAGGAGUUUUCGAUUUCAAGUAUAGUUCAGUGUCCUUGUGUCUUUGGGUUAAGGGGUAGCCUUGCCUCGCCUGCAAAGGGUCGAGCCUUCACUGCUUGUAUUCUAUUCUUUUCCUCCCAGUGCUAUUACAUACGGAAUAAGAUGUGGGUCGGAAGCUUGAUUCGAGCUCUUCCCCAUUCCUUUCCCCCAAAAAGAGUUAACCAUGGCUCGGUGGUAAAGCAGAAGAAAUCGAUGGGUUGAUUGGUUGGAUGCAUUCUGCCUUUCUCGGUCACACCCAUGCAUAGAACUUCAAGCCUUAGCAGUUCCGGCGGAUCAUCAUUGUUCGCACUCCAGGGAUCCCUAUGAUAUUUAGACAUUAUUCUAUUCCAUAUGAAGAUUUCUCUAUUACCUAUUAUAUAUGUAGACAUUAUUCUAUAUUCUAUAUUUAGACAUUGUAGACAUUAUUCUAUAUUCUAUAUUUAGACAUUAUUCCAUUUAUACAGAAUCCCCAUACGAGCGUGGAAUCCCCAUACGAGCGUGGAACCGGAACUUCCCCAUCUCAUCUGCUGGCAUGAAAUAGAAAUCCGUGGCAAAGCCCGUAAAUCACAAGGAAAUCAAUCUUAGACGCUUGACGUCGGUAGAGAGAGAUGAUUGGCUUCUUACUUGUUUGACCUCUCUUGGGAAAUCAAUCUUCUUACUUGUUUGACCUCUCUUGCUUGGCUUCUGGUUGUUUGUCUCCGGGUCUGAACCCUUACCUUGUCUUGCCCACUCGCCCCCUUCCUUCCCGGCACCAAGCAUUCCUAGAUAUUGCUCCAGUGGUUGACUACUCGCAUUGGUGGUUUACUAUCCUGCUCGCCUAACGAAAUCAAAUCAUCAAUACUAGCUUGGCCCCAACUAUUUCCGUUUAUCCUACAGCAGCUGGCGAGCCACUCUUGAGACGGAGCUUACUCGGCUAGCAACGGGCACUGGCGACGGAGAACAUAACUUCUGACUUUGGUUGUGGACCGGAACGAAUUACUUGCUCUUUCUGCUUUCCUCACCGUUGAGAACCGCAUAACUCAUUCUCAGUCACAACUUCGAAUCCACUUCAAUCAACCCAUUUGAAUAAGAGCGGAUCAAACUAUGCACACCAAAUCCAAUCAAGGAGGGGCAGUGGGUGAUUCUUCCUACCAAGGUCAACCAACACUCAAUCUCAACUCGUAGACUAGUAAACGAAAGCGAAGGGUACGCAAGGCAUUCGAUCUUCAAGCGAAAGGGAAGGGAGGUUCCAUUUGAUUCCGUUGGUAAAGGGACAGGUCAACAAAGUCCGCAGCUCUCGAAGUGAGAAUACACCUCCGCCAUAGGAUGACCCGAAAACGGGACCAAAUAGCUAUAGUAUCGCUACGUGGGGGAUCAGUGCUUUUUUACACCAGCAGUGACUCUAUAUCCAAAAUCAAUCGAUUACCAUGCAUUGCAUUCUUUUUUACACCAGCAGUAACUCUAUAUCCAAAAUCAAUCGAUUAAUUCAUUCCUUCCCGGUCCCCGGUUGUUUUCUCUUUUGUUUCUAUGCAUAGGGGGUCUCCAGUCUAGGAAUCCGGUUUGUUGCAGUUGAGUGACUCGGGUGUUGAUCAGAAGAGUUGCUCAGAGAGGAUCAACGUAGUUAAGAUUGAUGAAUUCGUUUUGACCCGACCGACGAGGUUAACCGUGGGAUCCUUUGCUUUCUGCUGUUUCGUUUGGAACAUUGUGGAUUUGACCUGACCCCUUGAGUACUUUGUAUCAAGAUUCGCAGCUCUUGCUUUUCUCUCUAGUUCAACGUUCACUCCUCCAUGGAAACUUCGAUCUCGGUGGUUCAAUUGAGUUUCAAUCCAUUCGGUGAGUUAUACCCUGUAGUAGCUCCUUCGCCUCUAUCGAAGGUACCUGUAUUCAUAGUAGCAACAGUAGGAGUGAGUUCAAAAAGAGACUAUACUUGCCUAGUAACAGACUUAGGGGGCCAAGCAACAGUGCGUACUAGAGCAAGAAAUAGGGUAUUAGUUUUUUGACUUCCCUUGCCCGAUCAAAGUAAUGACCUGAAUGGACUGAUGGUUAUUGUCCCGCUAUAGCUGGUGGAGUAAGGUAUAUCGGACUACUCCUGAGUUUAUGGUGUAGCCAGUAAGAGAAGAAGCAUACGUUGUGUUGCACUUUCUGAAUCUUAAUAAGAUGCCCGGAGCAGGUAAAGAAGCAGUUUUCAGAGCAGGAUAAGGGGAGAGAGCAGGAUCAAGUUCAGGAUCAGACUCCGGGGAGUAAUAGCCGGUUUAGGAUCAUAAGCUAUAAGAUAUGGUUACGUGGGCUAUCCGAACUCUCUUAACAGAGACCUGAGCCCUGAUUGAUAGUACUUAUUGGUGAAGCCGUGAACCUAGAUUUAGAGUCAAACUACCCAUGUUCUUAGACUCUUACGGCAUUUAUGACAUUUAGGUACCAACUCGAGCUCCCGAAAACUGUCAUUUCACUUGCGUAGAGGUGGGAAUUGGUUCUUCUUAUCCUGUUUAUUAUCUAUAUUCUAUAUUAAGCUUCCUCUCCAGCUGCUGCUUUAACCUCUUCUUCUUUAAUUCGAAGUUUCUAUACUAAAUCAACGAGUCAACCAGGAAUCCUUCUUUAUUGCUCACUUGAAAGAUACUUUACAGCUAUGUGGGCAUGAGAUUAGAGAGUCGACUCCACUUUCAUUUACUUUACAAGCACAAUAACUCUCCUUGAUUACGAAUAUGUAAGGGCCCUACCUUUUCUCUUUCGGGUUAUCCGUAAUACUCCUUUUCAGUCCUCCUACUUGGCUUCUUAGGCUUCUGACUUUUACCUUUUCUUGUUCUGCUGUCUCUCUGGCUGAGUGAGCUUCUCUGCUCUGUGUUGUUCUCAGUGAACUAGGAAGAAAAUAGACAUCAUUGGAUCCCCGCUAUAGACCAAAUGGAACUUAGUUAAUCCCCCACUGGGUUGGAUUCUCUGCAUUGAUAGCUUUAGUCUACCCUCCCUUCCCCACUCGCCCGCCCUUCCGCGUACUACUAUUAGAAUACAACCACUGCUAGUAAGAAUGCAAUUAGCGCCUCUCAUACCAGAACUUGGAACCAGGACUUUGACUCAUAAUAUCAGAAUAGGACUAGCGCUUCUAGCUCUGUAGCUCCUGUCUUCCAUUUUCUAUACACUAGAUAUCAAACUUACAUUCCUUGACGAAAGUCUUUAGUUCGGCAGCUUCGUUCUGUUGAUCCUGUCUGCAAUUCUUUGGCCCUUAUAAUAAUUGCUAGCGCGCCUACUCACAAGACUGCUUUUCCUGUCUUUGGUUCUGAAACUACUAACUAUAGGUCCCACUGCUUCAUCUAAUCCUGAUACUUUGUGGAGGUGUUUCGGCUUCCCUUCCUGGCUUUUAGCCUACCGCUCCGGUAUCUCGUUUUUUAGUUCGCCGCUCCUUUGUAUGCCCCGUUGCUUGCUAGCCCGCCCCUCCUGCAAUUCCGUGUUUCUGUCCUUUCUCUGUCUCUUACAUAUGCUUAUUAGUUUGACCUACUCGUUAGUUACUUGGUGAGUGGAGCUAUUAUGAAUCAAGAAUUGGACCGGCGCUUCUCUUUCCUGUAACUACUAUACACACCUAUAAGCCUGUCUGCACUAACUCCUAUUCUGACUACCCUGCUGAUCAGUCACCGAGCAAGAUAACCUAUCUUCUUUUGUGACUCCGCUCCCAAUGCCUAUGCUCCGUUUGAAGUCUGUUUCCCUUUACUUUGACUUUCGCUCUUCCUCUAUCAACUGUUAGAAUCAAACGAAUACUUAAUAAGCAUAAAAUACAAGAAUGGAGCUACUGGACUUCAAUCUUUCUCUAUUGAUCCCGGGUGUUUAAUGUUAGCCUGCCAUGCCUUUUUCUUACCUGUAUUCUUGUGCUACUGAUUUAGAUCUUUGCUUUAAUGCUAUAGUAGUAACUUGCCUCUUGAACUCCGAUACAUCUACUAGUACAAAUACAUACCUCUUUCUCUUACCUCAUAAAGUGUAAAUUACCCGGCUGAGAAUCGAGACCUCUGUAAACUCAUUCCAUUCCAUUCUUCAUCGGAUUUCGGUAUACCUCUCCUACGGCUCAGCUAACUCAGGCUAAUAAGUAAGUUUCUGGACACCUCGUAUCAAAGCUACCGAAAAAGGACUUAGGCCAAGCAACAUAGUCAGCGGCAGGAGCGGUGAAACUCUGGAACUCUAGGCGGAUUCAGCAGUAGCCAUUCACUCGAUCGACAAAAGGAAAUGCCCGAUGGACUCCUUCUUCUCUUUUUUCUUAGUCAAGUCAACAGUCUCAUCUCCAACUGAAUGAUCGGGCGUACUACGACUAAGAGAAUACGGGAAUGGUCCAAGAUCCGGAUACACUAAACCCUCUCCGACUGCAGACGAAGAUCGAGUUCGAAUAGAAAGUAUCCAAGGCAGGAAGACAUCAACAGAGUAAGCAAUCGAAGACUUCGAAGCUCUAAGAUAGAAGCUGCUUUCCAAGAAUCACCAGUCCCACGCUAUACGACGACAACUGAACCAUAGAAGGAGGCGGACGUAAUGGACCAGACAGACCAGAUGAAAGGCAAGCGGAGUCAUUCGACCCUAAAGGGGGCCUCGAAUGCUUACAAGACUCGCCUGAAUUGGACUACCAUAAACUAGCCCGACAUACUACUUUACGCAAUUUGAUACAUCGAAAGCGCACCAACCACAUAAGGUUCCACACCAAGAUCAAAUGAGGGACCACUAGUGGCAUUUCUCAUAUACGUUGGUUGGACCACUGCCGGAGAGAAAGGCUGACCCUAUCCAAAACCCUUAGCACAAUAAUAGGUGGGGGGUAUGGCGAUCCAACUACUACCCGCGGAACAGAGAUCCUUUCCAGUCAAGCUAUCCUCACUCAACAAGGGGAAUGAUUAGAAUCCAGCGGGGGUUAGUAAAAGACUAGGCCAAUGGUGCUCCACCAGCAACCUCUUACCCUCGUUCAACGAAGAAAGUGCAAUCCGUCCUUUCUUAGGGUUAGCUCUUACACAUUCUCCUUAUCAACAUCCAGGAUAUGAUUUGGACAAAAGAAUCACCAGUCCCCCACCAUAAAAGAAAAACCAAAUAAUGGAAAGAAACCUAAAAGAAGAUGUCCUACAACCGCAUACACAUACCCUCGAUACAAAGCAAGAAAGAAAGCAAACUCAGUCCUCGCCUCAGGUGAGCCAACCUUUCAAGCAAGAAUCUACUUAAACCACAAAGAAGAUAAUCAUUAUAUGAGAAAGAGCUUCAAAGAUAAGUGUAAGAAAUCCGGAUUUCGCUUUUUGAAUACAACUACAUUUCCUACGAGACGGAUUUAGGACUGACGGAGAGUUUGUUACUAGUUGUCAAGCCCUACAUGAAUUAGCACAAGGAUUAGUGCUUUCUCCCGGUUGAGUAGAUUUAUUCGCUUGCCUCGAAGACUGGCAUUAGGCCCCUUACUUAUGAUAGGAUUGAUUCGAAGCAAAGCCUUCUCUGGGAGAUGCUAGAAGAAAAGACUAGAAGCGCCCGGGGGGGCAAUUACACAGGCUAGCAGACAACCUAUAGCUAUUCCCUUGCAACAACCAAAAAUAAGUAAGCCUUCCUUCCAACAAUAGUAGGGUUUGGAAUGCAUACGGAAUGGAAAGCUAGAACGAAAGGGCAAGCAUCAGACAUAGGGACUACGGGAUAUACGUAAUAGCGGGACUAAGAGAUUCUCAAAACUAGUAAAGAAAAGGCCCCUUCGUAGACUAAGAAAGUGGGCAAUGGGGAUAGACCUUAAGCCUUCGCUUUUUCGGAAUACGGGAGGUAGUAAUGGGCGGAAUAAGUGGGCUGGCUGGGUGGAGAUAUAGGGAAAUCUAAGUAAGCGAUCUCAGACAUCUACAGAGGAAAUCCAAAUUCUUCCUGGAGAAAGAUUACAACACAAAUGACUAAAAAAGGGGCAAAGCCAGAAAUCCAAUCUAUUCUUUGCAAGAAAUCCAAUCUAUUCUUGACUUUUCUUAAGUAGGAAAAAGAGAGAAAUCAAGCAAGGAAUCCAAUUCGAGCCUUUGUUACACGCCAGGAACGGAGCACUCGCUAAAGGAUAUUCCCUUCCUUGCAGCACUUCAAAAAGGAGUUUCACAGACUCAAACAAAAGGAACUCGCUUACAGGACCGGCAUAGGGCGUUAGUGCUACGGAUUACUUACUAGAUGGAAUAGGCUUGUCUGACCUCUCCUUCCUUUCAUCUUUGGCAUCUCUCUUCUCUUAUGAUACCUUACCACUUUAGGGACUACCGGAAUCGAAUAAGACUGGUAGGAAGACUUCAAGGGCUUGGAAUGAUUACUUUAACCUAAAGCCGUUACAACCUUCCAUUCACUCACGGAACAAUAAUAAAGCCGUUACAACCACACUUCCAUUCACUCACGGAACAAGAAAAACACUUGAAGCCGCGGUAAACAGAUUUAUGUCAUCUGCACCUUCCAUCAGGAGGAUCAAACUCAUCUUUUCUAUUCCUUCGCAGAAAACAGACCCCAGGAAUGCUUGCUGUUAGCUGGUAAGGGAAAAAGGUUUGGGGACGAAGGGAAUCCGACUAUGGCACUCAAACGACUAAGACGAAUUCCGUCGAUUUGGACACUAUUCCUACUGCUACUGCGAGAGCUACUGCAGUAAGGAAGGAAUGCAUUCGCUUUCCACCAACCUUGUUUGGGGGGUUUUGACCUUGAUUACACGACUUCUGCUUCUCUCCCUCUUUUUCCUGUCCUAGAAAUCCGGUAAAGAAGUAAAGUAAACAAGCAGUGAGACAUCUCCUUAUAUUAUUUAUUAAUCAUUAAGUAGCACUUUAUUGAAAGCCGAGCAGAGCAGAGACUCGCUUUUUUCUUUGUACCGAAAUGAAUCAUAGGGAUACAUUAUUCGCGGAUUAUUCUUCCUUAUGAUUCGAGGCGAGGCUCAUAUGUCGAAGAGGCAAGGAAGAGGAUCCAAUGACGUGAUUACAGGGGCUGAUUCCGCGUGAUACUUAUAGCCAUGUGUUAGAAAAGGUGUCUAAGAGACUUAGUUCUUUGAAGUCUAGCUCUUUCUCUUUGGCAGGUCGAAUUACCUUCAGCCCAGUCUGUUUUAACAGCAUUGCCUACUUCUCCUCUAUUGAUCUGCACGGCAGGGAGUUGGGGCAAGAACAAGUGAAAGGUGCUUCUGAAGCUAAUGUGGUAAAGUCGAAAGUCAGGGGUAUUCGUUCCAAGUCGCAGGUAUUAGAGAUAGAGAUUGGUAACAACCCUAGAGUGAAAGGCUUAACCGAGUAGUAGGAAUCUCUGUCCUGUGCCCUUAAUUAAUGCCAUAAAGAAGGGAACAACCAUCAAGAAGGAACCAUAUAAAGAUGUUAGGAAGAAAUGCAUUCGUUGGACAGUUUCCGAGUAUCAAUGGAAUUAUGGCUAUCAGAGGAGUUUCCCCUGCCUUAUCAGACUCUAAAUAAGGGUUGAUGCAACUCGACUUGAUUGAGGCUUUACCGACCCGCUACUUAUGAGUUCCCCCACUUGAAGUUAAUCUGGAAAUUGGAUCUAUGGGGAGCACCCGUAUAAGUCAUAUUCCCUGCCUCAGAGACUUCUCUUUAUCUUUAUCCAUCCUGUCUACUGCUUGAGUAGACUUAUCAUUUGCUAUUGGAUACGGAACUUGCACUGCAGAUUCUCUAACUACUGCAUUCUGUUGAAACUGCUUCCUCGCCGGAUAUUGCUUAUGAACCCGGUUUUGAUCCUGGUUUUGAUCCUGACUUGCAAACUAGACUUUCUUAUGCUCCGAUACCUCUGUAAACUGCCAAGCUAGUGACCGAUUCCAAUCUUUCGAUAAGUCAAAUGAGUAACAAGUUCUUCUAUACCAUAAGUAGAUGUAGGCUCGGGUGCUUGUGUUGGUGGUGCUGUUCUAAAGUCUGCUCGGGCUGAAACAAGGUAUGACCCAUUUUCUGCAUCUAGUAUAAGGCAAGUAAUUGAACUACAAACUCGGAACCAGGAUUAGAUGAAGCAGUGGGACCUAUAGUUAGACCAGACCCGAGCCCCAACAAGCCGGAACUAAACUCAUUCGUAUAUGAGAAUAGGCAGAUUCAAAGAUGGGUACUACUAUUUGUAGCCGUAUUCGGAUAAGUAUUGGCAUGAGUAUAAUAAGAACAAGUCUCCGUUAAACAAGUAUUUGUUUGAGUAGCUGUAUCGGUAGUGAGAUAUAAGUAGUCAACUCAUCAACUAGAUAUAAGUAGUCAACUCGGAUUGAAGGAAGUAGUGGUAUACUAAAACAAACAAGUCAGAAAAAAAGGCAGUAAUUAAAAGACUACAAGAGGGGUAGGCUCGGUUGGUGGUUUAAGUCACCAAGCAACUACUAAUGACCAAGCCACGGAUAGACAAGUAGGCAAGCAGACAAGAAACUACUAAACAAGCAAGGGCGACAGGGCAAGGGGAUCAAUUCUGGAACUACCUCCUCUCAUUCUCAUUGUUACUGCUUUCAUUCCCACUACCACUAGGUUAAGUCUGUAACACCUAAGCUUCAGCCCGAGCAUACCCAGCAUCUGGUUUGCUAGCCGUGGUUUGAUUCCGAUACUGCUUAGGUCAAUUCUGAGUUAUACUGGGUUGAUUCUGUGGUUAGAUACCUUAGCUACCAAUAGUGACAUCCUAGCACUUGUUUCGGUGGGAAUGUAGCUGCUUUAAGACUUCUACUGACUAGCUGCCCCCUGGCUCUUAUUCUUGGACUCCCGGGUUUUUUGAUAGCAAAUAGAGAAAGUGGUUAACUCGACCUCCGCUCUGUAAACUCAUUCUGUAAUUACUACUUAUGAGCUUGCUGGCUUUUCUCUGAUCCUAAACCCCUGGCUCUGGCUCUGCUUCCUCGCCUCAAUCCACUCCCUUCCCUUACGCUGGACUACUACUAGUUGGGGCUCGGAAUAGCUUACCACAAACACAUAGCCAGUAUCAGGCGCAUCUACCGGAGUCAACUAAUACAGAUGCAACUGCGACAACAAAUACAGAUGCAACAGGCAAGGAAGCACUAACGGGAGCAAGAGGAGAAUAAAGAAGCAAGAUCUAUCUGGAAAGGAGACAGCACCAACCAACCCUCUAUCCUCUACCGUCAAGCUACUACUAAUCAAGCUACGACUAAGUCCUUUGUUGGAGGCUUUGAUACCGAAGCUUGAGAAGGAAUAAGGAACUAAAGGAAGGCCAAGUGGGAAGGGCCAAGCUACUCACUACCCUUGAAAGGCUGGAAACCAAACAACUCACUACUUGUUCUAAAGUGUAGUAGGCCUAUUCGACGGCUAUGAAGGUAGAAAACCACAGAAUCCAAUUCGUCACUGACAGAAACACACGCACCCGAAACUUCCUAUAGGGGCCUAUCCGUAGUCAACUCAUUCCAUUCCAUUCUUCUUUAUUACGCCAACCCAUAUGCCCUGUUUAUAGGCUUUCAAUGCAUUAGAAGCUCUCUUAGGCGUAUGACAUGAGAAUUAGUACAUCAAACAUCAGAAGUGCUUAAAUAGUUCAUUUCUUCUUAAUCAAAUAGACCCUUUGCCUUUACUUACCUUCAAGCUGUCUUCCACCCUUUAUUUAAUAACGGAUUUCUUUGACUACUGAGUUCAAUUACCUCAUUGGUAGCCGUUGCUACUGAUUCCACUUUACCACUCCACUCCUUACCUUACCCUUACUUUCGAACAGGAACAGGUGAUUCUCUUUCUUAUCUAUCCCUAAAUUAGUAACAAUUAUAUACUUCCAUUUGUAACAUUGUUACUUAGUUUUAGUCAUAUCAGUCCCAAGUUCUUCUAUACCUCUGGCACCCGAGUGAGUAGUUUCAUGAAAUACCUUAUCCGGCUUGUCUUAUGGCUCUGUACUCUUUACUACUCGUUUACUUGUUUGGGAUGAAACAGGACUCCUACUUGUCCACUUCAGACUCACAGUUUUCGGCCCUCUCUUAUCUUUCCUUCCAACCUAGCCGAGUUCUCUUUCCCCGCGAAACCAGUCCUACCUUACCCAGCCUAAUGGAAAUACUAAGUCAUUAGUUACGACUACUUGACAUGCUGAGAAUUAAUACCUUAGUUUAGGUAGGCACGGGAACCCUCUUUUCCUUGGUCAACUAAUACAGUUAGGGUCUCCAUUCUUCUCAUUAGAGGUAUCCGGUUCGAAGCAAGUAAAGAGCAACACAGUAGAUCGGCAGUUCCAGCAUGUAAGGAUUGGUCACAGAAUUCAAAUAAGUAGUUAGAGCUUUAGAGCUAGCAAGUCUGGAUCCGAAUCAUUGGUUAAAGAAAGAGAAAAGUACCCGUUUUUGUUUGAGAAUGAAAGCUAGGAGAUAUAGUCAGGUACCAGCAAUGAAAGGAUCGGUGUGUUAAGGGGACUGACUUGAGAACAGCUGAUGAAUUCUCUGAUCUACUUCCUUCACACUCUCCUUGAUUCACUCUUUUAGCCGAGAAAACAGAGGCGCUAUAUGCGCUUCAACAGAAGUGGGUAACCAAUUGUCCCAUGAAGACAGGACUCAGCCCUUACCUCUAUAGCAAGCACCCUUGCCCCGCAAAUAAUGAAUAUCUUAUUUACUUGAAGUGAAGCUAGCUAACCUGACUAGUCCUUGCUUUAAGAAGAGAAAGAAGGCUUAUCGGAGUACGAGCGAAAGAAUGGCAAGAAGGCAACUCGUGUUCAGCUUUCGUGAGUGGUGUGAGUUCCACUUGUUGAAUUGAGUUAGGAAACCUCCUUAUUAAAGGUUAAAGGACAGAGAUAGGGUUAAAGGACAGAGAGAGGCAGAGUUUAGUAUAAAUGAGUACAAAGCAAGCAAUAAAUCCAAUAAGUUGUUGAGUUCGUGCUAACUAACGUGUUAUGAUUUGGAGUUUUGGGUAGCCAUUAGAUUCGUGAGUUCCUGAAGCCGUUGUUUAGUGAGUUAAGGAGUAGAGUUCCGUUCGCCCUUGUACGUUCGAGUGUGCGGGGUGCCCUUAUUUAGCUUAGGUGCAAGGUUACUACUAUCUAUGGAUAGCUAGAUGAUAUUGCUGGUUGACUUCUGGUUUACUUGACUUUCACUGGCCCACAACUCUAUUGGCCCAACUCUCUUCUAUUGGCCCAACUAUCUUUACUGCUAGGUUAAUGCGAUAGCGGUAUCGUCUAAAGUUGAGUAGAAAGUAACGUUAAAGUAUAGUAUAGAUUACGGUGCCUCCGCCUCAUAGUAAGCAGUCAGCAGUGAGUUUAGGGGUGCGCCUAUGAUAUGAGCUUUGGCUUUGGAGGAAAUGAAGCAACUACGGAAUCUUAUCCACUAAAAAAGUAAACAGAACAAGCAAGGGAACUAGCAAACAAGCGAACAAGCCUAGAAGUCAGCUGUGUUAGGUUCAUCCUAGAGAAGAUAGUAAGUAGUAAGUUUCAGUUAGGUUCCGCCCCUACCCUAUAUAAGUUGUUGUGCGUGAGUUAGCUUUAAGAAGAGAGAAGGGAAUUGAGCUAUCCCAGACUCCACUCGGUAUUCCACUAUCCCAGCAGAGCCAGCAGCUUGUUGAAAGAAGUAUUUGUUUCGGUCGGCAAGGAAGCAGUUAGAAUCUGUUCUCUUGCUUAUAAAAGAGAGAAUGAAAGUGAGCCAUAGAAUCCUGUAUGUCUGCUUGGCCCCUACUUAAUCCUAUCUAUUCUUAUUAAGGAUUGAGCUGUUCUUAUUAAGGAUGGAUUGAGCUGCUCUUAUUAAGGAUUUAGUUGAGAAAGAGAAAAGCUAAUCGGUGAGGGCAAGCGAGUAGUUUCUUUCUUUACCAGUAGUUUCGAGUUGCUAGUCCCGUAGUUGGCGAUAGGAGAGUUCUUGUGCUCGUUGCUUGGCCCUUUUCUUCGAAUAAGAUAGCUCCACAGUAAAGAUCACUUGCCUCAAUCAGCAAUCAAUCUGCUUUUUCCUUUGUAUGCCUUCCUUCGGCAAAAGGAAUUAACGAUUCUCCCCCUCUGGAAGGGUAAGGUUCCAAUUGAUAGCUAUUCUGGCAUUCCUAACACUAACAGAAGCAUUUACUAGCCUGAGAGGUCUGGAUGACAGGAAAGAAAUAAAAAGACGUUACCAAAAUAGGGUUCAUUAGCCUCCAGCCGAGGGAGAAUUCUGGCUUGUUCCUCCAAGUCGUAUAUAUAUAUCUAUAUAAUAUAGAGUUCGUCCAUUCGGGAAGGGGAUGGCUGCCCACAUACAUGAAUAGAAUCAGAGAUCUUAUAGACUCCGGAUUGAUACUAUAGGACAUGGGAACCCAGAGAAAGAAGGAUUUUGACUCUAGAGGACAUAGGAAACCAGAGGUUAGAGAACGAGCAAAGGCAAAAUAUAGUAAGCAACCACAUUCUUGUUUAGGGAUGUCUUGCCUCUCUUCAAUGGUUGCGGGAAAGAGAGAAGGGUUCAGGGAAUCUGAAGGUAUAGCUUAGAACACCGACUGCGCUAAAGGAAGAAUACCGGAGUGGCCCGUCCAAGAACCGAUGAUUUGCGCUUUACCUAUAUGGAAUUGAGUAUAGUGGUAGUCGAAAGGAGACGCACUACUUACUGCCGAACACUGGUUCCUGUAAGUCUGGGUCUAGGGCAUCUGGUCCCACUAUAGUUUGCUUCAGGCGGUAGCGCAUCUCCGUCUUAAGGGAGGCGGCAACAAUAUAACCUUUCUUUUUGGCUGUGGACUUUGAUAGCAUAAGACCACGUGGAAGGGUAAUGCCAUAAAGUUCCCCUGGAGACCACGGAAAAGGAAGCGCCUAGUGGCUAAGUAGUUCAGGUCUGGGCCAAGUAUGGAUAUAGCAGGCAUCGAAAAGGCAUUGGCUCACACAGUCCAAAACAAGCUCCUGUACCGGCACUACCAUUAGAGUUCGAAGGUUUAUACCUAUACUGGGGCAAUCUCAUGAAUUGGGUGGGAAUUCCUCUUAUUCAAUCCAUUGUGCCUAGGCGUGUGUGGAGAAGUAAAUGUAUGCCCGCGCAUUCAUAUGUUCGGGUGUGCAUGCCCGCAAGGUUCGGCUGUUUUGAGACGUACGCUCGGCCUAUUUCUUGGUGGAUCAACCAGUGGCUGCUAGAAUAGGUCUUAGUGCUCCAUCAAAGCAGGAAUGAUCUGUCAGUUGGGUAUAACAUGGAAAGCAUUAAUAAGGCAAUCAACAUUGUGAGUGGAUUAGUCAGUUCCUCUGUAUGAAGCCAUGAGAGCAUGCCAAGGAUAGAUUAACGAUGAAACCACAAAAAGGCAAUACUUCCUCUGCUAUGGGGCGAAAGAGAAGAUAAGAAUCGACUUGCACAAAAAAACCUCUGCUGACCCUUACGAAACUAUUCUUUACAAGCUCUUCACCUUCCAUUAAGAGAGUUCUAGUAUACCACCAAGCAUAGAGGUCUAUUAUCACGUUCUUAUUGAUGGCUCUUUAUUGAAUCGUAAGCUCCCUUUGCUUUCACAUGACAUUUGAUGGUUAUUAUCUAUGCACCUUCUACUUUAGCCAGAUGACUUUUCACUUUCAUUCACUUUCUGCAGCUAGUCAAGCAAGCACUAUUGCAAACUCCAACUAUCAAAACCGUUUAUGUCAAGGUUAAUGAAUGAUUCCAGGAUGGGGGAAUAACCAUAUUCUUUGUUGGCUCGCGAUCAAUGGCUCUAUGGACGUAUUCGUAUUCUAUUGUUCGAAUUUCAUGCACGCAUGCGACCUAGAAACCCACCCCCCUCUUUCCUAGACCCAUGUCCUAUUCUCCACAAGCUGGACUCCCAGCCGAGCAAGAUCCACAAUGUUCGAAAGUUGCUUUGAAGGAAGGCUAUACCACCAAGCCAAGCUCUCCCUGAGGAAAAAUAGACUCCUCUUGAGACGCUAUAGCUAUUGCUGCAGAGCCUAGUUGAACCGAUGAAACCGAAAUCCGUUAUCGUAGUUGGACCAGCGUCACUGGUAUAGUAGGCUACCUACAUAUGCCCAGAAACAGGGAGUCGGGUGCUAUUCCAUAGUUAGCCAGAUCUAGUGUAUUACAUGAUGUGCUACGCCUUACCUAUUCUUUUAUUAGUAGGUGAACUAGAAUCGUACCGGGGUCGCACAGAACGAGAAACAGUCAAGUUAGCCUAAAAGCAAGGUGCUGAAAGCCUAAGACCUAUUUUAGCAAGUAAGGAUCAUAGGUAAACUACAGACCGAAAGGACCAACUCUUAGGCUAACAGCAAAGAGAGGUAGGCGCAAACAGGAGAUAUAGCCUGAAAGCGGGAAGCGCUAGCGCUAGUGGGUUAAGGCCCAAAGAGAGGUAGGUUGAGAAGCAGGCUCGGUUCUGUAAAUGAAGCCUGAUUUCUGUGUUUUAGUAUUAGAAGCUGUAGACUAUAAGUCCAAGAACUCAACAUAGGCAACAGUUUUAGAGCGAGUAAAGCUAAGAUCAGGAUCUGUAAGCUAUAGCCUGAAAGCGGUAGUGCCAGUCUCAUAUGUAGAGCAGGGUUCGAGGUAAUACAGUAGAGCAAGAUCAGUAUCAGUCGGGUAAGAGUGAGUUGAGAGUUCUCGUAUGAAGGGUCGUGUUUCAAUCCGGUAGUAAGUAGCACCAUUCUUUCCAGUUUACAGAGCCGUGUUUCAAUCCGGUAGUAAGUAGCACCAUUCUUUCCGUUAGUAGUAACAUUCCUUUUAUGGGGAGUUCGCGGUUCUUUAACUAACAAGUAAGUAUGCUAGGGCAAAUCCAUAUGUUAUAGAUCGGGGGGCAGUAAGCCUAGAGACAGUAAAGCAAGGAUCCUUAGACAGUAUAGAGUAGAGCAAGGUUCGAGGACAGUGUUUGAUUCGCCAGGUAGUAGUUCAUCCUUAAAAGCACUAGUGGAGUUUGAGUUUCUAGUUAAGUUAUUUAGUAACUGUUCGAUGUUUGCUCCUAUCGGCUCAAUUAUAAUAGUACACUAGGACUAGGGUUUUGGAAGAAUUAGUAGAAUUUCUAACUUAAGAGGCUAUGUUUGAGUACACAAUCCAGUAAGCAAGCCUUGUUGACAUCAGUAUUGGUAUGAAAGCAAAGGAGCGGCAGCCCGGGCAAUAAAGAGAGAACUAAAGAGUAAAGUAUCGUUAGGCACUGUUGAGAGCCCAGUUACGAGUUAAAGUAUUUCCAGUAUUAGCUCAAUUCUGAUUAAUAGUGAUUUGAUUCUGAGAAAGGAGGUUAUAGCUUUAUUAUGAAAUACAGGCACCUGAGUUAGGAGUUGCGAGUUAUGUUCCAUACGGGUACCGACAAGUUACUAUUAGACAAGCAGGAAAGCAGACAAGUAGGCAAGUAACUCAGGUAUUUAUUCUAAGAUCCUAUCAUGUAGGCUGGCUGGGUGUUAGAGAUGAUAAAGUCAGUUUCCCCACUAUUCCAAAGCAAAGUCAGUAAAGUAGAUUUAUGUUCUUGUGUCGAUUAGGGGUGAGUUUUGCCUCGUUAAGGGGUCGGGUCGGGUCAUUCCAAUUGACUAGCUAAUAGUUACACAUCAUACAUGUCUUGGCGCGCCGUUGCUUGUCUAUCCGUUGCUUGGCCCCCGCUUCAAAGCAAGAUUCCUCACUUAUAUACUUUGUGGCUCUCAAGAUAUACUUUGGCUCUCCAGAUUCAAUCAAUUCUUUCACUUCUGCUUACGAAGUUCGAAAUCACUGUUUUCGUAUCAGCGCCCUUUUACCAGUCUAAAUCUUCUCUUAAGUAAAUCUCUAAUUGAAUGAAGUAUGGAUGCGGGUGCCUAAGGAAGCCCAUUAAAUACGUUGUUAGAGGCGUUGGCAGGAGCUGUGAAAAAGCAAGUAGUUCAUCUCAUUAUGACUAAACUGCAGGCUUUGUGUUUAUGAAUUGGUUUACUUGAAGCAAGAGUUCUCCGCCUUACUUAUGAAAUUAAGACUCAUGAAGGCAAAGAAAUGCAGUAGACCCGCCUCACUGAUAACUCAAUGGUAUUUUGUGAUUAGACUAACCUAAAGAUACAGAGAAAGAGCUAGAAAGGGGAAUGUUCUUCUUCAAGUAUUGUUUCGGGUGUUGGCAGUUAUAAAGAGAAAUACGGAAUUGAGUAUGGCCAAAAGGAACCGAUUGCCCUCGACUCCCUUGCUUAAGUCUUAAGUACCAAUAUAAGAAGCAGGGACGGUGGAGCAAGGGUCGAUGUAAUUGAGCUACUAGAUGAUUUCCCCAACUCGUAUACUGGGUGCUUUAAGGCUGUUACUCACUAGUUUCUUUCUGUAACUCCCGACUUUGAGUGCAAUAACUUACCAUAAGGACUAGCUUACUCUCCUCAAGCGUAUACUACUUCCAACUGAUAUCCGGUCUGAAACUCGUCACCAAAACCCGGUCAAAAAGGUAGCAAAGGUGAGCUCCUGCCGCGGAACGUUAGUAGUUCCUUGGCCCUAAUGGAGCUCCCCAAUCUCAUUCAAAAGUCAUGGAAACCCGUGAAACAGCGCUGGCGCUUUCCCGCUCGCUACCGUUUCACUCAACUCCUACCGAGUUGCAUUCUCACUCCUCGUCCCCAAUGUUUCAAUCUGUGACUCCCGAGUUUGAUCAGUCAUCCUAUAAUAUGAUAUAUAAGGAUUUAGGAGUGGGCCAAGCCUACAAAGGUUCUCUAAUUACUACUUGCUUAACACAAGCACGGAAUCCUAUGCUCUGUAAACCAAGACUCUCCUCUUACUACUACUACUGAUGCAACAGGACCAUUGCAACAGGACCAUCCCACUACGCCUAGAAGUACCUACAACUACAGGUAUUCAACCAUAACUUUACCACGACCACUAGACUACCGGGAUGAAGACUAACACUCGAGCAGGAUCGGUAUUAAACUAGCCAAGCGUUUACUACAGUGGAAAGAGAAGACGAACACAACAUAGGACUUGCUCAGAACUCUGGGUACCACGGCACAGGACUCGGAGUUGCGGAUCUACCUGUGGCUUCUUCGGAUGCUUACUUUAUUGUUGAAUACCGAGUGGAAUCUUACAGCUGUGAUUAAUUGUUACUAAUGUGACUCAUUUCGAAGGAAGAAAUAAAGGUAGUAAGAAGGAGUCGAAGGAAGAAAUACAAGUAGUAAGAAGGAGAGGCUAGAGUUACUAUAGGUAGAUGAGCCAUUACUUUCUUAGUUUACAGAGGUAUAGCUCUUUCCAGAAGUAUUAGUUGACCAAGUCCUGUGUUCGUGAGCUGACCAAUUGCGGAAUGAAACUCGGGAGUCCAAGUCGGAUACUGGUGCUGCUCGGACUGCUGCUAGAUAUACUGAUUCCCUUACUUGCCCCUACCUUCCAUGCUUCUUAUAUAGCUACUUAAGACUGAAAGAGUGGGUAACAAGACUGUGAAGCUAGGUAGUUGUAGUAUGGUACUGAUGGUACUGAUGCUAGGGAUUGGUAUUACUAGUAUGGGGCUGCAGCUAGGUAGCUAAGGUAUCAGAGCUAUUAGUUAAGUACUGAAGUAAAGAAUUGCACUCUAACCUAUGAGGAAUUUCAGAAUGAACCGAGGUAGUCCAAGAAUGGAAAACUAGGUAGUCUGGGAAUUGAACCACUGCAGCUAAGGUCUCUAACCACUGAGGGCUCGCUACCGCGUCACAUUAGCAGUGCCUUGGUGGCUUCAACCGGACACCAACAAGACUGAUGCUUGGCCCUUUCUUUCACUAAGGUACUUGUUCUUGUUGGGUUCCCUAACACCGAAUCAAACAGGACAUGCAACUGUAUACUUUCCUUGAACUUAACCUUAUUCUACUCCUUCGGCACAAGAAAGAUGAAAUGUUGUAUUCCCUACUGCGCGAGUAAUACGAAAUAUAUGAGUUCAAAGUAAUACGAGAUAUAUGAGUUCCAAAUAGAAGGAAAGGAAAGGUAAAGCCUAGCCUUAUAUAAAUGCACACCUACUUAAACUUAUACUUUUACACGGGAUUCAACUAGAGCAGCUGAUUCUCCUACAGAGCACCCCGUAACUCUAACCUCUUUCGAAGACUUUAAUUGACUUGCUUCGAGGAUAAAAGUAAAACCAUUCAUUUGACUUUCACUUGCUUGUAGUGCCGAGUCCACCGAGUCCACCUGGAAUCCAUCUUGUCUUGCUUAGCACCCGAUCUAAACCUAAACUAUCACUGCUGCGGAUCCUGCAUCUCUAACUACACUUCAAUUUCCAAACUAUCCUAAAACUACACUUUCAACUGCUCCAUCUUCUAACCCUAAUACUUCCUAGGAUCCUGUUAUGAAGAAAUAGGCUUUCAGCACCUUUCUGAAUCGACAACUCAUGAGACUAUAGCAACUCUCCCCACUAAGGCUGGGCAACCACAUCUAUUACAUUACACCCCUAACCAACUAACUACUACCCGAGCCCAGUAAAAGCAAGAAAGUCAGGAGCACUACCCUUACCCAAGUCCUGGAAUAGCUUCCCGAGCCUACCCAGCUGGCUACAUCUCCUUUUAUUGCUCAUCUACUUAUUGCUCCUAUUAACUGCAUUCUUCUCCUAUGCCUAUUGCUCCCCGGGCUCCUGCCGCUAGUGCUACUUAAUAUAAGGGCUGACCGAGUAGAAUCUCCUCUCCCAUAGAAUACCUCUGGCGCAUCCAUCUACAUCUCCUCUGUCUGAUCCUAACAGUUCUCCUUCCCGUUCUUGCAACUACUAGUAACAUAACAAAGGUAAAGCCUAUUACUAUUACAGAAGCACUAACAGCAGAAGCACUAACAGAGUCAAAAGAGACAGUUCCGGGGCAGAGACAGAAUAUCUUCUUUCCUUCUUAUGCCCUUGUUUUGGUGAACUUUACUAGACUAGCCCAUUACUCGGAGUAGGUUCUCUUUCUGCUUUACCGAUUCUCUCUCGUCACCAACAAAGACAUCUUUCUUUCCGAACAGGCAAUUCGCACCUAGACUUAACUCGAACCCGAGAGCGGAUAGUGGAACUCGCACGGAGAUUGCUGCUGCCAACUAAGGUAAAGCCAGACAACUUGUCCAUAAGGGCAAGGAACUACUUCAGAAUGGAAUUGGAAAGAAGAAAUCAGAAUAGAAUGGAAUGAGUUUACAGAGGAAGCCUAAACCUCAAAAGAAGGGCCAACAGCCCAAACUAGUAGUAGUCCCGACCCGACCUCCAGUGUUAACACAACGCCUACCUCGACUCAUGAACUUCCCUCUCUCCACCUGUUCUUGCCUGCCGCUAGUGUUCGUCAACUAUACCUCUAUCUGUUCUGUUCUCUUCUCUGGCUUAGCGAGUUGAAUCAGUUAUCCUAUCAUCCGUUCACCUAUAUAAAGAGAAUAUAGAAUUUAGUAGACAUUUAGGAGGGGCCAAGCCAACAAAGGAUAUGGAAAACCUCUUUGCUUAACACAAGCACCCUAGCCAUGUAUAGGAAUUCCACAAGCCUACCUUUGUAACAGAGGAAUAAGCCUACCCCACAAAGUCAGUAAACUAAGUCAGUAAACCAACCAACCCUUUGCUACCAUGAUACUUAACUGCAUCCCUUUCCACCACUGCUGAAGUAAGGAAGUAAGGAAGUAGUUGACUAUUGACUGACACCUACUAAUUGAAUAGCCCGGUAGUGCAGUCCAGCGUGAAGUCCAUUCUUGUCCCUCGCCUAGGUAAGAUGUGGCAGAAAUGAUAGUAAGGGCCCUUUGUUUGCCUCUGCCUCUCUAUCCUCUGGACUAGCUUGCUUCUCUCCCCUCUGUCAACUCAUUCCAUUCCAUUCCUCUGUAGUGACCUGACCUGGAUUGAUUUGAUAUACCCGAUACCUCCUAAGGCAACUCUUUGAUAUACCCGAUACCUCCUAAGGCAACUCUUUAUGUAUAUGUUUACCACCCGUCCCUCGUAUUGGAAUGACUAGAGCAUCAACACAGGAAACGACUCACUACAAGCUGUAUGAUAUCUUCUCUUUAUAACUGAUGAAACAGCCCCUCUGGCAUUAAAGUAAACAAAUCAUUAAUUUCUUCUUUCGAGUGCAUAAUAAGAAAAGAGAAUUGAAGGAAUUGAUCAACGCGCAGAAUAUUGAUACUCGGCCCAUGUACUUCUUAUGUCAAAUAAGGGGUUUCCUCGGUGCCUGUUCCACUCUUUCUUCUCAGAAUGCAAAGAUCCCCCCGGCUUAUGGUCUUUCUUCCUCACCUGUAGACUCCACUAUAACAGCAGAGUUGCGGUAAAGUAGUGACUUGUGUAGUUUACAGUCUUGUUUCGGGUGUUGGCGAUUAGUAUACUAUUUCCGUUUCCAGUGUACUAGAGUGUUGAGUAAGUCAGUAGUAAGUCCUAAGUGUUGAGUAAGUCAGUAGUAAGCCCUAAGUAAACUAGUUAUUAGUAAGCCCUAAGCCCUAAGUUAGUAGCUAGUAAGCCCUUUAGUGGAAUUCUUUGUUUCAAGGGGAGUUGCCUCAGUAUUAGCAAGGGAGUUAAGGGAGAAGGAGCAAACAGAAUAUAGAGAAUCUGCUGUGCGCCUAAGGAACACGCGGACAAGCAUACGGCUAUGAGGGUAUCAACCUCAAGAAUCAAACCUUUUAGUACUAGUCGCCUUAAAGGAGCCACCAAGCUUAUACUAGUUAUGGGAUAGAUCUAUCGCAUAUAUAAUAUCUUACUUCUUUGGGGGCGAGUCAACGUUUUCCUAUAUCAAGAGAAAGCCUCUGUCCUUUGUUCACCGGUUAGUCUCAUAUUCAGAAUGAACCUCUUCAAAAAGAAGAGAAUAAAGUACUUGUUUUGAGGCGAGGUCAGCAAGUCAGAUAGAGUUAGUUCCGGUCUGUAAGGGAAGCAGUUAGGUCAGACUCAUAAGCUGUUUCAUCUGUUCUCAUAUAUGAAAAGAAAGAAUGAAAGUUGUUCUUUGGAUUCAAGCUUGCCCUGUAAAGGAGUGACAGAGUUAUGUAACAGAAUUAUACUGGUGAGUAAGGGAAUGCACUACAUCAUACCAGCUGGAUCUAUCCCUAUAACUAUUCUAUAUCCUUAUGCACCUGGGCAAUUAUAGGAAGUAACACGUAUUGAGAGAAAGAGCAACCAAGCAUACAAGCCAAAAUGGGCAAAUAGAGGUUUACAGCCCCAACACCAAGUAGUGGUCCUGUAUUAAUGGUAUUGUAGAUACGGGUAACAAACCUAAAGAAAGAGCAAACAAGCAACUUGCCCACCUUUCUUAAAGAAUUUCAAUAUCAACUCGCUACUACUGUAUUAGUUAUCAACUACUGUAUUAGUUAUCAACUACUGUAUUAGUUAUCAAAGGUGCUGCGAACUCGUAUAUAAGGAGAGAAGCCCAGACAGUAAAGUAAGUCAGAUUCAAAAGAAGGGGAAGCAGUGCUUGUUAAACAAUCCUAUAUGAAAGUGAUAUAGAUUUGAUUAUACUUGGUGUGUAGAGCUUGUGUAUAGCUUCAAUGAAAGUUUUUUAUCCGUUAUUUUCUGAACUUGUAAAUUACAUCUUAAGAGAAGGUAGAAAACUAUCAAGUCAGAAGAAAACCGGGAAGGUAUAAAAACCCUAGUAUUGGAAUCAAACUAGAGGCUCUAUUUGUUUGAUAGGCAAUAAGCACCCUACCACAUAAGGGCUCAGGCUUCUGUGAAAUUGACCAAGUAUGUAAAAUAGCCCCCACUACCCUAGUCAAUUUAAGUAAACAAAACGACCCCUUAACUACUAAGUCAACAACCCUACCACUAAUAGAUUUACCAGACUCCACUCGAGAUGAAACAGCCAAGCGUAUACUAACGACCAAAAGCCGGGUUCAAACCGUAAAGCUGUUCCUAGGCAAUAGAAUUCUCAUUUGAUAGUUGCGGUCGGUCAAUCAGGAUCUUCGGUUACAGAAUUAGCAGGAGCUAGAGAAGGGGCGAGCGGGCCUAGGCCAGUGAAAGUUCUAAAGUCCGUAGCAGGGAAGGGAGUUGUUGAUUCGGCUAAAGCUCAAGUUGUUUCAUGAAGGGAAGCAGUGUAUUUACAACCUGCAAGGGAAUAAUCCGCUAGUUUAGAGCCAGCCCCUAUGUUGUGGGAAAGAAAUCCUGUUUUGUUUGAGAAAUGAAGAUAUGGGAGCCGAGGUAAAGUUGACAGUGUAGUUGAAAGGCUUGUUAGUGCAGAGGGUAUACUACUGAGGUCAAUUCUGAACUUCACUGAUGAGCCAGAGGUAUCGAAUAACGGAGAUCCUGCUGUUACUAAAAUGCAGCUUAUCCUUAGUGCUAUAACAAGACUCAAGCUAGUGCUGACAAACUCCAUUCUAAUUGAACUAUAACUAAAAUAUACCACAAUAUACCAAUGGAACUGUUACUAAUUUCAUAGCCAGAGGACAGGUAUUAGAGGUGCUCGCACCCCAAGAGUAGAGUAGGAGCACCUUGGGCUAGGGAACCCUACGGAUUAUAGGAAGAAAUUCAUUCGUUGGCAAGUUGAUUAGUUGAAAUGAUAGUAAUUUCCCAUUAAGUAGAAGAUAAGUAGAAGGGAGGUAGCUAGCGUGUCUCCUUUCUUUAUAAACUAGAAUAUCUCUUUCGAUACCCUGCCCUCGUAUUUUAUAACUGAUUUAACAAGCCCUGCAGCUGGCAACAAUUCUAUACUUCCCGAACUCUGAUACUCGACUUAAAGAAUAGAAUGGAAGUGAAGAAUUCCAUUGUUAACCUCUCAUAUAGAUAUUGAUAAUAUUACUCACAUAUAGAUACUAAAGCUCGAAAGCACUGAUUGUCCAAGCCCACGAAGCUCUCUCUCAUUACGGGUGUCUCUGUAGCUCAAUGUAGUAUAGUUUCAUAUGAGUGUAAUCUCAGUUCUUUACCGAACAAGCAAUAAGGAUCUUACUAGAGAAAAAGAAUAUAAGAGAAUGUUAGUGCAUACCGGACUGCAUUUCUUACUUGAAACUUUAUACCUGGACUUAGCUUUAGCUUCAACUCGGGAUGGUGCGUUGAGUUGAGUUCGGAUAGCCCAGGAAUCAUUCUUUAACAAGCAGACUCCUUUGGUGCUCUAGCUCUAAGUCUAGGAAAGUUGCUAAAGUCAUCCUUAGUUUCAAACUUAUUAUUUAGGGCUUUGGUGUCGUAGCGUAGUAGCGACCAGUUCCAGUAAGAAUAGAGUUCCAGUAUUGCCAUGCCAGGUCCAGGAACAAGAUCUGAAGCCGGGGAAGUGAGUCUUGAUCCAACAAGCCGACAAGGAACUACUGGAGCAAUAAACCCUGCUAGAGCAAGAAACUGCUUCUCUUGUAAACUUUAUUUGAGCUCUUUGCCAGAGAAGAAGUAUGGGAGAUAAGCUUCAUUCAGGUAUCAAAGAAAAAGAAAGAGUUACCGAUUGCAUCAACCCUUAUCGACACCCCUAGUUGCAUCUGAACCCUUAUCGACACCCCGAGUUGCAUCUGUAUAAAUAAGAAAAAGAAGAUUCCUUUCGUCACCCACCAAGUCAGUCAACCUACAACAAACAAGCAAGUAAGUAAACUACCCCAGCCGAGUAACUUCAUGAAACAAGUAAGUAAACUAAGUAAGUAAACCUACCCGACCCCUUAACUAGGCAAUAGGAACGAACCCCGACCCUACUUAUUUAGUUUGAGCACCUGAUCCGACCCGCCAAGACACUACUAAUGUGUCGCGGCAGAGCCGCUGUCAAUUCGGGCAUUCAAUAAAGAACCUAACAAGCAAGUCAAUAGAAUUCCACAACUAACCUAACAAGCAAUAAAGUAAGGAGCACUACCAUCAAGAGCCGAGUUUCAUUCUGACUUUUCUGUAACCCUACCUCAGCUGUUCCAUUCCGAGUCUAAUUAUGCUACACAAGGGGUGGAAUUCUUCCAUUCCUUAUUAGCGCACUAGUUCAUUCUGUACUUCCUUACUUCUAGCUUAGCUUCAAAGCCGACUUAAUAGAAGGGCAACCACUACGGAUGAAACUAGACCACUACCUAGCCUAGAUCUACUCUUUGGACCACUACUUGUUUGGGCAAUCACUUCACUUGAUACUUUACCUCACCCUGGAACAGGCAAUUCUCUACUAUACCCGACCCUAAAAGAUGGAUCGUAGUGAUGCGGUAAAUAAGAGACCCAUGCUCCUAUGGCUCUGACUCCUAUACGAAUCCACCUCUGUCAACUGGCAACUCAACUUACCUUGAUGACCUGACCCGAUUGCUGCAGACUACUUUCUCACUGGACUUCGCCUUCCUCGGAUCUAGCCUCUGAUCUUACCCGUGCAAGAAAUGCAUUUAGUGCCUAUAUCUUUAUGGUUCGACUAUAUGUCAUUAUAUAUAAAGAGAGUCCAAGUUUUCCUAGGCUUUCCUUUACUUAGUCAGUACUGAGUCAAUGGAACUCAAAUCUCUCUUUGUUUCUGCUUUGUUUCUCUAUUCUUACGGUGUUAAGUCGACUCGAGACUCCUUCCCUGAAAUGAACCCAUAUUUCGGGUGAUUGGUGCGAUUUCGCUCGGUGAGACGUCGGACAAUUGGUGCAUUUUGUCGUGUGAUUGGUGCAUUUUCUCUCGGGUGAUCGGUGCAUUUUCUUGAAGUCAAGAUAGAAUUCAAGUGGUUAAGAAAGAGUACUGUGUUCCAGGAAAGCCAGCUAUACUUCGGUGAAAGUCAACUAAGGCUUUCAGCACCUUGCGAUUCAGCUACCUUUUUGUGGUUACUUGGCCGCUGACGCUACACACUAUACGUUAAUUGUCUAGUCGUUGCUUGGCUGUACUACUGGGCAAAGGAAUUGCUCAUAACUCCUAAGCUGCCUGCCGCGCUACUUACUUACUUAGUUGCUUGCCGGGCUUUCACACCGCAACACAAGACUUGGUCCAGAGGUUCACCUUGAGACUAGAAUUGAAGAAUCUCCUUUCGAAUGAAUGUCUUCGGCUUACGGAGCUGCUAAAGAUUCUCGAAUUGCGGAUGAUACUGAAGCUACUCCGACUCCUGAUACGGACACUUAUUCUUUCUUAUAUUGCUCUUUCUGUAUCUUUAGGCUGGCUAAUCCAUCUGUUAUUUAUGAUAUAUCGAAGACUUUCCCUCUUAUGUUUAAGAUUCCACAUUUGAGUCCUGUAUUUUGUCCUGUUUUUGGUAUUCAUGGCUAAAGGAGCUAAGUUGACUAGGAAUCAUUCUUUCGCACGUGGGCUAAUAUAUAGCGGAUUUCCUUUCUAGCUUCUUAUCGUUCUCCAGGAAUUGAAACUAGAAACUCCCUUAGCGCGGAUUCAUCCUCUGAUGAAGUUACUGCAACAAACACGAGAACCUCUCCUGUCUCUACAACUUAGGGCAUCAAAGCCCCUGACAAGACUCUCAGGCAGGGAACCUCCCACUUGCUUGCUUCCUUACCCCGCUUCAAUUGGACGACUUGUACCACUCGGGAAAGCCAAUAACUCCUAUUGCUACUAAUAGAGCCAGUAGAAAGUGGUAGUCCUGUUCGAGUAAGUAUAAGACUCAGAUUAUUCCAGUUUAGGUCCGGGAAGAAUAAAGUCAAAAGUCCCCUGGCGUAGAAGAAGUUUACAGUCCAAGUGUACGAUAACCAGAUGGCAGGAUAGACAAAAUCAGCAGUGUGAGCUCCUAAUCUAAUGCUAAGCUUCGGGGCAAGAAGAGAAGAGAACAGGCCAAGAAACUACUAAUAGGUACUCGAAAUAGUAGAUAAUAUAAUCCGGAUCUUAUCCUUCUCAAGCUUCUAAGCCAACAACUAUCAAUAUGGGUUUACAGCCCAGCCCUAUCGUUAUCGUUCAAGAGAAUCAGAUGGAGCAGGCUACGAUAUAGAAUCAGAGGCCAAAGCAGAAGAUGGGGAAUCCGCAAGUGAAAAGGCAAGGGAGAAAGCUAGUUCAAUAACCACUUAAAGUAGAGGUCGAGGAAGCAAGGGGAGAAGCAUCAAGGGAAGCGUAGUUACUUGGCUGAUAUCAAAGUUGUUGGUUGUCCACUUGAACUUAUAUAAAAGCUCCUUGCCUACUUGGUCCCGGGGUUGAUGAAACUUCACUGGUUAUCUUUCCACUCCCCUUAUAUACAAGUGAACUGUGUACUGUGCCACUUAUAUAUCUGCACCUGUUCUUUUCACUUCAACUACCAUGAUAGAUCUAGUGGGCCAUAAUACAUAGGCUAGCACAUUCCCUUACUGAGUGGAUGUUAACUACAGGUCUGCUCUAACUGCUUACUUACCUCGACUUGAAGUUCUGAACCACUGUUUGCUGAUUACUUUUGCACCUCUGAUUCUGAAAACAAUGAAAGUAAAGCCUUAGAAACAAGCACAAUUACCUCUCUAAACCGACCCGAACCCAACCUUUUAUUUCGCACUCUCACUUGACUUUCUUUUCCACUUGCAGCUGACGAAACAAGCAAAUCAUAUCCUUAUCUUUCACUGUGAACUACUUUCCCUUUAGCCGAGUUAACAAAUACUUCUCUUUUGAGAUCCGAGUCCACUAAUACUGACGUUGCUUAUUUGCUUCUUGUUCUUGUUCCGUAGCUUGUUUAAACUUCUUUUUGGAUUUAUGAUAUGUAAGAUAUUCACCCCCCAGAUUACUGCUGGCUCAAGGCACCUCGAAAGGAAGCUAACAUUAUUACCUCAAAAGUAAGCUAAGGCACCAAAGGCUUUGUUGAGUUAAGUGAGUGUAGAGUCAGAAGGGCAGUUGUGUUACUAUGUUCUAUAUGUAGUAUAAAGCUCUCUUCUUACUCCAUUUCUAUUCAUUUCCAUUCUAUUCCUUAGAAUAAGCCGUUGUGCACUGUCGGGGUACGCCUAUAAUAUGAGUUUUGGAAGCUUCCAGUCAGCAGUAAGCAAUAAGACGUUAGCAGACGCGCAUUAGGGGUUUUCUAUUGGAAUUGGGUAGCGCGCAGUAUAGUAUGUUACACAGGUCCUACUGAAGUAGCUUGUUCGCAAGCCAUUACGCGUUUACUUAUUGUGUUUGGGUGCGUUAGCGAGCGCAGCACAAGGUGAAUAAAAGUAAUGCCAAUUUCAAGAGUACGACCCGCCCAGUUUAGGAGAUCUGGGUUUUUGGAUUCUCUCUCCCUCCUCGAAUUCCUAUAGCUACCUAAGAGAUCCGAUACCUCUGCUGUACUUCUUUGACUUGGAAAGAGUGACGUGAAUAGAGUUGAGCUUUCUCUAUGUCGUAGGUCUCUAAAUCUACUGUUAUACUUACCUUUCGAACGGAUCGAUACCGAGUGGCACUGAAUUAGCGCUUUAUCUUGAUACUAGAAAAUGCAGUCUUCGAGGCGCCCUCACGGAUUGGGCUUAGAUAGCCUUAACCUAGUUGUUGCGGCCCUAUCCGCAAUACUUAGGUCUCUCGUCUCUCUCCUCUUCCCUUCGUUUUGGGUUUGGCAGGUCUCUCGAUGAUAGCCAUGUUUUCGACAGCAAGCUCCAAUUCUCCUUGAUCAAGACUCCGUCUAGGUUCUCACACCAGUCCUCUUAUCAAAGAAGAGCUACUCGACGUCAAGUCCUAAUUAAGACAACUUCAUAACCGAGGAGUGGAGAUGCAUUCCCUGAUCUGAUCCAUUUAACUACCCUUUCAUGAAAGCCCAGGAACGAUUCCAAUCAAUCGAAGAAUGUGUCCCGCAACGAAGAAGCGCUAGCAUACCUAUCGACUCUUCGCGUUACUUUCGGCGGGCUUUCACUAUUUCUUUCACUAUUUCCAAAAAGAGAUGAAUAGACGGAGCUUCAAAAGUACCUUCCUUCCACUCAAAGAGGAAACCCUGGUUUCCUCGGUUUUGCAUACCCUUCUAUUAGCCUGCCAUUCCUUUUCCAAACCUCUACCCUGCGCUGCACUCCAGUGGUUAGAUCGACGAAACUCCUUUUUGCCCUUAAGGGUUCUUGCCCUCUUUUCUCUUGAGAUCACCCUCUUAGAAUACGAAACCAAGCUCCGUUUUCAAGGUUCAAGAAAGAGCCUGGAUAAGGUCCCUACUUACUGGACUUCUUCGGAAUCCAAACUCCUGACAGUCGGUAGGGUACCGAAAGCUGGGAUAAAUAAAAUGAAUUUAAGCAGAUAGAAAUCAAAAGAAUUGGAUAUAGGGCCACCACAAAGGAGUGUUCCAAGGAAAAGAAAGCGAAAUAGUAAGAGUCAUGGGCAAGAGCGACUGUGUGUACAUGCAUUAGGAAUCAAACUCAAAGACCUAUGCUAGGGAAUAGCUAAAACAAUGCCCCAGGCUACUUUCCGCCCUUACUGAGAAAUCUUAGACCUGUGAGCAAGCCAACAAGACCAACUUCUUAUUGAGGAGCCGUCGAUCUCUCGGUGAAUUUUCUACGCCUAUUCUGUGAGCUCUCUUACUAGGGACAGCAAAAAGGAUUCCUUGUUAAUAGUAAGCAAAAUAUACCAAUUUCAGAUUCAUCGAUUCAAAAGGAAGAUAUAGGUUAGGUUUAGUGCUUUCUUCCAUCGACCGGAGCUCUUGUUAUUUCUCACUUUUCUCCUAGGAAUUACUGCUUCCUCGGUAGCUAGGUAUGACAGAGCAACCGAAGCUUCUGUAGUGACCUGGCGUCUGCUUGGCUCUUCAAGUGUUGUUCGGGAGCCAGAGGUAAGUAGAUGAGCCGCAUUGAGUAUUUAGAGAUAGAUUUCAUCGCAUAUGCCCUACGAAAAGGUUCUUCCCCGGCGGAAAAGGUGUCUCCAUCUUCAACAGGAGAAAGAGAGGAGAAGAUGCCCUAUCAAGUUAUAGGAAGAAAUGCAUUUGUACAGCCGAGAAGUCUAUUUCAUAGGUAAUUUACCAUAAAACACUUGAUAGGCAUGGGUGGUUUACUUCAUACGUUAAUCUAUUACUUCAUGUGCUAGAUCGUACCCAAGGAAGGUAACUUAGCUGCGGAGCUAUAGGAAGGUAACUUAGCGCAGAUCACUCCUCUGAUUCUGGAAUUACUGUUUUUAUACUCUAACUUCACUUAUGCUUACUCUUAUGGCGCUAACGGAGUUUACAGCACUGCAGCUUCUCCUUAUGCAUCUCUGGAUACUGCUCUAACAGUUGACUUUCGAACAGCUUACACAGCUUCUUCUGAUUCUCUUGUGGUGCCUUAGGGUGCUUUAUAAGUAGGCUUUCAGCACCUUCGCUUUGCAAGCAAUUCUCUUGUUUGGACCACUUAGCGCGCAUUAUGUUGUAGGGGGCCUUGACUUUCUCUUUCUUCUUUUCUUUUUUCGAUCUCAACGCCUUCCCUUACUGCCCGGUCAACUCUACCACUCACUGCCCACAAGGGAAGAAGCCAGGGGUUGUUGCUUCAGAACAAGUAAGUACUGGUGAUGCAGAUCUUUCUCUUGAAACGAGAACUCCACUUUCAACAACGAACUCAGUUAGCGCAGAGAAUUCCUUUGAUUCAAGAAUUACCCACUUAGAUUCAAUACAAUAAUACUCCACUUGCUCUUUUGCCGGAGCUCUAUGACUCUUUCUUUAAGCAAAGUGAAAGCGAGUUAGCUUCCUAUUGAUCACUACGCUCGGCUCGAUGAACACAGGACUUAGGCAUAUGAGUGUCAUUCUUUAACAAGCAUCUGGGGAUCGGUGGUAUUAGCAUCAGGAUUAGAUGCACUAGCUCCACUCUACACCCGACCAGCUCCAUUCUCUCCCUAAGGCGUCUACUGACUAGCCACAUACCUAGCAACACCGGCAUCAGGCUUACUACCUUUGCUUUAAGUCUUGAACGCUUAUUUGUAGUGGUUGCAUUCUUACUAUCCAUAGCAUCAGGCUUAGCAAAGUGGGGCACAGUCCCAUAAGCUACACCACUGUUGAAGACUUGCUGGUACUGGGUUCAGUCCGAUCGAUCUAAGGUUGAUUCCUUGAGGCACUGUUUCGGUCUUAGCCCUAGUGGUUUGAUUCUUAGAUGCACCAGUAUCAGGCUUGCUAGACAGUGUGUCAGUCUGAGCCAUAUGGGUUUGGUUCUUAGGUGCAUUGGUCACAGUCUGAUUGGUGUGAGUUUNNNNNNNNNNNNNNNNNNNNNNNNNNNNNNNNNNNNNNNNNNNNNNNNNNNNNNNNNNNNNNNNNNNNNNNNNNNNNNNNNNNNNNNNNNNNNNNNNNNNNNNNNNNNNNNNNNNNNNNNNNNNNNNNNNNNNNNNNNNNNNNNNNNNNNNNNNNNNNNNNNNNNNNNNNNNNNNNNNNNNNNNNNNNNNNNNNNNNNNNNNNNNNNNNNNNNNNNNNNNNNNNNNNNNNNNNNNNNNNNNNNNNNNNNNNNNNNNNNNNNNNNNNNNNNNNNNNNNNNNNNNNNNNNNNNNNNNNNNNNNNNNNNNNNNNNNNNNNNNNNNNNNNNNNNNNNNNNNNNNNNNNNNNNNNNNNNNNNNNNNNNNNNNNNNNNNNNNNNNNNNNNNNNNNNNNNNNNNNNNNNNNNNNNNNNNNNNNNNNNNNNNNNNNNNNNNNNNNNNNNNNNNNNNNNNNNNNNNNNNNNNNNNNNNNNNNNNNNNNNNNNNNNNNNNNNNNNNNNNNNNNNNNNNNNNNNNNNNNNNNNNNNNNNNNNNNNNNNNNNNNNNNNNNNNNNNNNNNNNNNNNNNNNNNNNNNNNNNNNNNNNNNNNNNNNNNNNNNNNNNNNNNNNNNNNNNNNNNNNNNNNNNNNNNNNNNNNNNNNNNNNNNNNNNNNNNNNNNNNNNNNNNNNNNNNNNNNNNNNNNNNNNNNNNNNNNNNNNNNNNNNNNNNNNNNNNNNNNNNNNNNNNNNNNNNNNNNNNNNNNNNNNNNNNNNNNNNNNNNNNNNNNNNNNNNNNNNNNNNNNNNNNNNNNNNNNNNNNNNNNNNNNNNNNNNNNNNNNNNNNNNNNNNNNNNNNNNNNNNNNNNNNNNNNNNNNNNNNNNNNNNNNNNNNNNNNNNNNNNNNNNNNNNNNNNNNNNNNNNNNNNNNNNNNNNNNNNNNNNNNNNNNNNNNNNNNNNNNNNNNNNNNNNNNNNNNNNNNNNNNNNNNNNNNNNNNNNNNNNNNNNNNNNNNNNNNNNNNNNNNNNNNNNNNNNNNNNNNNNNNNNNNNNNNNNNNNNNNNNNNNNNNNNNNNNNNNNNNNNNNNNNNNNNNNNNNNNNNNNNNNNNNNNNNNNNNNNNNNNNNNNNNNNNNNNNNNNNNNNNNNNNNNNNNNNNNNNNNNNNNNNNNNNNNNNNNNNNNNNNNNNNNNNNNNNNNNNNNNNNNNNNNNNNNNNNNNNNNNNNNNNNNNNNNNNNNNNNNNNNNNNNNNNNNNNNNNNNNNNNNNNNNNNNNNNNNNNNNNNNNNNNNNNNNNNNNNNNNNNNNNNNNNNNNNNNNNNNNNNNNUGGUUGGAUUCUGAUCUUAGUACUGGAUGCGGGUUUCUGGUCAUAUGAGAUAUUCUAGGUAUACCUCGGAGUUCUGGUCAUAGGUCUAAUUAACUAGAUGCGGCUUUCUGGUCAUACAUAGGGAAUAGCUGGUUUCAGUCUGAUCUUAGGGAGCUCCGUUCUGUGACUCCUUUGUUUAAGCCUGAUAUUGAUUAGCUUCAUUCUAUCCCUAAGUCGUCUACUGACUAGCCACAUUCCUAGCAACACCAGUAGCAGCCUCGGAAGCACUUGGUUAAGUCUUAGAUACAUUGCUUUAAGCCUCGGAUUGGUCAGCUGCAUUCUAUCACUUAGCAGCAUCAGCUUGAGGAGCACUGGGCGAAGUCUAUCACUACCGCUACCAAGCCUAUACUACGUACCCACCCAUGAAGCCUUAGAUGCACUCGUCCCAUUCUCAUACUGCCUCGGUUCAGUCUUACACUCGCUAUAGCUGCGUUCUGAGUCUACCCGGUCUCAUUCUUAAGCACUUGCAUCGGUCUGCCCAGCACUGGUUUCAAUCUUGCCCUCGCCGGUUUGAUUCUGAGCCUACCCGGUAUCAGUCUUUGCUUCAGGUGUCGGAUAGCCUGUAACACCCUUAGCUCAUUCUAUCCAGCACUAACUCCAUUCUGAGUAGUAUCGGUGGAAUUCUCACCGCCCUGGUGCAGCCUGAUUGGAUCGAGUUGAAGUCUGAGUAGCCCUUGAUUGAGUCUUGCCAGCAGUGUUUCAAGCCUGAGUCGAGUGAGUUUGAUUCUUACAAGCACCGGUUUGAUCCUGAGUGACACCGGUUUGGUUCUGAGUGGUACUUGUUUGAGUCCCAUCGGCACCGGAGUAAGGCUUGCUGGCACUGGUUUGGUUCUUUGAUUCCCUGGGUGAAGUCUUUGAUGCACUAGGUUAAGCCUUGGAUUGCUUAGGGACAUUCUGAUCUAACCGCCUAGUGUUCAAUUCUGUAACUCCGACUUUCCUACUUGCCUACUUCUUAGGUUCAUUCUGACUUUCCACUAAACCUCUCCUCUUGAAACUGCCAAGACGACAAGAAACUAUGCCCUUCUGGAAUUGCUUCCCUUGCCCACCGAUACUGUUACUACUGAGGUGUAUUCUCACUUUCCUACUAACUCACCUCUGAGUUUAUUCUGUCACUUCUGAUCUUAGGAGCUAUAGUAUUGUGGGAAUGUAGCUGCUUUAAGGCUUCUACGGACUAGUUUCUUUCUUUGACUACUGAGGUUCAUUCUUACCUUUCCUAUUUGCCUACUUCCACUCAAGCUUGCUUCCUCGCCUGUUCCUACUAAAGAAUGGUGUUUACUUAUAGGCUAGGGACCCAACCCAUACAUAAAAGACAAAGAGAGCCAAUUACUAUAAGGGCAGUAGUAGUUCUCAUAUGACCAAUCUUCUGAUAGAAGUAAUCAAUUCUAUUCUGAUUUCUUGCACAAGAGUACUAUAAGUCAAUUAAUGCAACUAACCUAUUUCUGGCCCACCUCUCCUAUGGCUCAUCUAACUUCAUUCUUAAAACAAUAAGCAAGUAGGAUUCUUAAAACACAUAGCAAGUAGGCGCCAACUACUAACCAAGCAGUAACCACUAAACAAACAAGAAUGGGAAAGAACAAGCUACUACAGUUCAAAGAGCCAACAACUCUCUCAAUGCGGUCUCAAACUCAGACUAAGAGACUGGGGGAACAGCCCUGCCGCACAACAUUAUACGUUGUUUGGCCUCUUCAACUCACUACCUGUAACUAAGGGACCUGUCUUCCUACAACUACUGAUGAAACUACGAAACUACUACCAGAUGCGUAGAAGCAGAACUAGCACUACUGUAAGUAAGAAGGAGAGGCCAGUGCAGUAGCAAAAGAAUAAACUAAAGCAAGGGCCAGGGCAGGGGAAGAAGGAGAAUGCCCAGUUCAAGGUGGAGUUUGAGUUUCAUUCUUCUUAGUGGUGGUUCAAUUCUGAUCUCUAUAUGCAGAUUUCUGGUCAUAUCCAUACUUUAUCACUUACACUAGCCCUGGACUCUAAUCUACCUAUGGCUACUCAGUAUUCCACUAGCAACUAUCAACUACUCAUGAAUAGCUUCCCUAGCCUUGUAAUCGAAUGAAACAACUACCCGCAAAGUCAGUCAACAAAGUAAGUCAACUCCUUUCUUAUUGUAUGCCGAACCUACCUCCUCUCAGUCUCACUGCCACUGGUUUAAGUCUGCCUAGCUCGGGUUUCAGUCUGAGUGGUAUCGGUUUGAGUCCCACCUACCAGGUACAGUCUGCCCAGAGCACUUGUUAGAGACUUAGACUCCCUCGUUGUAUUCUGCCACUCCUUAGUUUGAUUCUAUGAUUGGUUAGCUCUAUUCUCAGUGUUAGUGCUUGGCCUUUGGCUACUUAGUUCUAUUCUGAAACUAGCUUCUGGGAAUCGGUGAGUUCAAUCUCUAAGUAGUCUUGCUCUAUCUACUGACUAGCUCCCGAACACAGGACUUAGUUGUAGGCUUUGAAGCUGGGGAAUAGAAGCAGUGCGUUGAAUCCCUAGUUUCAUCCGGUAUAUGUCAUUCUAUAUAAAGAGAGUCCAAAUUCUCCUAUGGACAAGUAACUACGUAAGUGUAGCGGCAGUGCUGUUUCACGUUUUCCCGUGUUUUUUCGUUACAAUCUGAUUUCCCCUAAUAGCGAGGUCCAAAAGAAUCUUAUCUUUGCGUUUUCCCGUGUUUUUUCGUAGCAGAUGCCAGAGCUCCUGCCGCGGAACGCGAACACAGGACUUGUUUAUAACUUGUAAUAUCUAUUAUUGCUGCUGCCGCGCAGCGGCUUGCGCCGUUGCUUGGCCCUUGGCCCCUCCUGAGGCACCAGAUUUAGAUUCUCUUUUCACGCGAACACAGGACUUGUAAUAACUCUGUUAUGACUAUUACUUGCUGCCGCACAACAUUAGUAGUUGUUUGGCCCCGGCUUUUUUGAUAGCAUUGGCAUUUCCCCUGCUAGCUAGGUCAAUGGAAAUGAUCUUUUCACGUUUUCCCGUCUUUUUUGAUAGCAAUUAGUACUUUGCCAGUACAACCGGGAUGAAACAAGUAGCAAACCAACCCUUUACUCUUUAUUGCCAACUAAGUACUUGACUUCUUUCUUUCCAACCAAGUACCCGGCACCCUCUUCUAAGCUUGUUUCGACCAUUCUAUUUCUUAUUCGCCCAGUAGUUUGUUGGUUCAGUGCCACUGUAGCUCCUUCCUUUUUGAAUUUAGGUUUCAGAUUGAAAGUAAGUUGUUGGCUACAGUCAAAGAGGUCAGCUACUAAUUCUAAAGUGACCCAGGCAAGCGUAUACUAGAUGUGGGGGAUCGGUAGGCUUGGGCAGUGGACUUACUUGUUUAAUGAAGUUACUAGGUUAAGAAAGGGGCAUAAAAGGAGCUAUUUCUGCACUUCUUAUGUGUUGAUGGCAAAUGACCUAUGAAAUAGACUUAUCGGCAGUAGAAGUUCAUUUCUUCCUAACAUCCUGAUGGUCGAAGAGAAGCAAAUCGAAGAGAAGCAAAUUAUAGUACCCGUCCGGAGUCGCUUGUUUUGUAGUUGCUGGGUUGGUAGUUAGAUUAUGCUCCUAUAACUUCAUUAAGAUUGGCUGUGGAAUCAGUUGUUUUCUUAUAUUCAAUUAGACUAUAUUUUCCCUACUGUUUGUCUACUUAGUCUGUAUAUGAGAAAGAGAACCCGUUUUUCGCCUUUGUUUAUCCAUUCUUACGGUGUUAAGUCGAGUCCAUUCCAUUCUUAUUGUCUUCCCCGACCCGACCUCAGUUAGAGAUUACUUUACUAGCAGCCUCGCCUCAACUUCCACUUAUGCUCUGUGAACUCAACUUAGUUAGUGCAGUGCUUCUGCCUAGCCUGUUACUCCUUUCUAUCAAUACUAUUAAUUAUAAUCAUAAGGAAGGAAGUGGUCUAGUUCUUCGGGUGUUCAUUCUUGUUAGCACUGCUUGGAGUCUGUCACUCCUUAGGGACAUUCCGAUCCUACCCGGUCUCAUUCUAAUACUCACUGGUUGCAUUCUUUACCUGCCGAGGUACAUUCUGAGUGGUACUUGUUUGAGACCUUAGCUACCUCCCCUCUCAUUCUCACUCGACCUAGCUACAUUCUGAGUGACACUGGUUUGGUUCUUUAACUCGGACCGGAUAGCCUGUGACUUCUUGGUUCAAGCCUUACAUACGCCAUUACUGCUUCAUUCUGAGCCUACUUAGCUUCAGUCUGUAACUACUUAGGUCAAUUCUUCUACUAGCUACUCUGAGUCUACAACUACUGAAUGAGGAGCUAGCCCGGCCGGAGUAGCUCUUUGAACUUAGCAGCCCCGAACACAGGACCACUGACUUAAGGCAACAAGCAACUACUAAUGUUGCACGUUAGCGAGUCCGGGGCCCAAUAGUUCCAUUCUGAAUCUACUGAGUUGGGUUCUUAAACUACUGGCUUUUAUUCUCAAACUACUUAGUUUCAUUCUUUCAUGACUUAGCCCGAGGUUAGAGUUUCUUCUUCCUUUUGGUCUGUAACUACUGAUUGGUAGGCACUUCUCAAUAAUACAUAGCGGUGUGGACUUCUGGUCAACUGAGUUAAGUAAGAGUGAAGGCUGGGAUUUACUGGGUUGAUUCUGAGUCUAUCCAUCAGUCAUCCUUAAUAAGAAGAGAUAGAAUUGUCCACUCAUUUUCCCUUCUAUGUCUGUACUGAGCAGGUACAUGAGAAAGAUGAGUUGUUUUCUGGCACUGAUAGCGGCCCCAAAGACAGGACUUGGUUACCAAAACCAUCCCUAUGACUUAGAGCGUAAGCACCAACACCCUCAACAAGACUGGAAGACUAAACAAGGUAUUCUACUCGUCCCCCCAAGAGUCUAGUUCACUUUCCUCGACUUCCACUUAUGAUCUUUUCACUCAGGCGCAUCCACUUGCUUGCCUCUCUCUACUCUGUAAACUCACCACUACCCUAAACAUAAAGGUUGCCUUAAGGAAGUGGGUAAGAAAGGACUAGAAGGGCAAAGCGUAUACUAACUCCCCGGAUUCUGUUUCCUAUGCUGCUGACUUUAUUGUCCCUUGAAAGCUGUCGAUUUCCCUUUCAUGCACUUGCUGACUACUUAACCUCUGAUUCAGUAAUUACUUCUUUCUAUAUGAGAUGAAACUAAUAGGGCAU